UUUUUUUUUUUAUUAUUAAGGUUGAUUAUAUUUUUAGUCAAUAAUUUUUUAACUGAAAUUGCAUGUAAUAUUAAAUUUUAUGUCAAUUUUAUUCCUACAAUUUGUGAAUAAAUGUACAAUGUAUUCCACAUAAUAUCCAACUUUAAUUCGCUAUGAAUGUUGUUUGUCACAUUAUAAUUUGCGUAACCUCUUUGAUCGAUUCAUUCACACAAUAUACACAAUAUGAGAAUGAAUUGGUAUGAAAUAUAUGAUAAAAACAAAAUAAAAUUUCUAUUGAAAGUUUAAACACUAAAAACAUAAUUAAUUUUACUAUUAUUAUUUUAAGAUGAGAUAUAAUAAAUUAUACAUUUUAUAUAAAUAUAAAUUAUUUUAAAACAUUGAUAAGAAAUAAAUAUUGAAAUAAAUUUAAAAUAUUAAAAAUCAUCUUGUUAACAACCAAAAUAAUUUUAUUAAAUAAUUAUUCUAAAAAAUUUAGAUGACAUUUGUAAAAGAAGCAUGGUUACAUUUGGCUAACAAUUGUAUGACAAGUUCUUAGUCAAACAAUGUUUUUAGCAUCUGCUUGCUUCGUUCAUCCACCUCAAGCCUAAGAAUUUAUUCAUGAAGAUAAAGUUUGUUUGGUUCUAAGUACGACAAAUAUAGAAUCUAGAAUCUAGAAAUACUAAAUUUUCUGACAAAAAGAUUAUUGAGGGAUCCAAAUCCCACGGAUAUUAUCUAAAAAUAGUAAUGAAUAUUUACAUUUGAUUUAUUGAUAAAUAUAGCUAUCAAUAAAGUGAGGUGUGGAAUUCUCAACAAAAUAUCUGUUUAAUAAGAUUGUAACAACCAUCUGUGGAUAAGUAGAAAAAUUGAAAUAAAAUUUUGUAAUUUAAAGGAUGCAAUCUAUUCCUCACUCCUUAUCCUUUCUAUGAAUUUUAUUCAUCCCAUUCCAAGAGUUGGUUUUCUCAAAUUAACCAUUCCUAACCUUAACUCUCUCUAAAAAUUUGUGUUCUCAAAUUUAGCAUAAGAUGCAUUAACUUCUCCUAAAGAUUAUUAGACAUUUAUCAUUAAUUUUUGUUGGGUUCGUGAGAGAAAACAAGAAACCCAAAAAUAACAAAGAAAAGAAGAGAAAACUAAGAUUGUAAGACUGAAUAUUGCGUGAAUCUCAUUAAAAAAAAACGAAGUUGGUUACAAUAUAUAACCAACUUAAGUACAGGCCACAAACAGCAAAGAAACAAAACCGAACGAGCAAAGCAAACAAUCGGACGGUCUAAAACAGAACCGUUCGGUCCGUUUGGAAGAAAACAAGUCUAAACAACAAUCUCCACCUAGACUUGAUUUAUUACAAGAUAGAAAAAUACCGAACGGUCACACAAUCAGAGACCGAACAGUAGAAACCCAAUCCUGGAUAGCAACAUAAGAAACCUCUCUCUAGCAAGCGACUUUGUCAACAUAUGUGCGGGGUUGACUUCGGAUGCAAUUUUGCAGAUUUGAACAUCACCGGAUUCUACUAUGCUCCUGACAAAAUGCAACUUGACGUCAAUAUGCUUCGUUCUGGAAUGGUAAAUCUGAUGAUUGGCCAGAUGAAUGGCGCUCUGGCUCUCGCAAUGAACACAGACAAACUUUUGAUUAAAACCCAGUUCCUGAACCAAACCUUUUAACCACAGUGCCUCCUUAACUCCUUCAGCAAACGCACAGUACUCAGCUUCAGUAGUUGACAGAGCAACGACUGACUGCAAUGUAGACCUCCAGCUAACAGCAGUACCAAACAAUGUAAACACAUAUCCCGAACGAGAUUUCCUAGUGUCCAUGCAUCCGGCAAAAUCAGAAUCAACAAAACCUUCAAUAUAACCUCCACCUUGAAAGUUAUUCUGGAAGAGUAAUCCAGUAUCAAGAGACCCCCUUAUAUAUCUGAGCAUCCACUUCAAUGCUUCCCAGUGAAUUUGUCCAGGAUCAACCAUAAACUGACUGAGAACACUUACACCAUGUGCCAGGUCAGGUCUUGUGCAGACCAUGCCAUACAUAAUGCUCCCAAUCCCAUUUGAAAAUGGAACAGAUUCCAUCUCCCUCCUUUCCUUCUCGGUCUUUGGGCAUUGUUCCUUGGUAAGUUUCAAGUGUUGACCGAUCNGUGUGCCAGCAGUUUUAGAUUCAGUCAUCCGAUACCUUGAAAUUACCUUCUGCAAAUAACACUUUUGAGAUAGAAACAAAUUUCCGCCUGGUUUAUCUCUCUUUAUGUCUAUGCCCAAAAUCCGCCUCGCUUCUCCUAGCUCCUUCAUUUCGAAAGCAUCACCCAACUUUGCUUUCAUCUCAUGGAUCAUGCUCCUGUCACUGCUGGCAAUCAGAAUAUCAUCCACAUACAGCAGAAGAUAUAGCACCUCACCGUCGCGAUUCAAAGUAUAUACACAAUCAUCAUAAUUGCACCGUUUGAAGUUCAGCUUUAUCAGAAAAUCAUCAAAUUUCCUGUACCACUGCCUUGGACUUUGCUUCAAGCCAUAAAGAGACUUCUGCAACAGACACACCCUAUCAUCCAUAGCGAAACCGUCCGACUGCUUCAUAUAGAUGGUUUCCUCCAAGUCACCAUGUAGAAACGCCGUUCGCACAUCCAACUAUUCAAGAUGCAAAUUGCAAUGAGUAACUAUUGCCAUCAGGACUCUGACUGAACAAUGCUUCACCACUGGAGCAAAAAUCUCAUGAUAAUCUACACCUUCAAUCUGAGUAAAGCCUUUGGCAACAAGCCUUGUUUGUACCUUGCUUUCUCACCGCCCGGUAUAGCUUCCUUUUUCUUAAAAAUCCAUUUUGAACCUACAACCUUCUUACCNUUUGGCAGAUCCACCAGUCUCCAAGUGCUAUUUUUCUUCAAAGCCUCCAACUCUUCCUCCAUAGCACCCUGCCAAAGAUGUCGAUCGCUGCUGCUGUCAAGGGCCUCCUUGUAACUUCUCGGUUCAUCUGAUCGGUCAAGAUCUUCAGCAGCGUUCAAGGCGUAGCAAAUCAGAUCUGCCUCUCCAAACCGUUUGGUCGGCUUAGAGAUCCUUCUUUCUCUAUCACGAACAAGCUGAUAGUUCCUCAAAUCAACACCAGCANCUUUUGAGUGACUUCCAUUGCCAGACNUACCAUNUGUGUCAUCACCAAAAUUUGUUCGAUUUUNACUCGUUCGGUUCUCCUCUNNNNUCCNAACGUUUUCAUCUUGCCCUUCACCCGUUCGGUCUUUCUCAGUCAACGACCGAACAUCUCGUUCGGUAGUAUGCUCCACCUCCACGAGAGUCUUCUUCUCACUUCUAGAGUUUUCAGCAUGCAUUGCCAUCCUUGUUUCAUCAAACAUGACAUCCCUACUAAUGAUUAAUUUUGAAGGUUUAGAAUCUAACGUCCACAACCUGUAUCCCUUAAUGCCUUUGGCAUAUCCAAGAAAUACACAUCUCACUGCUCGGGAAUCCAGCUUAUCACCUCUGAAAUGAGCAAACGCCAAAGAAUCGAACACUCUCAAGUGUGAGUAAUCAGCCGGUCGUCCACCCCACACCUCCAUUGGCGUUUUAAAAUUGAGAGCCGAAGACGGACUCCUGUUAAUCAGAUAAACGGCUGUAUUGGCAGCCUCUCCCCAGAAAGCCUUUGACAACCCUGAUCCUAGCAACAUGCACCGAACCCUCUCUAGAAUUGUUCUAUUCAUCCUUUCAGCCAAACCAUUCUAUUGAGGAGUUCCAACAACAGUCCUGUGCCUCCUGAUCCCUUUCUCUUUGCAAAACACAUUAAACUCCUCUGAAACGAACUUCAACCCAUUAUCUGUUCUUAGACAUUUCAGCCUACAUCCCAAUUGGUUCUUGAUCUGUGUGUGCCACUCCUUGAACCUUUGAAACGUUUCAGACUUAUUUUUUAGAACGUAAAUCCACACUCUCCUUGAAAAAUCAUCAAUUAUGCUUAGGAAAUACGCCCUUCCACCAUGAGUUAAGGUUCUUGCCGGUCCCCACAAGUCAGCAUGGACAUAUUCAAAGGGUCGUUCGGUUGAGUGCUUCCCUUUACCGAACGGUAUCCUGUGUGAUUUCCCUAAGACACAAUGGUCACAGAAAUCCAGCUUCUGCAGUUUGUCUCCCAAAAGUAAGCCUUGCUUCCCCAAUUCCUCAAGACCCUUCUCACUGAUAUGUCCCAUCCUCAAGUGCCAGAGCCGAGCGAUAUUCUCAGUCCCACUUGCUACCGAGACAUGACCAAUGACAAUCGAUCCCUCCAGAAUGUACAAGCCAUUCCUCCUUCUGCCUUUGACAACCACAGAAUCUCCAGAACAUACCCUCAUUACUCCAUCUUCGACUUUUGUGGUAUAACCUCCAAGAUCAAACAAACUAAUAGAAAUCAAGUUUCUCUUUAGUUCGGGCACAUACCUCACAUCCUGCAGUACCACCUCUCGGUUGUCAAACAUCUUCAGCCUCACCGACCCGACUCCUUGUACUCGGCAAGCUUUGUUAUUUCCAAGCAGCACAUUCCCAUGCUCUUUUUGAUCAAGAUUCUCAAAGAACUCCUUCACCGGACACAUGUGAUAGGUGCAGCCGGAAUCCAUGACCCAGCUCCUUUGAGAAUCUUCAGACGAAGCCACCAGAACUCCAGUAGAUUCAUAUCCUUCUGACGCCUCUGCCACAUCAGCGGUUUCCUGUGACCGAACAACCUUUCCUUUCUCUGGACAGAACUUCUUAAUAUGACCCAUCUUCUGGCACUUGAAACAACGCACCUGUUUCACAGCGUCCAGUUUCAACUUCUUCUCUUUUCCAGCCUGCUUCUUCCAUUUCCCUUUCACCGAGAUCAGUCCAGAUGCUACCUCCUUGGUUGCCUUUGAAUCUUGAAGCUUUUGGAACUCCUUGGUUCGAAUUGACGUCACAACCUCCUCUAACGUGAUCACUUGAUAUUUCCCGUAGAGCAAAGCAUCCCUGAAAUGCUCGAAGGUUCUUGGAAGAGCAUUCAACAGGAUGACAACUUUAUCUUCAUCCUCCAACUUCACUUCAAUAUUCUCCAGAUCAUCAACUAUCUUGCUGAAUUCUGCAAGUUUCUCCUUUAUCGUUCUUGAUUCUGACAUCUUGAAUGAAUAGAGUUGUUGCUUCAAACACAACCUAUGAGCCAACGAUCUCGUCAUGUACAGAGACUCCAGUUUUGCCCAGAUUUCAGCUGCAGUCUUCUCCUUUGCAACCUCCCUCAGUACCUUAUCACCAAGGCACAAGAUGAUUGCACUUCUUGCUUUAUCUCCCAUCUUCUUCUUCUCUUCUUGAGACAUUGCAGCACUCAUGUUCAACUCACCCUUCAACGCUUCAUCACAUCCCUGUUGUAUCAAGAUAGCCUCCAUCUUGAUCUUCCACAGUCCGAAAUCAUUAGAACCAUUGAACUUCUCAACGUCGAACUUGGUUGCCAUGGCUUCUUGGAGAUUCUUGAAUCACUACCCCACGAUGGGCGCCAAUUGUUGGGUUCGUGAGAGGAAACAAGAAACCCAGAAAUAACAGAGAAAAGAAGAAGAGAAAACUAAGAUUGUAAGACUGAAUAUUGUGUGAAUCUCAUUAAAAAAAAAACGAAGUUGGUUACAAUAUAUAACCAACUUAAGUACAGGCCACAAACAGCAAAGAAACAAAACCGAACGAACAAAGCAAACAACCAGAUGGUCUAAAACAGAACCGUUUGGUCCGUUUGAAAGAAAACAAGUCUAAAAAACAAUUUUAACAUUCUUAUGUAAUGUUUUUUAAUUUUUAGUUAAUAUGAAUUUGUAAAAGUAGACAUUUUUUUUACACAUUAUUCAUAUUCUAUCAUAACUUUGAGAAUUUUAUAUUGUGCAAUUAACUAAAUGUUUCCUUGUAAUACAAAUGUUGGUUUGGUUCCUUUUAGUUGUGAUAUAAAUGCUGGUUUGAUUAUAAUAUAUAUGUUGGUUUAAUUAUAGGUAUGUUGUAUACAGGUUUCUUGGGUAGUGAUUAAAACCACAUUGACUGCAAAAUAACCUUAAAUAACUGAUAAAUAAUAUUAAUAGAAAUACCAAUCAAUAAUGGGUAAGGAAAACUUAGCACCGAAAUAUGUGCUUUGGUAAUUAUCAACAAAAUGUUUUUGUUAAUACAUUUUAACACAUUCGAUAAAAAUACCAACAAAUAAUGUUUGAUGAAUAUAUAUCCCUACCAACAAAUUCAUAAUCAUUGAUAAUAUCAUUGAAUAUUGAACAUUUAUCACUUUUUCAAUGAGCUUUUUGUUGUGAAAAGCUGACAAAAAUAGGAUUUCUUGAGGCUGUAGAGUCAUUGUCCUUAAGGACUUAUCUGCGGUGUGUGCAAGUCCCCCAGGAUACAACAAGAACUUCUCAGAAUAUUUUUGAUGAUGUCAGAACUAGAAAGGAACUCUUAAAAGAGUAUAAAAAAAACCCAGAAUAUUUUUAGAAGAGAAAAAGAACUUAAGAAAAGAAACUCAGAAAAGAGGAGAAUGAACCAGUCUUAGAUUUAGAAACUUAAUACACAAUGUAGUUGGUAUAGCAAACUAUAUGAACCAAAGACACUUAACGUGUGUUAGAGGUUUAUCAAUCACAAUACACCCCCACAAUCCUUGUUGUUAUCGUUGUGUUGCGCGUACUAAGCCAUGCGCGUGCCCGAUAUUCAUGAGUGCUCUAGAGAUUAUGCCAAGAUCUCAUGCAAGCGGCCCCACUCGACACUCAUAUAGGUGAUUUAAUCAAGUGUAUGCUGCACAUCAUACACCACCCAUAAAGGAUAUGAAAAUCAUUAAAAACUUUGUUUAAGCUAAAAUUCUUUCACCACAUAGAAUUUUAAUAACAAAGUUUAGCCUCUCAAUAUUGCAGUCUCUAGCACUAUCACACACACCAUAGGAAGGGACAUAAUUGAUUAAAAUCAAUUUAGUGCUAUCAGAACUAACAAGUGACUUGUUUUUACCCUUAUGAACCUUAUUCAUGGGAUCUUUAAUCACAAAGGUUGGGUUACCAUCACUUGUUUGUUUGCAAGUGACUUAAGUCUCAUUCCCCUCGAUGUUUCUAAUAUCAUUUGUCUUCCCAGGGGUUUUGUCAGAGGAUCCACUACAUUUCGUUCUGACUUCACAUAAUCAAUGGAAAUAGUUCCACUCUUUAGCAGCUGCUUCACCAAAUUGUGUCUCAAUUGUAUAUGUCUAUUAUUUCCAUUGUAAUUCUUGUGUUUAGCUAUAGUUAUUGCCGACUGACAAUCACAGUGUAUUGAUACCGAUGGGGUUGGUUUCAUUCCUAGUGAAAUGUUCGCUAAGAAGUUUUUCAACCACUCAGCCUCGUUACCAGCCAUCUCAAGAGCAACAAACUCAGAUAACAUUGUUGAGCUUGCAAUAAUAGUUUGCCUGGUUGAUCUCCAUGUAAUCGCACCACCCCCAAGUGUGAAUACAUAACCACUAGUGGAUUUUGUCUCGUCUGAAUCAGAGAUCCAGUUAGCAUCACUAUACCCUUCUAGUACAGCGGGAAAUCCACUAUAUUCAAUGGCAUAAUCCAUUGAACCUCUUAAGUAUCUCAUAAGCCUAACAAAUGCAUCCCAAUGUUCUUGAUUUGGACAUUGAGUGUACCUACUCAGUCUACCUACUGCAUAAGCAAUAUCAGGUCUAGAAAAGCUCAUUAAGUGCAGUAAGCUCCCAAUUAUCUGGGCAUACUAAGGCUGAGAUAAUGAUUCUCCUCUAUUUUCCAUUAAAUUAGAAUUAGCAUCAUAAGGGGUACUCACUGGUUUAAAGUCAUAAAACCCAAACUUCUUAAGAAGUUUUUCAAUGUAUUGUCCUUGAGAUAAUAAUAUAUUAUCUCCCUUCCUUAUGAUUCUAAUACCUAAAAUCACAUUGGCUUCACCCAUGUCUUUCAUUUCAAAUUUUGAUCCUAGAAACAAUUUAGUUCUAACGACAAUCUCAUUGCAUGUACCAAAUAUUAACAUGUCAUCCACAUACAAGCAUAUAAUGACACCAUCACCAUUUUCAGAUUUAGAGUACACACAUUUAUCAGCAUCAUUAGGUGAAAAACCAUCACAAAGCAACACAUUAUCAAGUUUUUCAUGCCAUUGUUUUGGUGCCUGUUUCAACCCAUACAAAGGUUUUAAGAGUUUACAUACUUUCUCUUCUUGACCAGGUACAACACACCCUUCAGGUUGAGUCGUAUAAAUUUAUUCCUCUAAAUCACCAUUCAAAAAGGUUGUUUUAACAUCCAUCUAAUGUAUCACUAGUUUAUGGAUAGCUACUAAAGCUAAUAACACUCGAAUAGAGGAAAUCCUAGUCACAAGAGCAAAAGUAUCAGAGUAAUCUAUGUUGGGUUUUUGAAUAAAACCUUUUGCUACUAAUCUUGCCUUAUAUUUUUCUAUGGAUCCAUCAGGGUGAUAUUUUUUCUUAAAGAUCCAUUUACAACCUUUGGGUUUUUCUCCUUUAGGCAAAUCUACUAAAGUCCAAGUAUUGUUUUUCCGAAUUGAUUCAAUUUCAGUCUUAAUGGCCUUAUCCCACUGUUUUGCAUCAGGAGCACUAAUAGCUUCUACAAAGCUUAUUGGAUCAUUAUCAACAAGAUAAGUAUAAAAGUCACCUCGAAAGGAAGUUUCUUUUCUGUAUCUUUUACUUCUUCUCAAAUCCUUAUUUAUAGUAUCACUAUUAUUAUUAUUAUUAUCAUUACCAUCAACAGGUUUAGACAUCUCACUAACCUUUAAGGGAAACACAUGUUCAAAAAACUCAGCAUUUUUUGUCUCCAUUAUAGAAUUUCUCUCAAGUAUGUUACUUUUAACAACUAGAAACCUAUAGGCAGCACUAUGGUCAGCAUAUCCUAAGAACAUGCACUCAGCGAUUUUAGAGCCUAUUUUCUUUUUCUUAGGAUCGGGUAACAUUACCUUAGCUAGGCACCCCCACACUCUUAGAUAUUUAAGGUUAGGUUGGUAACCUUUCCACAACUCAUAAGGAGUUUUACCAGUUUUCUUAUGGGGUAUUCUAUUUUGUAAAAAACAUGCAGUAAGCAAGGCUUCUCUCCAAAGGUUAUCAGGUGCACCAGAACUAAUAAGCAUAGCAUUCAUCAUUUCCUUAAGGGUUUUAUUUUUCCUCUCAGCUACUCCAUUAGACUCAAGUGAAUAUGAUGGGGUUACUUCAUGGAUAAUCCCUUUUUUAACACAAUAGUCAUUAAACAAAACAUACUCACCACCUCUAUCUGAUCUAAUCCUCUUAAUUUUCUUAUUCAAUUGAUUUUCUACUUCUGCUUUAUAGGUUAAAAACACAUCAAAGGCUUCAUCUUUAUUUUUGAUUAAGUAAACUUUGGUGUAUCUAGAAAAAUCAUCUAUAAAGGUCACAAAAUAGUUUUUACCUCCUCUAGAGAUUGUUUGUUUCAUAUAAGCUAGAUCAAUAUGAAUUAACCCUAAUAGCUCAAUUUGGUGUUCUAUAGAAAAACAUGUUUUCUUUGUUAAUAUAGAUUCUACACAUAUAUCACAUUUACUACUCUGUUUAUGAUGUAUAUUAAUCAAUCUUAGUCGUUGUAAUUUCAAAACAUACGAGGAAUUCACAUGACCUAAUCUAACAUGCCAUAUAUCAUACGAGUCAACAAUAUAAGCAGAAGAACUAGAUUCAUUCAUAAUUUCAAAAAUGUUAAGUACAAAGAGACCUUGAUCACAAUAUCCCUUCCCCACAAAAACAUUAUUUUUUGUCAUAAUGAUCUUGUCAAACUCAAAUGACACUUUAACCCCCAUUUUUCCCAACAGUACUAUAGAGAUUAAAUUAACUCUGAUUGAUGAAACAUGUAGCACAUCACUCAAGGCCAGAGUCUUUCCAGAUGUGAGUUUAAGAAGAACUUUUCCUUUUCCCAUUACAGGAGUGGUGCUGGAAUCACCGAGGUAGACAUGUUCUUCUCCAUCCCCUACAGUAGUGUAAGAGGUAAAUGCAUUUCUGUUUGCUCAGAUAUGCCUGGUAGCACCAGAGUCUACCACCCAUUUUCUCACAUUGGUCAUCAGAUUUACCUGAGAAACGAUCGCAGCAAUAAUGCCAUCUCCUUCGGCUAUAUUUGCCCUAGGAGGAUUGUCGUUUCUCACUCUAUGCCAGGUGGGUUUAGAUUCACCGGGACAGGAUUUAAGAAAAUAAUUUUUCUUUUUGUGACCAGGUUUGUCUGCCUACCUUUUGGGAGCAGGAUCAACUCCAUACAUGUCUAAAAGGGUGGAAACACGUUCUUGCCAGUGUCAGAAGUUUUGUCCAGAGAAAACCUCGAUUUUUGACAGGUCCAGAAGUGAUUUUGCGAAGACCGUCUGGGUUUCGGAAACAAUAGUUUGGCUCUCCGCAGGCAUGUUGUUGACGUUAGCCAUAAGUCCUUAAGAUUGUCGUAAAAAGCUUACAAAAAUAGGAUUUCCAGAGGCAUGUAUAGUCACUAUCCUUAAGGACUUAUCCGCGGUGUGCACAGGUCCCCCAGUAUACAACAAGAACUUCUCAAAAUAUUUAUGAGGAUGUCAGAACUAGCAAGAAAAUCUUAAAAGAGUAUAGAAACAAACCCAGAAUAUUUUUAGAAGAGAAAAAGAACUAAAGAAAAGAAACUCGGAAAAGAGGAGAAUGAAAAAGACUGAAUUGUUGGUGUAUUUUGGAAUGGGGAAAAGUUCUCUAUUUAUAGAACUAGGACAGAAUAAAAUUAAUAAAUAAAAAUAAAAGCCAUUCAAUUUUAUACCGUUAGAGCACUAAAUAAUUUUGAUCGUUGCUUCAUAAAAAUCUGAACGUUGCUUCAAAAUUUUUUUAUAACGUUGACAGUUAAUAUAAUAUUAACGUUGUCAAGUGAAAUGCUAACAUUGUUGGAAUACAACGUUCUGAAAUUCAACCAAACAUUAACUUUUUGCAAUAUAUAAUAUAUUAUAACACUUUUCAGUAUUGAUAAUUCAUUAGUAAUUUGACUUUACUAAAAUAAAUUUUUUUAUCAACGAAAUAUGACCGUUAAUAAAUAUGGUUUUUCUUAUAAUAUAUGAAAAUGAAAAGAAUAUUAAAUAUAAUUUGUUAUAUUUAUGAUUUUUAAAUUUUUUAAUAAUUAAAAUAAGUGUCUAAUUGAUUAUGUAGGAAACAUAUAAACAAUUGUUAUUUUUACAUUUUUAAUUCAAAAUUUUGUAUACCUCUUACUUUUAUUGUCACACCCCUUUUAUUUUUCCUAGAAUAAUGGAUGCGAAGUGUCAGGUUGCAUUAAUUUUCCUAGGAUAGUGGGGACAGGGAAUGCAGUUUAUUUAAUUCUCCGAUCUUCGGUAACCAUGUGGCAACAAAGGGAAUGUGGAUUUCCAGAAAGUGAAAAACAGGUGGCAGGCAGGGGGUGGGUCGUUCGGUUUUUGGAGGCUGUAUUUAAAGUGAGAUUUUUAAAUCUGGCACCACUUUCUGCAUGCAACCUUUCCUCUUCAUCUUUCAAAAACUUCAUUUCUCCUCUUUCUCUCUAAAACCUUCGAACUUCUCUCUAGAUAUCUGAUCAUUCUCUUGCUCCGAUCAUCAAAUUGCCUUCAGAUUAAUUCUUCCCGGAGACAAGAGCUUUCUUUUGCACCGAUCAGAUUUCCAUUUGAACCGGUAAGCAUUUUUGGUCUUUUGAAACUCUUCAUCUUCCUUGCAUGCAAGUAAAUUUUUCCAGCUUGCAUGUGUUUAUCAAUUUACUCUCUAAAACCCACUUCAUGUAUUUGAUGCAAUGAUGGACUCCUUUCACCGAUCAGACCUUUGAAUUUGGAGUCUUGAAGUAGUUGCUGUAAAAAGACUCAGAAGACUAGCUAGAAUUAGAGGUAAGGGAAGCUUAUAAGAUUUAAUUAUGAUUACUUUGUAUGAUUGGAUGCAUGAUUUAAUCUGGGUAUGUUUGAUGAUUUUAAUGGUAUGUUGAAAUAUUGUAUGUUGUUGUAUGAUAUGUUUGAUCUUGGUUUUGUACUUAGUAUAAAUGUAUUAAACUUAGCGAAAUUCUGGAAUAUGUGACCGAAGGUCAUUAGGACCGUUCGGUCCUCCCCAAACCGUUCGGUCUUGACUGAAUCCUCUUCUACAAAGAAUCAGUUGAUGAUCGAUCGGCCUUGUGAUACUCAUAUUGAUUGUUACCUAUUUUGCUUAAUCUGGUCCUUUUAAUAAGUCAAGAGUCUUUCCUCUCGGUUUUAAUAGAUAUCGUAUGUUUCAAAACGUUUGGUCAUAAACCAAGCGUUCGGUCACACAAGUGCUCGGUCUUAGACUGGCACUUAACUUAUGAAGUAUUCGGUUUCAUGUUAUUAUUAUUAUUCAUUUAAAGAACGUUCGGUCAUGUGAAGCACUCGGUCAUAGAUCCAGUGCUCGGUCUCAUGAGAUGCUCAGUCAUAAAUUAGUAUUUCUAUGAUUUAAAGUACUCGGUCUUACAUUGAGUACUCGGUCUUAUGAUAAUUUUCUUCCUUAGAAUAGCCUUCGGUCUUACACAGAUGAUAUUCAUUGUUGAGUGCUCGGUCUUUAGAGUGUUCGGUCUUGAGAGUGCUCGGUCAUAGACUAGCACUCCGGUCUCUAUAGUUCUCGGUCUUACAUUAAUAUCAUUUUCUUUGAAAAGUGUUCGGUCUUAUACUGACACUAGAUUUUCCAAAGAGUGUUCGGUCUUGUACUGACACUCGUUCUAUUGAAGAGAACUCCUUUUUAUUUUAAGGCAUUAGGCCAAACUGUAAAGUACUCGAUUUUCUCAGUGUUUGACCGUUUGGUCACUUACUAAAGUAUUCAUUGAUAAUUAGUUUUCCCCUCAAUGUUAGACCGUUCAGUCAUCCCCUUAACAUUUUCUAUUCUUAUGAGCGUGAUAGUGUGUACUCGUUUAGAUUGGUUGAAUUUGGUUAAGUAAGAGAAUUCCAAGGGAGGAAUGUCUCAUAAUUGGUGAUGAUUGGUAAAGUAUGAACAUGGUCAGACUCUGCUGUCGUUUUGUUCCUGAUAUUCCGUGAUGAUGCUUUCUCAUGUAGAGAAAGGUUAUUCAUGCGUGGGAAUGGCAGGAGGUCCGCGGUCAUAAGACUAGAUGAUCAUUGUAGGACUAACCUCGGAUGGCAGUUGAUGAGUUAUGCCAGCUACUACACCACACUGGGUGCUAGAAACGUCGAACUACAUGGAUCAUACAGUCCGGACAGUAUCUAAAGUGGUCGGUUAUGAUAGUUUGAAUGUUCAGUUUAUACAGUUAUGCAUGUAUGAGGAUUUUAUGAAUGUGAUGUUGUUUGUACUAUUUGGUUUUCAUGUUUAUAUGUAUGCUGGAAAUGAUUAAUUAAAUUUACAUAAGCUUACCCUUAUCUUUUCUGUCUUUGUCUAUAUUGCCGUUCGGUACUUGUCCGUUCGGUUGUUCUCUUCACUGCAAUGAUCUUCCAUUGGAUGUGAGCAGAAGGUGUUACCAAAGACACGUUGGAGGACGUCCUGCUGACCAAUCAGCCUGUAGAUAGUAUGCCUGAGGAUAGUGUACGACCGUCCGGUCCUUAGUUUAGAUUUUAAUUACCACCUUGUGUAUAUAACUGUUCAGUUUGUUUAAUAUUUUGAAAAAAACCGUUCGGUAUACCUUUUGUGUUGGACCGAUCGGUAUUAUUAUGUGAACCUUGACCUUUUGGUCUCUCUUUGUACUUUUUGUUCUUGUAAAAGGUUCAAAUUCUAUAUAAUGAUCAUGUUCCUUUUCUCUUUACUUGUUUAUUCAUUACUGUUCUCCUUUAUUAUUUAUGUUAACUCCUAAAAUAAAUUAUAGUUUGUUAUAUAUUUAUUGGGAUGUUGCAUUUAUUCCUUCAUUUUCACUUGCUUACUUUCAAUCCCGAGUUUUCUUCUAUAUAAUAUGAUAAUGUUGUAGUGUAUCAUUCAACACACAGGAUGGUCCAGCGCAAUGAGAAGACAGAAGAUAGUGACAAUUAUCAGCUUUUAGGACCAUGUCAAAUAUCAAACAUUAAAAAUUCUGAGAGUGAGAAAGAAACAAGAAGAAAAUAGAUUAAAAAAUUAAGCAAUGAACUCGCGAGGAAUCAAUGCAAACACUCAUAAUACGUGCUCUUUAUUUACUAAAUUCCAGAGACAUCCAAAUCUGUAGAAGAGAUUCCCCCUUCAACACCUUGACAAAAGGAAACAGCCUCUGAAUAAUGGACAAGUCUGGCCUCACUACUUUUACCAAACUAUUUUCCUGUGGCUACCAUUGUUUUCUUUUCCCUAACUAUCUUUCAUUUAUAUUAAUAAUUGGUGCUGAAUGGUGAUAUGAGAAAAGGAUCGUCAUUUCAUCAGUAUUUGCACCAUUUCACCAUACAAAACUCUAUAUCUCCAAACAAAUUUAGUCACAAUUAAUAUUUUAAAACCCAUAAACUUUUUCAUUCAUUUUAUAUAAUAUUUUUAUUUAUAGAUAUGUGUUAUUCUAUUAUUGUUCUUAAUUAAGUUAUGUUUUUUUAUAGAGGGUGACUGUUGAUGCUUCUCUAUGGUUCCUGAUCCUAACCUCAUUCUUUAUUCCCUCCAUCUAUAAUUUUAUCCAUUAUAAAUAGAAAAAAAGUUUCUUUAACAACUUUUUUUUUAUAAUUUUUUGACAACGUAUACGUGGCAGUUUGUGAUUGGUCUGUUUCAAAUAUUUUUUUAGAAUAAAUUCAAACAGACCAAUAAAAUUGUGACACGUGUCCUAUUGUCAAAAAAUUGUUAAAAAAAAAAUUGUUAAAAUAUCAUUGUCCUUAUAAAUAUAUAUAUUUACAAUUUCUUGUGGGAAGCACACAACUAAAAACAAAAAUACUUGAAAAGAAAAGGAAAAAUAUCGAGCUGAGAUAAUAUAUAUUACCCUGUUCCAGCAAAGAAUGCUAGAGGAAUCAUCAUCUCCCAGCUAUUGAUGCUCAUACUGCCAUAAAUAGAACACACAAUUGGCAUAAAGGUAUAAGAAAAAAAAAAGAUAACUUUGAAUUGGAACAACUCAGAUUUUUGGUGUACAUCAUAAACUAUUUUCGUAACAUUAAUUAUAUGUUCUUGUUAUUAUUAUAAAUAAGGAUCUCUUUAAAUUUUCUUAACAACUUUUUUAUGUGUAAUUAUUGGUCAUUAUAUUUAAAAUAGUCCAAUUACAAAUUACAUAUAAAUAUUAUAAAAAAUUAUUAAAAAAACAUUUUUCUAUAUAAAUAAACAUAGAUUAACUCUUAUUUUUCAAAAAUCUUUGAAUAAACAAACAAUGGAAGCAUCAGCUUUUUUACAGAAUUAAAAACUAAAAGGCAUUGAUCAACACUGGUAGGCGUUUAUAUUUACUCAUAAAAUAAAAUUACCAUAUGGAUAAAGCAUCGACAACAAUCUCUGCAUUCUCAAGGUUCCCGGUCAUCACGAUCAGAAUUUUGUAAUACCAAUUCUCCAAGCUGCGGAAACAAAUUUCAAAAAUUGCACCACAAACAUUGAUAAGACCGAAAGUUGAAACAGAGGGAGAGAGGGAGAGAGAGAGAGUACCAGAGCAUGACUCCAGCAGCAGCAGAGAGUUUGACAAACUCCCAAAGCCCAGAGAAAGCUUCAACUGAAAAACCAGCCCAAGUUUGGCGGCAUCCACCCCAAACACUGUACCCAAAGAACCCCAACGUGAGCACCCACCACGAGAAGUUAAUGGCUGCAGCAGCGCCAAUAACUCCGAACUCCAACUUGAACACGAACAACCAGCUCACAAACACAUGCACCAAGAGCGCCACCAGAGACACCCACGCAAUAGGCGCAGUCUUCAGCUGGCUCUGCAUAAACCUCAGCAGAGGAAACUGAAACGCAAAUGCGAAGUGCAGCGGUACCAUCCAAAUCGACACCGUACCUGAUAACUCGGCCAGCUCAUCGGGAUGCCCCAACAGCUUCAACAUCGGCGAGGCAAACAAGUACAGAGGCAAAAGCAAGGUACAGCAAAUGAAAAGAACGAUCCACGAACGCUGCAUGUAAACGCCUAACAUGUAGUACUUUUUCGCUCCAAAGGCUUGCCCACAUAGCGUUUCCAAGGCACUUGCCAUGCCCAACUAGUUAAAUCACAGAACAAACACAAAUUACUGUCUCAAUCAGUCUUCAACCUAAACACUUCCUUAUACUCGUCCUAGUUUACUUCGUUACCAGCUUAGGAUCAUGUUUUGUAAUUGUGUUACUACUUAACGUAAAUCUUUAUUAAAGAACAACAAUGAAAACAGUUAAAUAAGUUGUCUAAUGAAUUUUGUGCUACUUAACUUGAAUUCGGUCAUAACUUUUCGUUUAAGCAAUUUACGAUACUGUUUUCUAAUCAGAAUUUCAAUUUUAAUUGUGUAUCUAUAUAUUUAGAGUAAACCUUUCAUGAAAAUUUAUGGAGUUGAAACUUGAUACUGAUACAUACCAAGAGGCCAAUGUCGAAGCCAACAACGACAUUAUGGGCAAUGGAGAUGGCGCCGAGUUCGAGGUCACCUAGACGGCCAGCGAAGGCUUGAGUGAUGACAAACAUGGAAUAGGUUGCAACACGGUUAAACAUUGAAGGGCCUACUAUGUGCCAAAGCUUCUUGGACUCGAUCCAAAAGCUUGGUAACAGUUUUUGAUCUUGUUCAUCUCGUUGAUCUCUUUCAUCUGUCAGAGAGUGAUGUUCCAGAAGUGGAAGAUCUGCUUCUCUUAAUGGUGAAUCCUCCUUGCUUGGCAUAGCUGGGUAGCAAUAUGUAUUGGUGGAAAACCUGUAAAGGUUCUAGAGAUUCUGAAAAGUGAAAAGCCGAAACUGAAAGGAAAAUGAAGAACGAAAGGUAGAGGAGUAACGACAGGUUCAAAAAGUUCGAGGCUUUAGAAGAGAACCUGUUUUUUUCUUAUGAAAACGCUUCUUUAACAACGAAAACUUUGACACUUUGACAACGCCAAGUGUAGUUGUUCAUUGGUCGAAAUUUAAAAAAAAAAAAGAAUUAAUAGUUUUCUGAUAUCGCAGGGUAAAAAUGAAAUUUUGUUUGGCGGUUCAUUCUCACUUUGGUAUCUUGGCUCUGUCUCGUUCUUUAAUCACUCUGAUAUCAUUUUCUCUCUCGUUUUCUUAUCACUCUAGUAUCACUUUCUUUUUCCUUCUCUCGUCACUCUCGUAUCACUCUCUCUUUUUCGUUCUCUCAUCACUCUUUCUCUCUCUCGCGUUCUCCGACCAUUGUUGUCGUUGUCUUGUGCAUUGUCGUUGUGCAUCGUUGAAGCCCUCCACAAUGUUUGUCUUGUGCAUUCUUGCUAUGUUGUUGUUUUUUGGUAAGUCGAACUGUUCAAACACUAACCUAAUAUCCAGUAGAGAGGUUUUCGUCUUUCGCAAAACCUAACGAUUUUCUGCACAUUGUUAUAACUGCAGGUUCAAUGGCAUCAAAAAAAACAAAUGUAAUUUUUUAUUUGUAUAAAUGAUGUUUUAUCCUCUUAGUGUUAGUUAAUAUUCAUUUUGUGUUAAUGUUUUAUAGUGGCGCCUUCGUAUCUCAAUGGAUUCAGCCACCAUUGCUGAAAUGAACAGGUUACUACGGGACAGUCAUAUAGAGUGCAUUAGGAUGACCCCUUUUAAGUGGUGUCUUCACAUUCUAGACCUUCUUGAGAUGAAUUUACAAUUAUUGAAGUUGAUGGUCAAACAGUGGGUUGACCAUGAUUUUAGUUUUAGGACUUGUCAAUAAUUAGUCCCAUUUACUGUUAUUGAUGAGUUCAUGGCCACAGGUUUAGAUAUAGGUGGUCUAGACAUUCCUUUUGAUGAAUCAGUAGUUGAAUUGGUUAGUCAGAUGUUUAAUCCAAAAACCACUACAAAGAAGGAGCUGGUUGACAUGUUUAAUUUGAUUGUGCUGGACAAAAAGAUAGAGGUUGAUGUAGUGUGUAGAUUAUAUAUAUUAGUGUGUUUGGUUUCGUUUUAUUUUCCUAGGAAGUCUUUCUAUGUUUCUAACAUGCCUUGUGCAGUGUUAGAUGACUUAGAUAGUUUAUGUUUAUAUGAUUGGGCGAUUGAUGUACAUAAACAUAUUGUACAAAAUUUAAAUAAAUGUAUGAAGAAAGUUAUAUUUGGAAGAAUCGCCAAUUUACUUAGUCUUAGUGACAAUGUGGCCGUGUUGCAGGUAACAUGAUUUAUAAAUGAUUUACUGAAUUUAAAUCUCAAGACAUUGUGAAAUUUGGUUAACUAUUUGUUUUGAUAUUUUAAGGCUUGGGCUUUUGAAAGACUAUCUUUGCACGAUCAUUAUUCUCAUAGGAGGUUCCCUCGCAUAUUGCGAUGGUUCCCUUAUACGACAAAGACAAAACAAAUUUAAAAUAUGUUUAAGAUCAAAGACGUAAGUUUUUCAAACUUUGUUAAAUAUUCAUGGAUUUAUUUCACUAAUAUGGUUCUUUGUGUUUGUUAUAGUUAAAUCUGGAGUGGUAUGUAAAGCAAGCAAGAUCAUCAAGUGCUCGAACUCCAUACUGCAUUCCAUAUGGAUGACGGAGGGAUGGGUGACGGAUCGAUGGCGUAACCAUCGAGGCUUGCAGAAACAGAUGAUGAUAGCUCCGAUGACAGCAUGUAUGAAGCAGGUGCUGAGGAGAGAAUAUGGAAAAACAAUGAAGAUAUCAUCACAUUGAAUGGCAAGAUUGCAAGACUUACGAGGGAGUUAAUGGACCUUUGUCAAAUUCCAAUGUAUAAUGAAGAAGCUCCAUUUGGUCAUCAUGAAGAAGGUGUUGGUGUAGGCGAUGAAGAAUAUGCUGGUGGAGAUUAUGAACACCCUACAGGGGAUGAAGAACCACCACAUGAUGAUGACAAAGUUGCAGCAUUUGACCAUCGUCGUGAUUUUAUUGAUGUUGAUGAUGGCGAUGAUAAUGAUGAUGAAGGGGAGAUACCAUUGGCAAUCCCCCCUUUAUGCAGUUUUGUUGGUGAUCCAACCACUGAUGUUGAUGUUGAGCAAUUAUACUAUGCAGUCAGUGUAAGAGACAAAGUACAUAGGUAAUUGUUUUGAAUGUCAUUUGUAAUUUGUGAAAGGCGAUCGUGUCUGAUUGAAUAAUAUUUGAAUUUUUUCAGGGUUGUGUAUGAAAUCAUUGGGCAAACCUUGAACACAACUUCUAUUCACACUUUAGCACCACUUGAAUAUGUUGAUAACAUGGUAAGUGUUAUGUUACAUGUGUUAAUUUUGUUAGUUAUGUUAUUUAUUUGGUCAAUUUUCAUUGUGUAGGUGGUGUUAUUUGCUUCUACAAUCUUUAUGCACUUUAAGAAAAGGUUGAUCGAUGUUGUUAGAGGGUUCAUUUUCAGUUCUUUAUACGCAAGUAAAUUAUAAUUUAUUUGAUAUCAUAUAUUUCAUGGUAGAAAUAAUGUGGAAGGCAUUAAUGAAUUUGAAAUUGUUCACAGAACCAUGUUCUUAGUGAUUUUAGGAGACGUCCACAAAAUCAACAUGUGUAUACCUUCGUAAUUACGCGAUCUAUAUGAGGUCUGAUUAUUUUGGACUUGGAGACAUUCUCAUAGCUAACUUUGUGAGUUAGGUUUAGGUUUAAUCAUUUAAAUUGUCCCUAUUUAUGUUGGGUUUUCUCAAUUAGGUCCCAGUAUUUUAAAAUGUCUCAAUUUAGUCUCUAUUUUUGCAAAAUUGAAUCAAUUAAGGGUUUGCCGUUAACUUUGAUGGACGGCGUUAAAAUUGGAUGUGGUUGACAUCCGUUGUUGGCUGAGGUGGCAGUGCGUUCUGAGAUGAGUUGGUUUUAAUAGAUUUUUUAAUUAAAUUUCAUUGUAAAUAUUUAAAACGUGCACACAAAACGUAACGUUUUAUUAACUAAAUUCUACCGAAAUUAAAACGAACGUUUGGAUUGUAGAACAUUUUAGAAAACAGUGGAAAUUGGAGAAAAUCUGGAACUCAGAAGGGAUUUAAAACCCUAAGUUGGGGUACGCCACUUAUUAGUUAACUGAUAAAUUUUCUCUCACAUGCAUUUUAUCAUACACUCGCCGUUCACAAAUGUUCCCUUCUCUAAACUGUUUUUUCCUUAUGAAAACAUGGUUUCAAAAAAACUACUUUACAUGUCUCUGUACUUUCAAAGGAAAAUCUUUUAGAUUCAGACUUAUAUAUAUUUAUAAGUACAGCAAACUUAUAUUUGUCAUACCUCUCCUUUCUUCACUUUUUUUUUUCAACUCUUGCAGCGGUAGAAAUGCAGUUACUGUAGUAUGCUCUUUGCCAAGCUUUGCAUGUAAUUUUUGGGAGAAAGCAAGAAGAAUUUUGGUCUCACACGGAUGCUUUUCGAAUUCUUGUGUUCAUGAUUAUUAACAAGAAACGAAUCGUGGAAUUGAUGAAUACGUGGUUCAUUUUGAAGGGAUACAUAUUUAUAUCCUCUUCCAAUUUAGGGUUUUAAAUCCCUUUUGAUUUCCAGAUUUCCCCCAAUUUUUCCAAUUUCCUCAAUUUUCACUUUCUUCUAAAAUGUUCUACAAUCAAAACUCACGUUUUGAUUUUGGCAGGAUUUAGUUAAUAAAACGUUGCGUUUUGUUUUGUGUGUACAUUUUAAAUAUUUAUAAUGAAAUUUAAUUAAAAAAUGUAUUAAAGCCUAUUCACCUCACAACACACUGCCACUUCAGUCAACUAUGGAUGCCACGCAACCCAAUUUUAACGCUGUCUAUCAAAGUUAACGGUAAGCCCUUAAUUGAUUCAAUUUUGCAAAAAUAGGGACUAAAUUGAGAUGUUUUAAAAUACCGGGACCUAAUUGAGAAAACCCAACAUAAACAGGGACAAUCUAAAUGAUUAAACCUUAGGUUUAAUAUGUAAUUAUUAUGUUUGGCAAAUUUAAUUUGUUCAUGUAUUGACAUUUGGUUUUCUUUGUUUGUAGUUGUUUAUGCCAUUUGUCCAUGAUGAACAUUGGUGGUGUUAUGAAGCAAAAAUUAGAACAUUACAAAUAUUCGUCAUUGACUCAUUGGGCAAGGGUGUCAGGGAUCGGAAAAGGAUUGACAAAUUUGUUGUAUGAUUGCAUAAUUUAUGUUUGUGAAUAAAUUUGAUGUUGUGAUUUAAUGUAGUUUUUUUUUUUUAACUAGUAGGGUGAAAAUAUUGCAAGAUUGUUUUGCAUGUUGUACAAUAGACACGAAGGGAGUAUUGGUCCAUCCCAACCAAACUUGUAAGUUGUUUUAAGCAUUGUAUUUAAAUAUUUGAUUUUCUCUAGAGCUUUCAAAACGGGUAACCCGGCCCGACCCGGCUCGGACUACCACGGGUUGAUGGGUAAACGGGUUGGUUCAUUGGCUCACUUAAAUACAAUUUUUUUAAAUAAAAAAAAUUAUAAACUUUUAAUAAUUUAAAUCUAAACAAAUUUCACUUCUAAAUUUCACUCUCAACAUAAGUGUUUAAUUAAUUUUGAAAAUAGGGAACUUAAAUAAUUAUUUCAAGCAAAAAAUAAUAAUAAAUAUUCUUUUAUAAAAUUAAAAUUCAAUUUUUAAUAAACUAAAAUUAGGAAGGUGGGUUGGUGGGCCAACUCGGUCCACCACAAGUUCAACCUGCAUGAGCCGUGUUUAAUUGAGCCGGGUUGAAAUCUGACCCGCAUAAAAAAAAUACAAUUUUUUCAAACCCAAUCUUGCCCAAACCCGUGGUGGAUCGGGUUGACCCGCAGGUUGUGACCCAUUUUGAUAGCUCUAGUUUUUUCAUUACUGUUUUUUGUCGUAACUGAUAAAUGUUUCGGUUUUAUUCUUUCAGAGUACAUAGUGGAGUUAUAAUGUUAAAAGCAAUAAAAAUUUGGGAUGGAGAGGACAAAUACAACGGGAAGAGCAUGCCGCAAUAUACGAAUAUAAAUAUCAAUUUGAUUGUUACUAAUAUUUGAUGAUUGUGUUAAUUAUUUUUAAAGUACAAAAUUUUGGUUCGAGGAGGAGUUGCAUGCAAUUAAGAAGAAUUAUGUAAGGGAUUGGAUCCUAGACUACGACAACAUUAGAAGAAUGGAAGCGCUAGCUGAAUAUGGGUUGUUGUAGGAUUGUUUAUAUUUGUCAUAUGUACAAAUUGUUAAGAAACAAUGAUAUAUAUAUAUAUAUAUAUAUAUAUAUAUAUAUAUAUAUAUAUAUAUAUAUAUAUAUAUAUAUAUAUAUAUAAUUAAUUGUUAUUGAAAUAAGAUCACAUUUUUCAUGAUAAGUUUAUGUGCAAUGUCAUUUUAUUUACGUUGAAGGACUGAAUGCGCAAUAUUAAUAAUUCAAUUUAAUAAAAACAAUGGUUCUCCAACUUAAGCGGAGUCCUGAGACUUGUGCACCAGAAAACACACUAGUAAUCGUUUACAGGACCUUGGUAAACGAUUACACGAGCAAAAUCCUGGAUUUGUAUAGAAAGUUGUACUGCAGGAGCCAACUGUGGUAACGUAGGGGACCAUGUUCAAAAUUUUAAUUUUUUAGCAUAAGUCCAAUGGUUUUCUGUGGAUAUUGAUGUUUAACUUUGUUUAGAAUGUGGGAGGUCAUGUUUGGGCACCCCAUGAAAAUAUGAAGUUAUAAGGUUAUUGUUUAACUUUCUGAUGUUGUUACAAAAAUGAAGUCCAAACAAAGGAUGGGAUAUGAAGUUAUAGGGUCAUUGGUUAUGUGCAAAAUCUAGAGGGAGUGUGGGUUCCAAACGAGAACCCUCCCAAUCAAGAAGGUGAAGGCAGACAACAAGAAGAUAAUGAUUAAGGCAAUUCUUCUACAACACUAAACGAUGUAAUCAACCGCAUAGAACAAAUGCAGACUUUCGUUGCUACAAGAUUUGACACCUUUCAUAUGCAAUUUGGAAACAUAGACAUGGCCAUUGAGACAAGAUUUGAGUCGCUGUAUUCGCGAGUUGGGAACAUUGAGGAACAAUUGUGGCACUUGCGCACCCGCUUGGAUAACGAACCUCACACUUAGAAUUUGUUGUUUAGAUUUCUUUAUUGACAUUUAGAACAUUCGUGGAUUACUAUGUUGGUAUUUUCAGUAUUGUAAUGUUUUUUUAAUAAUAAAGUGUUUUAUAGAAAAUAAAAGUUCUCAUAAUGAAUGUAUACAUCAACCUUUUGCGGAUUAUUGUUCAUAAAUACGUACAUGAAUAAACCAAGAAUGUACUUGUAAAGAACAAAUUCAACUAAAAAUGAAUGCACUUAUGCCAAAAAACUAAAAUUUCAGACCAUGGUCACCUAUGUUGCCAAAGCUGACUCCUAUAGUACAAGUUUUUGUACAAAUCCUGAAUUUUGCUCGUGUAAUCGUUUACCAAGCAGCUGUAAACGAUUACAAGUAAGGUUUUUGGUGCAGAUGUUUGAGGACUUCACCUAGGCUUCCCAUCACAUAAACAUUGUUACUUUUAUGUAUACUAGGGUUCACAAACAUGCCUUGUAACAAUGUACUCAAACUUAAACAACGAAAUCAAGUCAAAACAAUUGGAAUUAUGCCAAAAAACUAAACUUUUAGACUAUGGUCACCUACGUUAGCAAAGCUGGCUCCUGCAGUACAAGUUUCUGUACAAAUCUUGAAUUUUGUCCGUGUAAUGGUUUACGCAGCAGCUGUAAACGACUACAAGUUAGUUUUUUUGUGCAAAGUUCCUUUUCCUAAAUAUUGGGGUUCCUAAACAUGAUUUCACAUGUAAUUUCUCAUACCAAUAAAUGAAAGGGAAGACAAUGACCAUGUUUGAUUUUCAAUUACUUUCGUAUAGCAAUCAAUGAAAAGGAAGCCAAUGGCCAUGUUUGAUUUCAAAUUACGUUUGAAUCGCAAUAAAUGAUAUGGAAGGCAUUGACCAUGUUCAACAGUUAGGUGGUUAAAAGUUUUAAGGAACAUUAAAUUUUGAUUCCUGCGUUGGUGAAACAGUUUGACUGGAUUAAUGGUACAUUAAAGGGCAUACAACGGUCCAACAUUUUCCCAAAGCCAUUCAGCAUGAGUCAAAUCUUAGUUUUUCUCCAACAUUUAAUGGAGUGCUAUGACCAACAAUGUUGGGACUGUUGAACAAACAUCUUAUGGAACUAUAUAUUUGUUAUUGAGGUAUAUAUGGAAUGAACAAAGAGAAACAUAUCAACACGUAUAUUUUGUUCUUUUGGAAAUCAUGGCUGCAUCAUCCACCAUAAGAACGUCAACGAUCUUGUGGGAGUUUGUCACUAUCCACCUAACAGAUUUGGUAAACAUAUUUUUUUGUUAUAAAUUUUUUCAUGUAUGUUAUGUUAUUGUUAUUUUCACACGUAUUUCUGCAGGAUUUUGGAUAUGUCGAUAGGCAUUUCGCUGCAACAUUUCAACUUGAAUUAGGAAGUACGUGGUCGUUGGUGGACAAUAAUGGUGACAUACACGUGGUUACUUAUAACAUGAAUACAUUAGAUCCUAGAAUUACGAUUGGAUGGUGUUCAAUGAAAAACUUAUACCAUGAAAGGCUUAAUGAUGCCCACAUGACCUUCCAAUAUUUGGGUGACAACAAUUUCAAAAUUAUAAUUUAUUUCGGUCCUUGCACCGAUAAGAGUAGGGAAUAUUUCAUUGAUCGAUGUACAACUGAUCCUGAGUCGUCAUUGUUUGCUAUGAAAUUGACUAAAUCACAAUGUCAAGGAAGUCACUUGAUACGUAAGCAAUAGUUCAAAUUUCCCCAAUUAUUUUAUAUAAAUAAUAUAAUUUCACAAUGUCAUUCACUUUAUAUUGCUUGUUGCACAAGACUUGCAUACUACAUUUGGGAAUGAAAUUAGGAACAAAGGCUUCACGGAGGUUAUGCUUCUUGGUUAUAAGGAUGCCAUCAGGUGCAAAGUUUUGGUUUCACAGACUAGGAAUUCAACAAAGUUUGGAAAAGGUUGGAAAGAAUUUUGCAACCAAUAUGGCUUGAAGGAAGAAGACGUUGUUGUCUUCGAGUUGUGCCGAAUUAUGCUAUCGAGUUGUACCGAGUUUGCCAAGCUAUGAAAAUUCUAUCACCCCCCUUAAGCUGGGAGUAGAUGUUAGUCAUUCCCAACAUGGAAUGAAGGUGUUUGAAAGGAGUAGGAGCAAGAGUAAAAGGUUUGGUAAAAAGGUUUGCGGCUUGCCGAGUAGUUCAAAUGGGUAAAAGCUUUAGGAGACCAUUGUUGAUCUUGUCCUUUACAAUGUGAGAGUCUAUUUUGAUGUGUUUUGUGCAUUCAUGAAACACCUAGUUGGGGCCGAUUUGGAUAGUUUGGUGAUUUUCUCAAUAAACUAUAACAAGUUAAAUUAUUAGUAUACGAAGAUCCUAGAGAACAUAAAUGAGCCAUUAUAGUUCACAAGUGACAGAGGCUAGAGCUUUGAUAAACAAUUUGCUACUUUUUGGAUUUCCAAGAAAAGAUGGAGUUUCCGAGGUAAACCGAGUAAAUCGUGUUGGAUUUUCUAGAGUCGGCACAAGUAGCCUAUUUAGAGUCGCUAUAUGCAUUGAGUUGAAUAAUAUUGUUGCUUUAGAGAAAAAUAUCAUUGUCAAGGGCUCCCUUUAGAUAUCUAAGAAUGCGGUUGGAAGCCUGUUGAUGUAGGAUGGUAAUAGAUGAGACAAAUUAACUGAGAUUCUUGACAUAGAAGGUUAUCUAUAGUUUGGUAUUGGUGAAAUAAAUUAUAUGCCUGAUGAGUAUGCGAUAAAAGGAGGAAUCUUCAUCAUUGAGGAGAUCUCCUUCACUGGUUAAGCAAGAGGAGUAUGUCGUGGGAAUAGACAUAGGGGCACAAUGUAGCAUUCCAACCUAGCUAAAGAGGUCGAGAGUGUACUUGCAUUGAAUAAGAUGAAUUCCUGAGUUGUUCCGAGCAACUUCCAAACUAAGGACAUAUGUAAGAUCGAUCAUGUUUUUAAUAUGAACUGGGUUGUCUAGUAAGGUUGUGAUGUAUUGUAUCUCAGUAAGGUGGAUGUUUAUUGAUUCAAUUGUUCUCUGGCAGUGUUAUAUGAGAAUUUAUAUGAGAAUGAAAGGUUGUGGAAAACAGUUCCAAGGAUGAAUUCCUUAUUGGUAUUUUCAUGGGUUGUUGUUAAAAUUGAAGAAGCUUAGUUCUAAUGGAUUAUCCUAACACUCUAAUGACUACCCAUGCUCAUGUAGAGAGUGUUGAGUCAUAUGAUGAGAGUAAUAGGAGGUUUUUUCUAGGUGCUUUCAGUAUGGCAUAAGAUGUGGUACUUACUAACCUUGUGUGGUAACUUGUAUGGUUGUCAGAUGUUCCACCACACAAGUGCAUAACUUUGUGUGGUAGCUUUGAUGGUUAUCAACUGUUCCACAACACAAAGACCAAAAAAUGUUAUAACAAGACAUUUGUUAUAUAUUUGGAUUGUCAAGUCUAAAUGUGUUGCAUGUUUACGAUGGAUAAUGUUAUUGUAUGAAGUGUAAAACAUGUUGUAAUGCUAUUUUAUUAUGAUAAAUUGUUUUGCUACUAGCUUACCCUUGCUUUUGUGUUGUCUGUCUAUGUGUUGCUUUCUCUUUUGUGAUGAUCACCUAAAGGAUGUAAGUUUAGGAAGGCGUUCUUUUCAGUCGUUCCAACGAGAGGUGGGGGUGAAGCAAACAUAUUGCUAGAUGGAUCUACAAAGGUAGAUCUCUUGUACUUUUGGAGGUUUGCUUUCAUAUAGUGGUUCCAUUAUCAUAUAUGUAAUAUUUUAUUUUAGAAGUUUUACACUCUUAAAAUGGGAUGUUACGCAAUUGAGUCUAAAUCGAAACAUUGUCAACAUCCCCUUGGAAUUGACAAACUUACCAUUAUAUAAGAAUUUUAAAUUCAAGGAUUCAUAAUUAGUGACAUGAGGACCUAAAGUUUUCAACCAGUUAGCUCCCAAUAUAAGAUAUGCAUAUGAAAUUAGAAGUAAAUAUACAAGCAUUUGAAACAAAUUCGCUUGAGCAUGUAUGACCAAUUUUUGAAUUAAACCUUCUGCUGUCAUAUAAUUCCAAUUUCCUACCACUACUUUGAACAUGGGCAUUUGUUCGACCGAAAGCCUAAAAAAUUUUGCAAGACGAGGUUGCAAAAAAUUAUCUGAACUCCCUCUAUCCACUAAAACAAUCAUGGGUAGCUUGUCAAUAUAAAUUAAACAUUGAAUUGUACCCACACCAACGCCACCUUUAAGUGCAUUAAGUGAUAAAUGAUGGUCUGCAAUCCCAAUUUCUUUGCUAACAACCUGCAGAUAAAAAUUAGGUGAUGACUCAUAAUUAAGAUCCAACUAGUCAUCCUCUAAAUUCAAAAAUAAAUAUUGUCUAUUUCACCGAUGGUUAAAAGUAAAUUUGUCAUCAUAAAAAUAGCAUCGUCCUUUUUCUUUGCGAAUUUGCAUUUCAGCUGGACUUAUUCUUUUGACAUUACUAUUGGUUAAAGCUAGAAUUGUAGGUUUAGGUAAUAAUGGUGGAAGAGAUGAUUUAACCAUAGGUUUGGGUUGUUGCUUUGAAGUAUUAAAACUCGUUGAAGCCAUUGGAGAAUAAUGUCGAAUAGGCAUUGGAUUAGAUUUAACCAUGGGCGAAUAUCGGUCGUCAUAUAAAUUUUCCAAGGCUACUACUCUCAUAAAAGAAUUACGAGUUUGAACUACCAUAUCAUGUCUAAUUUUAGCACGUAACCCACUCAAGAAACAAUUUAAUAAAGCUUCAACAGAUAAGCCAAUUGAUCAGUUUGCUAACAACAUAAAUUUCAGAUAAUAAUCAGAAAUCAUACUAGUUUGGUUUAAUUUAAACAACUCAGCCAUUGGACAGUCAAAAGGAGAGGGACCAAACUGGGAUUCCAAAGCGUGCAUCAAAUUUGUCCAUGAUUGAACUGCAGAUAGGCAUUUAAGCAUUUGAAACCAAGGCACAACAUCUUUUUCGAAAUGCAUUGCAGCAAUCUCUACUCUCUGCAUCAGGCGUAUAGUGAUAGUUAAAGAACUGUUUUGCCUUAAAAAUCCACUCUAACACCAAUGAUUGUCCAUCAAAAUGUGGAAAUCCCAAGGACAUAUGUCCUUAGCCGGUAACAUAACAUGCAAUUGACUUGCUCCCAAAGUGGCACCAUGGAACUCAUAUUGCGAUUUAACUAUUAACUCUAAGGAUUGUUGGAAUUGAUUCAUAUGAGUUUUUGCAUCUGCCUGGACUUGUUGAGUAUGAGCCCUUGUUCACGAUCACGAAGUUCCAGUAGAUCCAUUAGUUUGCGAAGUUCAUCGGAAUGACCAUGUACUUCAGCAUGUAAUUCCUUCAAAUGGGUGUUCUCAGCCAUAGCGUCAAUGAAGGAACCAAUGAAACAAAAAUAACUAAAACAAGUGAUAAGAGCUGAUAUAUUGCAAUUACUGAAUGAAGUUAUAAUGGACAGAUUUCAAGUAUAUUGAACUUAUAAACGAAAAACGAGAUUUGAAUGUUUCAAUACAAUAAUAGGAACAUAUAUUUAGCAAGAAAUAACAGGCUCUAAUCGGGAAUUCAUAACCUGAUAUAAGACAAAAAAGAAAUCCAACUCAACAUUAUUUUCGCUUGCAUUUUUCUUGCAUGUUACAGCUUUGUAAAAUGAUCAAUGAUUUUUUCUUUUGUUUCCUAUAAACUUUUUUUUUUAUCUUUAAUCAAACGUGAAAGUAGUUAACAUGAUCUUAAGAAUUUAACAAAACUAUUUCAUAACUUUGAAGAUUAAAUAAAAUUUAAAAAACAAAAGCUAAAAUCAUAUUUCUACAUCUUAUAAAGAAUUCAAAAAGUAUUUAAGUCUAAUUCAUAAAGAAAUAAUAAAUAUGCUAUUAUUAUUUAAUUAUGUUCUUGUUUUUUGUUUUAAUAAAAUGUCUUUUUUAAUUUAUGGAACAAAAAUUGACCUUUUGUUCUUGUUUUAUUUUAGUCUGCGAUCCAUAUUGAAUUAGUGAGUGUAAUGUUUUGACUAAAUUCAUUUAUAUACACACAACAUAUGGACUACAUUCAUAUUUUAGGAACUGAAUUAAAUUGUCGACAAAUUACAAAUUAAAUAAAUAUUCAGAUACUUUAGUUCAGUUCAUGUUUUGGAUCUGCCCACUUCGUCAUACGCAAUUUCGCACUCUCAGCCUGAAAUUUUUAACCCACAAAAAUACAUCUAUUUAGAUUAGAUAAUUCGAAGUGAGGACCAUUAACACAAUUGAAGAGAAAGAAAAAAAAAACACUAAGAUUGAAGAAUAGCCACAAUGUUACCUCCUUUUCCCAGUCGCACCGAAUGGUAAUGAUGCUCAAUAUUAAUGUCUGAGUAGCUGUGCCACCAAAUAUCAUCCCAGCCCAGAUUCCCUUUGUUCAAUUUCAUAAGAAAAUGGUGUAAGAAUCAUAGGUUAAUGCAUGUGAAAUAACUACAUAAAUGUCUAAAAGAGGGUGACAUUAAACAUACCAUAACUCCUAGGUUGAAGACCCACCCCAUCAAAAUUCCAAGAGGCAAACCAAUAAUAUAGUAGCAACCCAAGUUUAUGUAUGCAACAUAUGAUUGCCAACCUGAUCCUACAGCCACUCCUGCUCAAAAUCAUCCAAAAAGGGAAUAAAUAGAGAUAUAAUUGUGCAGUAUUUAUAUAUAAAAUGUGAAAGCUACAUUGAACAUUGAUGUGAUACCUGAUAGAAUUGGCUGAACACUAUUGAGAAGAAUUGUGAAGGCUAAUAGAAGAGAAAGGUUGUUUACUUCGUCAAGAACAGGUUUGCUAGUAGAGAAUAUGUAGCCGAUUUUAUCAUGCAAUAUCAAAAUCAAGAUAGAGAAGAAGAGUCCUAUAAUAACAGAUGUCACCACAGAUACUGUAGUAGCAAACUUGGCUCCUUUUCCAUUCCCUGCUCCAAGCUCAUUUGCAACUCUCACUCUGCAGAUUGCAUGUUAACUAAUAAAAUUACUAAUUGCAUUUCUACACCUUUAGCUUCUCGUCAUCAUGUAAUGGUUUUUAGGUUGUUGUUUGCUUCAUUAUAUCUCACUUUCCUUCUUAUCUUUCUCUUUUAAGUUUAAAUGUUUUCUUUACGUUUAAUUAUGCUAAAAGGGGCAUCUCUUCAAUCAAUUUAUGAUGCAGAAAUCAAGAUGGUCUGAGAGUUAAUUAACAGUUAAAUACAUUAAAAUGUAAAUACAAUUUUUGUUCCAUACGUUGUUAUCUUAUAAUUUUUCAAAUUUAUACGGAUUACUUCCUUAAUCCUGAAUUCAAAAUUAUAUUAAAAACAUUUGUAGUAUAGCGUAAUAGUCUCUGGUAAAAUUAACUGAGAAAAAGUUAGAAUAAAAUUGAAAAGUUAUAUUAAAAAUAUUUGAUAAAAUUAACGGACAAAUUACUUGGAAUUUUUAAAAUAAAAAAUAAGGGUUUGAUUAAUUAUUGAAUCAAAUAUUAAUAUUAGGUAACUAUAUGCUAUUAAUAUAUUUAUCCUUUAAUUUUAUUUCACUUUUCUAUAAUCUAAAAUGUUUUAUAUAAAUUAAAUUUCAAGCAAUUUCUUUCUAAAAACUUAUUAUUAUUAAUUAAAUUAGUUUCUACAUUGUUAUUAGAAAUAAUAUUUUAUUAAAAAUAUUAAAUAAAAAAAAAAUUAUUAACAAGUGUAACGCUAACUCAAUAAUUUAAAAAGGUUUAACAAUAAAAUAAUAAUCCAAAAAGAUUUAGACAUUAGCACUUUUUCAUAAUUAAGGAUAGUUUUAUUUUUAGUCAAAUAAAAUUUUAACUGAAAUUGCAUACAGUAUUCAUAGUAAAUUUUGUAUUAAUUUUACUCUUUUGUGAAUGAAUGUACAAUGUAGUGAGGAUGGAGUGUUCAAUUUGGUUUUUUCGCUUUAAUAGUUAAGAGCUCUAUUUGGGUAACGGGAGAAUAUAGUAGAAAAUUAUGUUAUUCAAGAGUGAAGAUCAGUAAAGAAAUGUGAAGUCAUCAGAAUGAGUAUGUUUAAAGAUAAUCGAGAAGUUGUCAAUGAUCAAGACAAUUGUACGGUGUUUCAUAGAGGAAGUAAGGAGAAGGUGAAGAGAUAUCAGUCAAGGAUUAAUCUCAAGUCAAAACUAAUUGAAGUUUUAAAAGGAGUUUAAAAUAGAUAAUAAAAUAUAAGUUGGUAAAGUUUACCGUGUGGCUGAUAUAAUUUGAGUGGUUAUGAGAAAGAAAAAUAUGUACAAGCUAAGGUUUAGAUUAGAGGAUUUGUUUUGAGAAUGUUUUUCAUCUCAGUAAAAUUGUUGGAGAGUAAUAUCUUUGUCAAAUAGGUGACUGUGAUAGAGAUUAUGAUUAUAGUAGGUUGUUCCUUCUAUUUAAGGAGUGAAUUUUCAGGAACAAAAUUUUUUGUUGUUGGGGAUAAUGUUAGAACCUAGAAAAUAGAGUAUUAAAGUGGAUAGGUGUUUUAAAAUAAUGAGACCAUGUAUUUUAAAAUUAAAAUAAUUCACUAAUAUAAAUAAAAAUUUUUAAACUUGUCUCAUUACGUAAAAUAUAAACCAUUUCUCUAAAACUAUUCCUCUUAGUUCUCUCUCCUUUCUCUCUAAGAAAUCUCACUCCUCUGAUAUCUGUUUGACGAUAAGGAAGUUUCUAUGAGAUCACAACUGAGUGAUCUUAAUUUUUAACCGAUCAGUUCUUGGUUUAGAUCAAGUGAGUUUCUACCUCUUUUUCCUUCUUUUCUCUGUUUAUGAUCAUGCUUAGGAAUCCCUUCGCAUGUGUCAUUUAUACAUUAUUCUUGGUUCUUUGCCUAUCUGUGAUCUUAAGGACUCACUUCAUUCACGAUUUAGUGAUUUGUAGACCUUUCUAGAGUUCCUUGAUUCGGAGGCAAGAGUUUCGGCGUUCUUAGAGAUUAGUAGCUUCAAUGAAGGUAAGAGAAGCUAGUGUUUUAUCUUAGUUAAAUUAUGAUGUAUGAAAUGCUAUUUAAUGGUGUAUGUAACUAAUAUAUGUUGUUGGUUGUGUUAAAGAUGAUUGCUAUUAAGUAUUUAGUGUUUAAAAUGAUGGAAACUGGUUGAGUGAUACAAUGUACCAUGCUGUUUUCAUUUGGAAUUUAUUAAUUUCAUGAAUGCUUUUGUUGAAAUGCUUGAUGGCAUCAAGUUGGUUAGGAAGUUGAGAAGAAGUGAUUUAGACUAAGUUAUAAGUCGUUUUCUAUAGUAAACAUUGAGGUUUGAUAGGUGAAAUUUAGAAUUAUUGGUCUAAGAAGAGAAUUGGUGGAUAAGAAAUGUUAUUUUGGUCAUUUGAAAGUUGUUACACUUUUACUUGAGUAAAACUCUAAUGUUGAGUUGGUAAAUCUACAAAGAGGUUGAGUUCUAGUUCGUUUUGGUCAAUUUUAGGGGUUUUGAGUACUGAGUUUUUAAAGUAACUAAAUUAAGGUCAAGUGGAAUGUUUGCAGUUUGCUAUUAGGUCAGUUGAGACUUGGUUUGACCUCUAAAUGGCUAAGUUAUGGGCUAAAAGUGGUAGAUUUAAGUUAUGGUAUAUAGGUUGAAAUUUUAGUUGGUUUAAGUUAGAAUUUCAUUACAAAAUGAGUUUAGUUUUGGUUUUAGUGGAAUUAUACAUGCUUGGUUAGGUCUAAUUAGGUUUAGAAUAUCAAAUGGAAGUUAUAGAUGUUAAUAGAAAUGUGUGAAGUUAGAUAAGUGUAGUUGAGGGGUGCAAAUUAUGUAGUUUUGGUAUUGCAGAAUUAUGCAGUCUCGCUGAGCGAGUGUAGCCAUUGUGCGAGUAGAGCUAUAUCUAGUUAAGCGAGUGUAGUCGUUGAACGAGCAAAACUCACUGUUUCUGUAUUCGUAGAGCGAUUCAUUUUGGUUGAACGAGUGGGCUGCUAGACACUUUUAGCUAAGUGAGCAGACCUGAUGCCUAAGCAAAAAAUAUCAAAAUUUUCAGCUAUGUUUUUAUAUAUUUCUUAAGGUGUGUUCAAUGAAUGUGAUUGUUUGAAUGAUUGGUUUAUAAUACUUAUUGUGAAGUAUGAAUUGAUUUAUAAUAUGAAUUGGAAAAAGGAUUAUGUAUAUGCUUAUGUAUGAUAUAUGAUGAUGAUGAGUUUUGUGUUCUAUUAUUUUAUUUUCUUAUGAAGGAUAAUUACAGUGAUACUCUAAGGUGUGUUUGGUAUAUUAUAUAGAAUGUGUGGUAUGGUUUGGAACAUGUGAUUAAAUGGAAUGAGGUGUGUAAGAGUUCUAAGGAUAAUUCUUAAUGUUUGUAUCAAAGUGUUGUUAGUACGAAUGCAGAAAGCUUAGUCUUAGGGGUUAUUCUGACACUCUAAUGGUCAUUCAUUCUCAAGUAGAAAGUUUGACACAUGUGGUGAGAGUAAAGAGAUUGUAGUCUUAGGUUCUUCCAGUAUGGUCUAAGGCAUGUUACAGACUAACCUUGUGAGUGUAGUAGAAUGAAACCCAUUGGCAAUGGCUUUGCAACGUAGUAUAGCCCACCACAAGUGCACGACCCACUAUAGCUCGACAAUCAUACUAAAUUCGGAUAGUAUAGUCUAUUUCUUGGCAUGUUUAAGAUGUGUGGAUUAUUUUAUAAUAAUUAUGAUUCAUGUCUAAAAUAUUAAUGUAUAUAUUAAUUUGUUUUGUAUCACUAGCUUACUCUUGUUUCUGUGUUGUUUGUCUUUGUGUAUUUUUCUCUUUUGCGAUGAUCACCUUAAAUGGUGUGAGCUGAGGGAAGGGAUAUCUCUUUAGUCGUUUUAGCGUGAGUAGGAAGAUGAAGAAUCAGUGUAAAUAAGUUUGUUCUUCAAGUUUAUAAUCUCUUUCUCUACAAAUCUCCAGGAUGACCUGUGGGUUUUAGGUUUGUCUUGUCUUAGUUAUGAAGGAUUGAAUGUAGGUGAGGUGGUUUGUCAUGUCUUUUCAAGUUUAGAUAGUAGAGUUUGUGUAUCUAACUGGAUGUUUUGCGAACAAAAAUGGUCUUGAUAAAGGUAAUGAGGUUGCACACUCAUGACCUAUAUACAGGUGAGGUGGUUUGUCAUGUCUUUUCAAUCCUUUCUUAAUUUUGAAGGUUUGGGAAAAGAAAGAGUUGUGAUUCCAAAGUCAUUGUCUAUAGUGAUUCUUGGUUUUUUCUUGCCUUUGUGAUAAUGUUUUAUGCUCUAUAGUGGUAGACGAAUGCAUAUUCAAGGAUAACUUGACCUAUAUACCUUCAUUAGAAUUGUUUAAAUCCUGUGAGACAAAUUCUUGCCUCAAAGAUAGGGAGUUAGACGAUAAGAGCUUUUGAGUUUUGAAGGAUGGAUUAAGAUAUUGGGUUCAACAGUAAUUUUUUUGUUUGUUUAAGGGAGUUUCCAAGAACAGAGUCAGGAAAUCAGAUGUCAUAUGUUUCACAAGAAGAGUUGAGUUCAAAGGCUAAAUUAAGAGGAAUUUUGGGUCAACAUUUGGUGUGUAAAGGAUUGAGAAAUCAACUUGGUUUUGGAUACCAAUGAUGUCAGAGGUCAAAAGAAGUGAAGAUGUCGGUGCGCACUAGCAUGACAAUGUUUGAGAGGGCAACAUAUGGUUCAGUAUAUCAAUGAUGUUGAAAUCUAAAGAAGACAAGUGGUGGAAUUUUAAGGUUAAAGUUAAGAAAGAAAUAGGAAUUUUGAAGUGUGCCAAGGGGAAACAAUCUUUAUAAAUGAAGAAUAAGGUUAGGAAGAGGUUGACGAGUAGUUAUGUAGGGUCGAGUUUCUAAGUUAAGAGAAAAUGAAGUCUUUGAGAAGAAUGCAGUAUUGUAAGGGUCGUAAGUUAAGUAACUAAUCAGAAGGAGAUGGUUACGUCUUAUCGGUAAGUUGAUACUGUAGAGUCAAGUUUAGAGUGAUCUUUCAAGAUCAGUGGUCCGCAUAGAAGAAAGGUUUGACCUUGGACUGAGAUAAAAGAUUUCAAACGUUGAAGGAAGGAGUAUAUCAGAACGUCAGUUUGGUAAGGAAAGGUAAAGCUAGAGAAUUAAGACCACAGUGAAUCAGGAAAAGAGAAGAAAUGUUUUGGAUGUAGAUGAAAAAAAGGGCGUUUACAAUAUAAUCGGCUAAAGUGGUUAUUGGAAUGAGCAAAGAAAUUGGGUUGGUUGAGAUGUCCAAAUAUAUGAAGUUGUAGGUUGUGGUAACACCAAUUUUCAUUUGUGUAGUUAUGUGGUGGUGUUGAGUAAUCUACUGAGUUUGGUCAGAUGGGUGCAGUUGUUGGAUGUUGGGUUACGAAAGACAUCGAGUCUGUGGGUUCAGAUUAGGUCAAAAAGUUUGUUUGAGGGAUAUAUGGUAUUUUGAGGUUUAGAGGUUCAAAGUAAGGAUGUAUGUUCCUGAAAAUUUCGAGUUGAAGACCAAAUUCUUGAAGAAGGUUUUAAAUUAAGUUGGUAGUGGUUACUGUAGUAGUGGUUAAAUGAAGAUUUCUAAGUUGUGUGGAAAUUGUUGAUGUGAUCAAAGGGCUCGAGUUUGAAGUAUAACUUUAUAGGAGAAUGGGUCGUCUAUAAACCUUUGUUCUAAUGGAUUUUUAGUCUUCAGAAGUGUUCCUCGUUUUCAGGGAAGGAAAAUGAUGAUGGUGCAUCAGGUGUAGUUAAGCGAAAGAUAGGAGCAAGUGUUAUGGGAAUCAAGGAUGUCUAAUGAACGCAAGUGAAUAAGAGAUAAUGCUUUUCUUUCAUAAGUUUGAGGGGUGAUCACAUUGAAGGUUUGGUUGUUUUCAAAUCUUUUCUGGAUGUUAUGGUCUUUAAGAGAUGUUUUGUGUUUUAUGAAGGAGAACUAGUGGUUACACAUCAGAAGUGGAUCAAGUUAAAAAGUUGUGAGAAUUAGAAGAGUUCAACAAGACUAAGUGAAAAAAAGAAGAUUAAUUCUUUUUUGUGUUCUAAAGUAGGUACUAGAAUUUUCACAUUAAAGCGGUGGGAUUCACUAUUACAUUGAUGUCUAAAGAAGAACCAAUGUCAAUAGUUCAUAAUGGGAUGGUUCUUGUUAAGUGUGAGGAGUAUAAGAAGCAGGGGUAGAUUAGUUAGAGCAGUAAUGGUUUGGAUUCAGUAUAAUCAUAAGGAAAACUACAAGUUUAAUGGAUCUCAGAAGAAAAGUAUAGGACAGGUUGAAACAAUUUAGUAUAAAUCUUGGCAGAAAAGAGUGGUUUUUGAAAUGUCCAUUUCAAGGAAUAGAAACAAUUAUGAAGAAACAAAAUGACAAGGUUAAGGUGGAAGAAAAUGGUUCUUAGGGUUUUUGCAAGAUCAUAGAAGUUUUGAAGAAGAAUCUUCAAAUGUGUUAGUUUUCAACUUACAGUUGAUAUGAAGAGAGUGUCCUUCUAAGUAAACUGAUGAGUAAGGAAGUAUGGGAAUCAAAGUAGUGUGCUGGAUGAUAGUGAGCCUGUUCUUAUCAAUAAGUGGCGUGUGUGAAGAGCUUUCAUAAUCGUGGGCUGGUGGUUUGUGAAGAUUGUGCUUCUUUAACAAAGUAUUGAUUUCGUUGUCAUAUUUGAUUUGAGAGUGUGUGCAGUGAUCUUCAAAAGUUCUCAGUGAGAUUAUAUAUGGAAGAUUAUGUAAGAGGUAGAGAAAACGAAGUGAGUAUACAAUUUCAAGCUGUAGUAAGAAAGUGGGUCAGUGGAUGAAAGAGUGAAUUGUGUUAUGGUUUCAAGUGGUAAUAUCGAUCUUGAGGUAAGGAAGUGUUAAUAGAUUGUGACAACAAAGAGGAGAUUCAAGUUCUUGGUUUGGUAAGAAUUUAGUAAGAGUUAGUCGAAAAGUAUGAAGAUUGAAGUCUGAGGUGAAGUUGUAAGGAGAUUUCAUUAGUAUAGUUAAAAAACUAUAAUUAAUGGAUUUUUCAAAAUGGUGCAGAAAUGGGUAGUUUAGACAAUCCUAGUUUGAGAUGUAUCAUAAGAUGGCUAAAUACUGAUCAAGCUAGUGAUUUCAAGUAGAGAAGAAUGCAUAGCUAAGCGUGAGUACAAGCUACUGGGUCAAGAAAGGCAAAUGGUUCAGGUUGGCAAGUUGAAGGAGUGAAGAUCGAAUGUUCAAUUUGGUGUUGUUGCUGCAAUAGUUGAGAGCUCUACAUGGGUAGUGGGAGAACUUAGUAGGAAACUAUGUUACUCAAGGGUGAAGAUCAGUAAAGAAAUGUGAAGUCAUCAAAAUGGGUAUGUUUAAAGGUAAUCAAGAGUGUUAAGAGUUGGUAAUAAAAAUCAGAAGUUGUCAAUGAUCAAGUCAAUUGUAUCAUGUUUCAUAGAGGAAGUAACGAGAAGGUGAAGAGAUAUCGAUUAAGGGUUAAUCUGAAGUCAAGACUAGUUGAAGUUUUCAAACGAGUUUAGAAGAGAUAAUAAAAUAUAAAUGGGUAGAGUUUGUGGUGUGGCAGAUACCAUUUGAGUGGUUAUGAGAAAUAAAGAUUUGUACGAGCUAAGGUUUAGGUUUGAAGGAUUUAAUGGCUAGACCAAUCUACACUAUUGAUGUAGAUUGUGAUAGAGAAUAAAGUUGUUGGGGAGUAGUAUCGUUGUCAAAUAAGUGAUUGUGAUAGAGAAUAUGAUUAGAGUAGGUUAUUCCUUCUAUCUGAUAAGUGAAUUUUCGAGGACGAAAAUUUGUUUUGGGGGGGAAAUGUGGGAACAUAGAAAAUAAAGUAUUAGAGCUGAUAGGUGUUUUAAAAUAAUUCACUAAUAUAAAUAGAAUUUCUUAAACUCGUCUCAUUUACUCAAAACAUAAACCAUCUCUCUAAAACUAUUCCUCUUAGUUUUCUCUCCCUUCUCUUUAAGAAAUUUCAUUCCUCGAUCAUUUAUUUCAUGAUAAGGGGAGUUUAUAUGAGAUCAUAACUGUGUGAUCUUCAUUUCUAACCGAUCACUUCUAGGUUUAGAGCAAGUAAGUUUCUACCUCUUUUUCCUUUUUUUUCUUUGUUUAUGAUCAUGCUUAAAAACCCUUCGCAUGUAUCAUUUAUACUCUAUUCUUAGUUUUUUGUCAAUUUGUGGUCUUAAGUCUCACUUUGAUCACGAUUUGGUGAUUUGUAGAUUUUUCUAGAGUUCCUUGAAUCAGAAGCAAGAGUUUUGGCAUUCUUAGAGUUCAGUAGCUUCAGUGGAGGUAAUCGAAGAUAAUGCUUUUGUCUUAGUUAAAUUAUGAUGUAUGAAUUUCUAUUUAAUGGUGUGUAUAACUAAUGUAUGUUAUUGGUUGUGUUAAAGAUUAUUGUUAUUAAAUAUUGAGUGUUUGAAAUGAUGGAAACUGGUUGAAUGAUAGUGUAACUUGCUGUUUUCAUUUGGAAUUGAUUAAUUUCAUGAAUGCUUCUGUUGAAAUGCUUAAUGGUAUCAAUUUGGUUAGGAGGUUGAGAAGAAGUGAUUUAGACUAAGUUGUAAGUUGUUUUUUGUAGUAAAAAUGAAGGUUUGAUAGGUGAAUUUUAGAAUUACUGGUCUAAGGUGAGAAUUGGCAGUUAGGACAUGUUAUUUUGGUCAUUUGAAAUUUGUAUUUUUAGUUGAGUAAAGAUGUUGAGUUGGUAAAUCUACAAAUAGGUUGUUUCUAGUUGUUUUUGGUCAGUUUUAGACGUUUUGGGUAAUGAGUUUUUAAAGUAAGUUAGAAUUUCAUUACAAAAUGAGUUUAGUUUUGGUUUUAGUGGAAUUAUACAUGCUUGGAUGGGUAUAAUUAAGUUUAGAAUAUCAAAUGGAAGUUGUAGAUGUUAGUAGAAGUGUGUGUAAGUUAGAUAAGUGUAGUUGAGGGGUGCAAAUUAUGCAGUUUUAGUGUUGCGGAAUUAUGAAGUCUCGCUAGUAGAACUAUAUUUAGCUGAGCGAGUCAGUCAUUGAGUGAGCAGAACUCACUAUUUCUGUAUUCGCAGAGGGAGUCAUGGUGGCUGAGUAAAAAUAUCAUAAUUUUCAGCUAAGUUUGUAUAUAUUUCUUAAGGUGUGUUCAAUGUAUGUGAUUGUUUGAAUGAUUGGUUUAUAAUACUUAUUGUGAAGUAUAAAUUGAUUUAUAAUAUGAAUUGGAAACAAAAUUAUGUAUAUGAUUAUGUAUGAUAUAUGAUGAUGAGUUUUGGGUUUUUUUCUCUUAUUUUCUUAUGAAGGAUCAUUACAUUGAUACUCUAAGGUGUGUUUGGUAUAUUAUAUGGAAUGUGUGGUAUGGUUUGGAACAUGUAAUUAAAUGGAAUGAUGUGCGUAAGAGUUUUAAGGAGAAUUCUUAAUGGUUGUAUCAAAGUGUCGUUGGUAUGAAUACAGGAAGCUCAGUCUUAGGAGUUAUCUUGACAUUUAAAAGGUCAUUCAUUCUCAAGUAGAAAGGUUUGACACAUGUGGUGAGAGUAACAAGAGGUCUUAGUCUUAAGUGCUUUCCAGGUCUAAGGCGUGUUACAAACUAACCUUGUUAGUGUGGUAGGGUGAAACCUGUUGGCAAUGGCUUUGUAAAGCAGUAGAGGCCACCACAAGUACACAACCCGCCAUAGCUCGACAUUCAUACUAAAUCCUCAUAGUACAAUCUAGGUCUUGACAUGUUUAACAUGUGUGGAUUGUUUUAUAAUAAUUAUGAUUCAUGUGUGAAAUAUUAAUGUAUGUAUUGAUUUGUUUUGUAUCACUAACUUACCCUGACUUUUGUAUUGUUUUUUUUAUUAUGUGUUUCUUUUUUGCAAUUAUCACCUUAAAUGAUAUGAGUUUAGAUAGAAAAUAUCUUUAGUUGUUUCACUUUGAGGAGGAAAAUGAAGCAUUAGUAUAAAUAGAUUCAUUCUUAAAUACUAUAAUCUUCUUCUUUAAAAAUCUUCAGUCUCUUGUAAAUUAUUAUUAUUAUUAUUAUUAUUAUAUAUAUAUAUAUAUAUAUAUAUAUAUAUAUAUAUAUAUAUAAAAUAUUUUAUUUUAAUAGUUUUUAUAAAUUUAAAAUGAGAUGUUAAAUAUAUAAAAAAAAUAUUAAAUAUAAUUUGUUAUAUUUAUGAUUUUUAAAUGUUUUAAUAUUAAAAUAAGUGUAAAAUUGAUUAUGUAGGAAACAUAUAAACAUAAUUGUUAUUUUUACAUUUUUAAUUCAAGUUUUUAUACCUCUUUCUUUUAUUCCUUCAUUUUUCAGUUGCUUAUUUUCUAUCCUGAGUUUUUUCUUUAUGAUAUGAUAAUGUUGUGGUGUAUCAUUCAACCUGUGUGCAACAGGAUGGUCCAGCCUCCGUAUGGAGCAAUCAGAAGACAGAAGCAGAGAUUGUCUAUUAUCAGUUUUUAGGACCAUGUCAAAUAUCUAACAUUAAAAAUGCUGAGAGUGAGAAAGAAACAAGAAGAAAAUAGAUAAAAAAAGGUAAGGAAUGUACUCGCAAGGAAUCCAUGUCAAAUUACGUGUUAUGAGGCAACACUCAUACUACGUGCUCUCCAUUUACUACAUUCCAGAGACAUCCAAAUCUGUAGAUAGAUUCCCCUUCAACACCACGACAAAAGGAAACAUAGCCUCUGAAUAAUGCACAAGUUUGGCUUCAUUACUUGUACCAAACUUUUUCCUGUGGCUGCCAAUUGUUUUCUUUUUCUAAACCAUCUUUCAUUCCUAUUAAUAUUUGGUGGUGAAUGGUGAUUCACGAUCAUUUCAUCAGUAUUUGCACUAUUUCACGAGAGACAAGUCUCUACGAGUAUAAAGACUUACUCAAACCUAAAUAUUUUAUAUUUAUUUGAUAUUUUUUUAAAUAUUAAAAUUUAUUUUUUAUAAUUAUUUUAUUUUUUUAAUAUACUUUUCUAUUGUAAUACAUAUUAAAUAAAUAUUAUAUUUAUGCUUCUCUAUGGUUCUGAACCUAACGGCAUUAUUAUCUCCCUCCAUCUAUAUUUUUAUGCAUUACAGUUUGUCCUGAGGUACACAACUAAAAACUAAAAUACUUGAAAAGAAAAGGGAAAAUAUCGAGCUGAGAUAAUAUAUAUUACCCUGUUGCAGCAAAGAAUGCCAGAGGAAUCAUCAUCUCCAGUGUAUUGAUGGUCAUACUGUCAAAAACAGAGCACAUAAUUGACAUAAAGGUAUCAGGAAAACAUUUCUGGUGUACAUCAUAAACUAUAUUGAAUAGCUUUUCAUAAAAUUAAUUAUAUGUGCUUGUUAUUAUUAUAAAUAAACAUAUAUUAACUCUUAUUUUUCAAAAAUCUUAAAAUGAACAGACACUAGAACUAUUAGUUUUUUUACAAAAUUAAAAACUAAAAGGCAUUGAUCAACACUGAUAGGCGUUUAUAUUUACUAAUAAAAUGAAAUUACCAUAUGGAUAAAGCAUCGACAGCAAUCUCUGCAUUCUCAAGGUUCCCGGUCAUCACUAUCAGAAUUUUGUAAUACCAAUUCUCCAAGCUGAGGAAACAAAGUUCAAAAAUUGCACCACAAACAUUGACAAGAACAAAAGUUGAAACAGAGAGAGAGAGAGUGCACCAGAGCAUGACUCCAGAAGCAGCAGAGAGUUUGACAAACUCCCAAAGCCCAGAGAAAGCUUCAACUGAAAAACCAGCCCAAGUAUGAGGGCAGCCACCCCAAACACUGUACCCAAAGAGCCCCAACGUGAGUACCCACCACGAGAAGUUAAUGGUUGCAGCAGCGCCAAUAACUCCGAACUCCAACUUGAACACGAACAACCAGCUCACAAACACAUGCACCAAGAGCGCCACCAGAGACACCCACGCAAUAGGCGCAGUCUUCAGCUGGCACUGCAAAAACCUCUGCAGAGGAAACUGAAACGCAAACGCGAAGUGCACCGGUAUCAUCCACAUCGACACCGUACCUGAUAACUCCGCCAGCUCAUCGGGCUGCCCCAACAGCUUCAACACCGGCGAGGCAAACAAGUACAGAGGCAAAAGCAAUAUACAGCAAAUGAAAAGAACGAUCCACGAACGCUGCAUGUAAACGCCUAACAUGUAGUACUUUUUUGCUCCAAAGGCUUGCCCACAUAGCGUUUCCAAGGCACUUGCCAUGCCCAACUAGUUAAAUCAUUAAACAAACACAAAUCACUGUCUCAAUCACCUUUCAACCUAAACACUUCCUGAUACUCAUACCAGUUUACAUCGUUACCAGCUUAGGAUCAUGUUUUGAAAUUUUGUGUGUGUUACUACUUAACGUAAAUCUUUGUUAAAGAACAUUGAAAACAGUUAAAUAAGUUGUGUCUAAUGAAUUUUGUGCUUAUUAAGUUGAAUUCGGUCAUAACUUUUGGAUACUGUUUUCCAAUCAGAAUUUCAAUUUUAAGUGUGUCUCUUAAUAUUUAGAGUAAACCUUUCAUGAAAAUUUAUGGAGUUGAAACUUGAUACUGAUACAUACCAAGAGGCCAAAGUCGAAGCCAACGACGACAUUAUUGGCAAUGGAGAUGGCGGCGAGUUCGAGGUCACCUAGACGGCCGGCGAAGGCUUGAGUGAUGACUAACAUGGAAUAGGAUGCAAUACGGCUAAAAAUUGCAGGGCCUACUAUGUGCCAAAGCUUCUUCGACUCGAUCCAAAAGCUUGGUAACAGUUUUUGGUCUUGUUCAUCUCUUUGAUCUCUUCCAUCUGUCAGAGAGUGAUGUUCCAGAAGUGGAAGAUUUUCUUCUCUUAAUGGUGAAUCCUCCUUGCUUGGCAUAGCUGGGUAGCAAUAUGUGUUGGUGGAAAAAAUGAAAAGGUUCUGGAGAUUCUCAAAAGUGAAAAGCCGAAACUGAAAGAAAAUAAAGAACUAAAGGUAGAGGAGAAUAGACAGGUUCACAAAGUUGGAGGCUUUAGAAGAGAACCUGUUUUUCUCUCACAUACUAAUAAAAAAGAAUAUUCUUUGAGUUCUACAAUUAAUGUCUUUUAAUAUUAAUUGAUGUUUGAAUAUUAUGUCAUAUUUGCUCAAUACGGUGAAAUAAAUACUUUAAGAAAAAAUUUAAUGCUCGCAAUCACUGUUUUAAGAAAUAAAUACUUUUUAAGAAAAAAAAUUAAUAUUUACUAUUUGUUUAUUAAAUAUGUGAAGAUAAUUAUGAAAUAGAGAUUUUGAAGUAAAAAACAUGAACGGUCCGAAAAAAUUUAAUAGCAUGGUUCACUAAUGCAAAAACACAUUUUAACGUCAUCCAAUAGACGUUAGUUUGUUGGUAACCUGACGUAUAUGAGUGAAUGGUGAUAUUAUCGUAAAUAGCUUGGUAAACUAGACGUCGAAUUUAAGAUAAGGUGUUGUAGACGUUCCCACUGCAGCAAACCGACGUCUAAUGGCCUGAGGUAGGUAAUAAGACAGUCCAUUGACGUCGGUGUUAAAGGGGACCAACGUCUACUUGACUGCAAUUAAUGUUGUUCACCUAAUUCCCGGGCGCUUAAACGUCACGUAGUCAAAGGGCGACGUCUAAGGCCUGUCUGGAAUGCGGGAAGAUAAAAAGUUCUUCAAUUUAGACGUCAGUGUAGAGGGAAACGGCGUCUAUGUGCCUGUAAUUAAUUAUGUUCACCAAACUCGAGAGCCCUAGACGUCGGCUAGAGGGGCACCGACGUCUACGUUACUAUAGACGUCGGCGCCCCUUCAGACAUGUCGUCAACAUCCCUGACAGGAAAUAAAACGUCAAUUGGUUCAGCUUUCUAGAUGUCGGCUCCCCUGGAAACCGACGUCUAAUGGACAUUCAAAAAGUCAGUUUAAAUGUUAACGUGGACGUCUUAUUAGUGAGAUCACCGACGUCUAGGUGACUAUAGACGUCGGUUUCGGGAGCAACCGACGCCCUAUUUCAUUUUAAAUAAACUGCAAACUCUUCGCGGCAUUCAGUUUCUGAUACCGUCUUCCUCUUCUCCUUUUUCUCUUGCGGCACCUCUUCUUUUUCUAGCUUGCAGCACCUCUUCUUUUUCUCUCUUGAGGCAUUCCGUUGUUGUUUCUGGUAUCUUUAUCAUCUGCCUCCUCUCCUUUUUCUCUCUUGCGGCAUCCCUGGUGCGUGGUUUUUUUUUUUAUGCUUAUCAUUUAAACUUUGUUUAGUCUUUCAUCGAUUAUCUUCUAGUUCAACUGAUUAAAAUUUGUUUUCUUUGUGUUCUGUUUUAGUGCAGUUUUGUUCCUUUCUUGGGGUAACGUAGUAACACAUUCUCCAUUUGCUAGCUGCCUCACAGAAAAAGCAGCGUCUAGUGAAUUUCUUUUGAUCAUUUCAACCCAAAAACAACCCUGGGUCGUUGCCUAGUUAUCGUUUCACCGUGAUUUUUUCCUCUUGAGGAUGAAAAUGGAACUAAGCAACAACCCAGGUUCGGUUUUGGGUUGAAAAGAUCCAUAAGAAAUUCAAAAGACGCAAGCUUUUUUUUGGUAAAAACUAGCAAAAGAAGAUUGUGCUACUAGGCUAUCUAAAGACGGGAACAAAACUGCACUAAAUCACAACCACUAGAUUAGACGUCGGUUAAUGUAUAGACCGACUUCUAUAGUACCUUUUAGAAGUUGGUUAAUGCUCAGAUUGUUGUCUAUUUAAUGACUUUAGACGUCCAGUUUGUCCUACACCCGACGUCCACUAAGUCCUACACCCGACGUCCAGUUAAUCCUACAACCGACGUCCAGGUAAUCUUAGACAUCAGUUAUAUUCAUGUCCGACGUCCCAUUGACGUCACCGAAAAUGACGUUGGUUCUUUUGUAGACGUUAAAAGCCCAAAAUAACCGACAUUAAUCAGCGUUUUUGCACUAGUAGUUUGGUUUUGCUUUAUUAUAAUCUUGGUUUAGUAAUCAAUUUUGAAGAUACGAAGAAAAGGGAAUACUAUAGUUUGAAGAUAUUUUCCCAGAGUUUACAAAUUUCACCAAAUAUUAUAUAUAUAUAUAUAUAUAUAUAUAUGAGUUUGUUAACGCGUGCACGCCUGUUUUUCAGUUGGUACAUUUUAGCAAUGUGUAUCGGAUUAUAGUAGACAAAAAUACCCUCAUAUAUUACGGAAUCUAAGUUUUAAAGUCAAGGAUAUUUAAAGAAUUUUCAUUCUCAAAACUUAAGAAAAAGAAACCCCAAAUCUUUACUCCUUUCCCUAAUUCCUCUCAACCCUUUCUCUUUCAUCUCUCUUACUUCAACAUUUUCUUUAUCAUCUUAUGGUAGAUCCAACUGAAAAAAAAAAUUAGAAAUAUUCGUCGUUAAACUAUUUACCUUUGUAAAGAGUUGAGUCAUUGGCAUAUUCGCCUUCAGGCAAGGUUCAUUUAAGAUCUCUUCAAUUUCAUCAUCUUCACUAACCUCUCUAAUUUCAUCAUCUGCAGAUGUUGAAUCAUCAUCUCUUAAAAAACCUUCAGACCAAUUACCAACUCCUUCUGAUUUUAUUAUGCUUGUGAAAAUUAGAUAAAAUUAGAUAAGACAAAAAUUAUAAAAUGAAAGGUGUUUGGUCAAAGGUUUACUAUUGAUCAUGUUUGGUCAAAUAAUUCUGGUCUGAAAGUUGAAGGUUUGGAUUCUCAUAUCUGUGAUUCUGAGUCAAAGAUGUGGCUAACAAAGAGAGCUAUAUAUGUAAACUGCUUAAGAUAUCUAGGAAGGUACAGGGUGGAUAAGCAGUACCUACAUGAUGGCUUAAACAAGGAGGAGAGAAUUAUUGCUUAUGUCCUGACUUGGCUAUUGUUGCCUGGAAGAUUGAACGAGGACAGAAUGUCAACAGAAUAUGUAUUUUUGCUUAAUGCUAUCAAGACUAGAAUCCCAACCAACUGGGUUGUAGUUCUAAAAGACCACAUGAUCGCUGCAGGAGAUCAUUAUGCACAAAAAUUUCCAUAUGGUAUAUUUAUCAGCAAGGUGUUGGAACUCCAAGGAGUAGAUGUAUAUGAAGAAGAAAGAAUUGUGUACAAAAGGUCAGAAGAAAUUGGUAUACAAAGUUUUUCAUCUAUUGGGAUGAAAAGGACUGGGAAUGGAUGGUUCUUUACUGAUGAGCAAACUGUUGGAAGUCCACCUACUCGUGGUGAAGAUCAUACUGAAGAUUCUGGCGAUGAAGAUUGAAUGAAAUCUUCUUGAUAAUAAUAGGGACUACUUUUCUAAGUGUUUUUUUUUUAAUUUUGUAAUCAUGGGUAUUAAGCCAUCGCUGGUUUCUCUAUUUCCUUCGGUUUUAUUUAGAACUGCAAUGAAGAUUUAUUUUAGUAAAUGAUCUGUGAAUUGUGAAUGUUGAUUGCAUUGUAUGUGGACUACCUCUCAAUCUUGUUAAGAGAAAAUUAUGUAGUUCUAAUAUUGAUCAAAAAUUGAUCACUGGUUAAAAGUGUAAAGGAAAGAAAUAUAAGUUAUAGGAAUGUUGUUGAAUCUAAUAAAAAAAUUUCAUUUACUGUGUACACUAUGUUAAAAGAGCAUUAAUUUGACAUGACUUUUCUUAAUAUAAUAAUAUUUAUUAUGAUUUUAAUUAUUCUGAUGUAUAAACUUAAUUCUCAUUAAUUAUUAUUAUUAUUAUUAUUAUUAUUAUUAUUUUCUUUCUGAAAUUAUAAUAAUUUUUUAAAUAAAUUAAUUUUCAUUCUCUUUAAAUUUGACCCACAAAUCAUUAUUAUAUUUUACGAUAAAUUUACACUAAUAUUUAUAAAAUAAUUUUUUUUAAAAGUAUGUAAAUCAUAUUUUAAAAUAUAAUGGUAACGGGAGGUUAUUGGAGGUUUAAAGGAAAGAAGGAAACAAAGGGCAGGAGGCUGAGCAAGAAAACUUCUAAUCACACGUCUUUUAUCAAACUCUCAAUUAAUACGUCGAAGCCCAGUAGAAUUCAACGUAUAGUUUUUAAGUUGAGGAGUUAAAGACUCUACAUUGUGAAAGACGUUACAAGAAGAAAAGAGAAGGUUGUCCGGCUUACAAGAAACGCAAACCUAUCUGGAUCGAUAAGUGAUGAAGACACCCCAGGAACGUUUUUAUACUUGAGACGAUUAUGAUAUUGAUCAAAAACUUAUCACUGGUGUAAAAGUGCAAAUUUCAGUACACUGCUAACUUGAAUUGAUUAAGGAAGAUGUUAAAAGAAAAGAUUUCAUGUCUGAUUUUAAACGAAAAAAGAGCACCACAUUUUGAUAUUCGCGGAAGAAAAAAACGUCAAAGCCUUACCGAAUACCACGUUGUAUUAAGCACACCAUUAAUGCUCCCAACAUACUUCAAUUCCCUUCACAUCCCUGCCCCGCAGCCUACGACGUUUUAUGGCACGAGUGAAAAGAAAAGAGAUAGAAAAGUACAAUACUUUCUGAUAUUGGUGGCUAAUUAAGAGAAAACGUCAAAUUCUCAGACAAUACGAUGUUCUAUUUAAUGCUCUCGUGUUCAGAAGAAAAAAAAAGUAAAAGCAGAAGAAUGGGAAAAACAUUAGGCAUUACAUACUAAGGCUGCGAAGUAAACUUUGCAAAUUAUACCAAAAAAAAGGCACCUGUUUUUUACUGGAAACGUCGAAUUAUUUGGGUCUGCGACAUGGGUUUUAAAUAUAACGUCAAAUUUGUCUUUUUUUCGACGUGGAAUAUGAAAGUAAAAACAUAACACAGUCUUACUGUUUGUUCGCGCUACCAUUUCUGCUUGAACUUUAUUCUUCGUGGACGACUGCGAUAAAGAAAUAUGCUUAUUUUUAAUCUUUUCUGUCCUUGUAAUGUCAUUUGGUUCCCAUUACUAAGUUUUGACGAAUCUUUUUCGUUUAUCUUCAGGCUGUGUUUCGUACGUGGUCAAGGAACUUGAUCUUUCUCCAGUGACACCAUUUCAAGUAUGUUUUUUUUUUAUCUUCGAUAUCUCAUACGUAUGAUGUAUGUGCUCGUGUUUGUGUUGUGUUUUUUGAUUCUGGACGUGUGGUAUAUGUAUAAUAGUUUAUUUUUUUCCUUCAACGUAUGAUGUUUGUGUUCGUUCGUUGUCAGCGAACUUCGUCAUCUUCUUCAGUGUCACCAUUUUGUUGUCUGUUAUAGCUAUAAUUUACUAACUUUGUAAACAGGCAUGACGAGCUCUGGAUCAGGUCAAACGGGAGAAGGUGUUAGAUUUGUGACUCGGAUGCCUGGUGUCACAUCCCGUUGUGUUAAUGAUAAACCAUUGUCGGUGGAGUUUGAUCCUAAAACAUUUCUGCCUAUAAGGGAACAUGCAACAAAGUUUAAGAGUUUCUUGGGCACGCUGGCAAGAUUUCAUGUCCCUAUUCUCGUUAACUGUUGGGGUGAUGUGUCAGAGGCAGAGAAGGAUCUACUAUGGCAGGAUAUUUUGGUAUGUACUUUAAGUUGUUUUACUUCCAUCAUUGACUUAUUUUCGUUGAACAUGAUUUAAUAUUAAUUUUCUUUUUUAACAGAGAAGUUGGGUUAUUCUUGAUUAUGAAAGGAUAAGGAAGAAGGUUUUAUCCUAAAUCGCAACCCGGUGGAGGGACUUCAAGACGUCAAUGACACGUAAAUUCUUCUUUGGCUCUAAACAGAACGACAUUCCCUUUUCAAGGUAUAAAUUAUCUGAUGAGCAGUGGGUGUAGUUUAAAGAAUCUAGACUUACUCUUGAAUGGCAGGUAUGUUUUAUAAUAUUUUUCUCUAGUCACACAAGACACGAUGUUAAUUUAUGAUUUAUGCUUAAUAAUUUUCAUUUUUUCAUAGGUGAAAAGGAUAGCCGCCUAGGAAAGGCAGAGGCUUAAUGAUACACCACACGUACUUUCUCAUGGUGGUUAUGAUUUAUUAGAGAAUAAAAGAUGAGAAAACGUCGAGCUGAGGAGUUAGGUCUCGAGUCACCUGAUCUAGCACCUCCACCAGCUAGACAUGAACUGUGGAAGGCUGCACGGACAAAGUCCAAUGGCCAAUUUACAUCCCAGUCAGCUCAGGAGAUAUCCAAUAGAAUUGUAAGUGGAAACUUUUAACUAAUUACCAUAGUUCAUAAAAAAUUAUGUAACUUUUUCUAUAAUGAUAUGCAGGAUGACUUGGUUGAGCAACAGACUCAAGGCACAUUUGUGCCACAAGGUAGGGAGGACCUCCUAGUAGCAGCCACAGGUCGGCUAAACCGUCUAGGUCAUGUGCGUGUUGUUGGAGGAGCUACUGGAUUGAGGGACUACUUUGGCCCUAAACUAAGAAGCACAGGAGUCGUGACUCCGGAAUUGGUUAGUAGCAUCACGGAAAAAGUGCAAGUCGAAUUAGAGAAGCGAAUGGGAGAACGAUUAAGAAUGCUCGAACGAGAACUUGCGAUGAUCAAAAUACAACAACAACAGCAACAGUCGCAGCAGGAGGACACCCCUACAUAUGAUCCUACCCCACCUCCCAUGAGCACCAAAGACUCAUGCUCUAAUGCAGAUCGUACUGAUUUCAAUAAUUAGUAUGAGUUUAUGGUUGAUGAGGAUCCUCCGCGUGCAGUGGCCAUCGAAGUACAGCUUGCAGGAGGCAAGACCAUUCAUGGUGUUCCUUUAUUGCCCACUGACGCACGGGUAAGGAUUGAUGAAGUUAGAGACCCCCAGGCUCGAGUACAAGUGCCAACAGAUGAAAUUCAAUUCGUGAGGGAGGCCUUAGGCACAUUUAUAGCUUAGCCUAAGACCUUGAUCGUUCCAUAUUUUGGCCCACCAGCGGUAUUGUAUUCUUAUUUCUAUUAUCUUAAAUCUUCAAGUUAUAAUUAAAUGAUUCCUAACUUCUGUAAAUGUAACUUAUAGGUCUACCGACCAGAGAAACAAGCAAUGGCUCAACCUGAGGCUCGUGUGGAAGCAGAAGACGAUGAUCCUGAAUCCAUAUUGCUCUCAAGAUUACCUCAGUUGAAAAAAACAUCGGUAGCGCUGCAGUGGGACUUAAGAACGUUUGGCGUCGAGUUCCAUAUUUCAUUGUAUGUUGAAUACCAGGAUGCAUAUGAGCUGAUUGGUGGAGAUAGAAUGUUGAACAUUUCAUGCAUACAACUGUGGUGCAUGUAAGUUUUUUAUUUCUUAUUUUCCAAUUUUUAUAUUAUUAGUAUUAUGACAUUUUAAUAGAUAUACUUAACUUUAUUCUUAUAGGUACAUGGACAUCGUUGCAGUAGAAUCAGGUCAAGGGUCAAUUUAUGGCUUUCUUGAACAUUAGACCAUCUAGGUACUAUGACAUUUAUGGCUUUCAUAUUCCUUGGAGCCUUCUUCCAUCAAGUACCACUUGACGCGUGGAAGAACAAUAGCUCUGACUACAACUUGAUGGAAGAAGGCUCCAAGGAAUAUGACCGAUAGCUCGAUGCGGACUCCUCGAAGCUUCUCCGACGAAGAAGGAUGCAGCGGAAUGAUAAAACUCGAAGGAGCAAACGAUCUCGAAACCCUAAUCGGACCAAAAACCCUACACUGACCUAUGGAACCCUACAAAAGGGGGAAAACUUGAAUCGGACAUAUCAAACGGUGGGAGUGGCGGUUUGAAUGGUGGAAAGUGAAGAUCGAAGGUAUUAAAAGUGUUUAAUCGGUGGAAAUGGUCGGAAAUGGUGAAAGAAGAUGUAAACCCUAGCGGAAGAAUGAAAAUAUUGCUAGAAUUGGAAGAGGAGUGAACGAAGGUAAUGGAUCUGAGAAGGAAAUUGACAGAUCUGUGGAGAAAAUGGUGGAUCUGUGAUGAAGAAAAGUGACUUACGGUGAGGAACAGAGGCUGGCAAUGAGGAGCUCGAGAGAGAAAUGCACCCAACGUUGGGAAAUGGAAUGAAGCCUCUGAUGCGUGAGAUCAAAAAUGAAGUCGUGGUGAUGUUGUGCACAAGAGAUAGACUGACGCGUGACUGAUGAUAAAUGGCGCCACUGAUGAUGCGUCUGGAACGUAUUGGUGGAAUUGGUGAUGCAAUCCGGAGAGAGAAGCAUCGUGGUAGUGGAAAGUGAGAAUGAGGAAGUGUGCCUUGGAAGGUGGCUAGAGGAGGUCUCUUGGACUCUCUAGCCUUGUGACUUUCAAGAGAGAAUGGUUUCUAUUUUAGAAAUCUCAAUUCUCAUUAAUCUCAAAAGUGAAAACUACAAGAAAGGAGCUGGGUAUCUAUAGUGACCCAUGCUCCUUGCAAGCUACACUACAGAUACAAUGAAAUGUAAAAAUACAAGAAAGAGGACUGUGUCAAGAAGGAUUCCAUCAAUUUGUGCUGGGAUUUGAGAGAAAUUGACUUAGUUGUUGUACUGCAAAUGAAAUAUCUGGUCUAAUGUUGGUGAGAUAUAAUAAUCUACCAAUUAAUCGUCUAUAAAAAGAUGAAGCUGCAUCACUUAUUGGUUGACCAGAAUUUAUGUUGAGCUUUGUACGAUAGUCAUAAUGAGUGGAAAAAGGCUUAGAGUUUAAGUAACCUUCAUCUUUGAGAAUCUCCAGAGUAUAUUGUCUUUGGGAAAUAGAAAUACCUUCUUUGUUUCUAGCCACUUCAAGACCAAGAAAGAAUUUAAGAUUGCUAAGGUCUUUAAUCUUAAAUGUUACAUCAAGAAGGUGAGUAAUAUAAGUGAUUUAUGUUAGAUCAUUUCCUGUGAGUACCAUAUCAUCAACUUAAAUCACUAAAAUAGUGACAUUGGAAUCAGAAUGUUUUGUGAACAAGGAAUGAUCAGAUGCAAAUUGGAGGAAGUCGUUAGAUAAGAGGAAAUCAGAUAAGCGAGCAUACCACUGUCUGCCUGCUUGUUUAAGACCAUAAAGUGAUUUUUGUAACUUGCAUACUUGAUUUGGUUUGAUACAAUUGAGCCCUGGAGGAGGUAUCAUAUAAACUUCUUCAUUUAGUGUACCAUGAAGAAAAGCAUUAUUAACAUCUAGUUGCUUAAGAUGCUAAUUAUGUGCUGCCACAAGAGCUAUAACCGGUCUAACCGUUGUGAUUUUAACCAUGGGAGAAAAGGUAUCUAGAUAGUCUUGACCUUCAAUUUGAGUGUAGCCCUUGGCUACCAAUCUAGCUUUAUAUCUUUCAAUGUUUCCAUCAGCCUUGUGUUUGAUUUUGAAAACGCAUUUGCAGCCUACAACAGUUUGUCAACAAGUAAAUCUAUGAUUUUCCAAGUGUCAUUUCUGGCCAAUGUAGCAAGCUCAUCAUCCAUGGCUCUAACCCAGUGAGGAUACUUGGAUGCCUCAGAAUAAGAUCUAGGCUCAAUGUUAGUAGAGUUGCAUAAUAAAUCGGUAGUAAGGUGCUGCAAGUUUCUUAUAUGAAAUGACAAAAGCAAGAGGAUGUUUGAUACCUGAAGAAUGAGAGGUAAUAGUUAAUGCAUAAGACGUGCCAAAAUCAGAUAGUCUUGAAGGUUUGUUUCUCUGUCGGGUGGAUCUUCUAAUGUUAGGAGCAGGUAGGGUGGGAGGUGAACUGGGUGGAGAAGGAGGCGAAGUAUCUGUAUGAGAUGUGGGCAUACAUUGGUCAGGUAGGGUGAGAGGUGAACUGGGUGGAGAAGGCUGUGAAGUAUCUAUAUGAGGUGUAGGUAUACGUUGGUCAAUAUAGAGCAAAGGUAGGUGAGUGACAAGGUGGGAAUUAGGAGUGGUGUAUGAUUCAUUGUGGUAAGGAAAACAACUUUCAUGGAAGACAACAUUUCUAGAAAUCUCAAUGGCCCUGGUUUUGAGGUUGAAGGUGAUGAAGCCUUUUUGGUGUGGUUUAUAGCCAAGGAAAAUAGCAGGUAAGACUCUUGGAUCAAGUUGAUGUCUAUUGUUUGAUAAGGUGGUGUCAAAGAAAAGGCAGCCAAAAACUUUAAGAGUGGUAAUAUCAAAAGGAGAACUGUAUAAUUGUUGGUGUGGAGAAUGGUUAUUUAGGAGAGGAGUGGGAAGGCAAUUGGUGAGGGUAGAGGCAUGAAUAAGAGCAUAAGACCAGAAAAUGGUUGGUAAGUGUGCUUAGAAAAGGAGGGAGUGGGUAACAUUUAAUAAGUGCUGGUGUUUUCUCUCAACUAAGCCAUGUUGCUGGGGGGGUUUCCACACAAGUUGUUUGAUGAACAAUUCCAGUAUUUUUAUAAAAUUCGGCCAUAAUAAACUCAGUUCCAUUGUCAGAUCUAAUGCUUAGGACCUUAGUUUUAAACUGUCAUUCAGCAUAGGUAAUGAAAGAUUGUAAAUGUGACUGAGUUUCAGCUUUUGAGAUUAAAGGAAACACCCAUACGUAUCUAGAAAAAUCAUCAACAAUGGUUAAAAAAUAUUUAUGACCAUGAAUGGAAGUAGCAGCACAAGGGCCCCAAAUAUCAACAUGUAAUAAAUAAAAAAUAGAAGAAGCUUGAGAAGUACUAUGAGGAAAAGAAGGUUUUCUUUGUUUAGCCAUAUGACAAGGAGUACAAAUAAAAGAGUGAUCAAAAUUAAUCACAGGAUAUAAUUGUUGCAUUACAUGUAAUCUCUCAUGGGAAGGGUGGCGUAAUCUGUAAUGCCAAACAUCAAUGGCUUCCUUAUUACAAAUUGUGGUGUUGAUGGAGCUAAAAGAGGUCUUGAGUGUAUACAACCCAUCUUAAGCAUCAACUAUACCAAUCAUCCUCUUGGUGUAUCUGUCUUGUAUAAAACAUUGAUUGUCAAGAAAUAUUAGUUGAUAAUUAUGGGUUGUGGUAAGCUUGGAAAUAGAUAUAAGAUUGAAAUUAAAUUGUGGAAGAUAUAGGACAUUAGAAAUAGACAAAGAAUCAUUAAUCUUUACUGUUCCAGAAUAUAAGGCUAUGGUUUGUUGUCCAUUUGGUAGUUUUACUGUGAUGGGAUUAAUAGCCUUAUAGGAUGAAUAUAGAUAUAAGGAAGAAGUUACAUGAUCACUGGCUCCUGAAUCUAUAAUCCACAUGGCAUGGUUUGUAGCAUGAGAAAUUGGUAGCACAUUACCUAUAAAAGAAGUAUUUGAAGAGAAAGUUGUACCAGUUUGAUUGAUGUAGGAAGUAGUUGUAGUAGAUCCCAAUUGUGUUUGUUGUUGCAGGAGGGCUAUCAAAUGUUGAUAUUGCUGAGGAGUGAUAACAGGUCUGUGUAGUUUAUGCCCAGGAGGGUAACCAUACUUCUUAAAGCAUUCAUUAACAAUAUGUCCAGUGAUAUUGCAAAAAGUGCAAACCUUUGAGUUGUAUGAACCUGAAUUUGAUCUUCUACCAAAUCCUCCUUUAUUUGAUGAAUAGCCUCAACCUCCUCUUAUCCCUUCGUUGUAGGAGAAUCCUAAAGAUCCUAAUGGAUAGCCAUUCUUUUGUAAAAAUUUUCAGCCGUGUGGUAAUAAUCAAUGACAACCAUGAGUUGGUUUGGUAAAAAACACAAAGAAAUCAAGAAGGGGAAAGCAUCGAAUGAAGAUCAGAGGUACAACAGAACUAUUCAAUUGAAGAGCUUUGGUACCAUCUUAAAUAAUGAGAAUCAUCAUUCAAACCAAGUGUUGAGAUUGCAAUAUAGAGAGGAAAAACAGGGAGGCAAAAAAUAGUCUGUGUAUUAUCUCAAUUCUGCAUAAUGCAGAUGUAAAUAUUUAUACAUCAAGAUUAUAACAGAAUUAGUUAUAACUCUAUCUAAUAUAUCAGUAAUCAGCAAUAUACACAGAAUAAUAACAAACAAAAAUAAUAACAAGCAAGAUCUUAAAACCUAAAAAGAUAUUAAAUCUUAACAUAUAUAUUAAAUCCUAACAAGAUAUCAAAACUUAACAUAUAUUAAAUCCUAACAAGUAGUUUCCAACUUAUAAUGGAAGAAUCAACUUUUGUUGCUUUUGAUUAGUGUUUUAGGAAAUAGAGAUAAAUUGCUUGAUUCUAGAAAAGUGUAGAGUUUUUUUUUUAACAUUUGCAAACUUGGCAAAGGAGUCUCAUACAAUCCAAGUGGAAAAGCAAAAUGUUUAUACAAUCCAAGAGUUUGAAAUGUUAAUGAUGAGAGUUUACCUUCUUUUUUGACUACAAAUCAAAUAAGUCAAAAAUAGGAUAUUGUGCACCAAUAAAAAUAUUGCACAUAGUUGUUGUUGAAGAAAUUCUUCAUGAAUAGUUGCAAAGAGUCUUCAAUACCAAUGACUACAAAUUGCUAUUUAGAUGUUAUGAUUGUUGUAAGCCAAUUGAUGAGAUCAAGUAUAGAUGUAUGAUUGGUUCACUUCUUUAUUUGAUAUAUAGUCGUGAUUAAGCAAAUAAUUUAAUAUAAAAUUAAUUUUCGAGAAUAUAAAUUAUAAUUAAAAUAAAAUUUAAAUCUAUUUUCGUGAAUUUUCUAAUUUUAUAAUAAGAAGGCAAUUAGGAUUGGGUAAACCAGGGACAGACAGCAGUAGAUCUAUAGGAAAACGACAACCACGCGGGGAUAGUUGUAAAAUUUAUAAUAUAAAUGGAGACAAUGUUUAGACUAGAAUUAACAACGUGGCAUUUAGAAAAAGUGAUGUAGUACUAAAGAACAACAUCGUUUGCUUUUAAAAUAUAAGAAACACCAUAUUAAAUAUAAAAAAAAAACAUGUUUCGACACUGUCAUAUUUACAUUAACCAAUUUUAUAUUUAGAUACAUGAACCUCGUCCGGGUUCAUGUUUCAGGUGAUGAUAUGAACACCGAAUAACAUGAACCUAUGUUUUUCUUCCUUUUACAGUGACGAAAAACUAAUAGAAUUUUCUGACAUUUUUCUUGUAAUAUCUUAUGGAUUGUAUAAAAUUUACAGAAAAAUAUAUGACAAGUAUAUUUCUUAAUUUGUUUACAAAAUUCUAAUAUGAAAUUCGGGAACAGAGUGAUGCAAAGACUGAUACAAUUAUUGUACUCGUGGUGAAAUGUGGCCACUAAAAGUCACACGUAUGGAGUCACUGCUUACGUAUUUUUUGAGCCUUCUGGAUCCACCACAACAUUUUUUCACUAACGAAGAGCAAGCUUUACUAUAUAUAUAUAAAAAAAAAAAAAUAGGGUCAUAAUAAUAAUUUUGAUAAAAGUAAUUUUUCAUAGUUAAAAUAGUUAUUUUCAUAACUGUAAUUUUUUAUUUGUAUUUUUAAAUACGUUAAUUGAAAAUAACCAAUUCUUUUAAUAAUCAUAUUUACGGACUUUAUUGUGGAAAGAAUAUUAUUAUAAAUAGCACUAUUUUAUAUCCUUUUCAUCUACCCACAAUUAGAUCAAAAACCAAACUAACAUGUUUGUCUGUUUCCAAUUAACAGAAUCCUAAAGAUAUAUGACACAUCUUUAUCGUAAUUUGAAUUAAUUGUGAAUUGGUAGUUAUUUGUAUGCAGAUGUGUUAAACAUUCAUUUUAGGUAUGAAAAAUGCAUAUCCACCUCAUGUGACAACUUUUCUCUUUUUGUGAAAGUUCCCUUGACAAAAUAGAGGUAUAUGAGUCACAGAUACAAAAAACAAAACAGAAGAUGCGAGUAUAAUAUAAUUUCCUUUAAUUAUUUUAAUAAUUUUCUUUAAUAAUUAUGGAAUAUAUGAAUAAUUAAUAUUAAUGUUUGAAUGAUUUAAUUAAGUUUUAACUGUAUCAUAAAUUUGUAUAUGUUCUUAGUUAGAGUUUGUUAUAAAUAAAAAAAAAAAAAACAAACAUGAUUCAAGGUUAAUGUUAAUUUAAGUUAGAUAAUUCUAGUUUCUAGAACUAUGAUUUCUCUUCUUAUUUAUAGUAUUAAAUAUUUUGUAGUAGAAAUGUUUACAAAAUCUCGAACCGCAAUUUCUUGAGAAGUGUAGAUCACUGUCCUUAAGGACUUAUUCAGGAUAUAACAGGAAUUUCUUGAAAUAUUUGAGGAUCACAAAACUGGCAAAGGAGAAAAAUAAGAAAGAAGAAUGAGAAAAGACUUGUUUUGGAUGUCUUGGAAUGGAGAAAGGGCUAUCUAUUUAUAGAGAUAGGGAAGAAUAAAAAUCAAUAAAAGACCAUAAAAAACAAUAAAUAAUUUGGCCGUUGCAAUACUUAAAAAUUUGACUAUUGGAAUAUUACCGUUGAGCAACGUUUCUUUUGCAAUAAUCUAACAUUAUUACAACAUAUUUUAGGGUUAGAUAUGUUUUUCGUCCCUUAACUUUCAGCGAGAAUGAGAAUUAGUCCCUCUUCAAAACUUUGACCUAAUUUAGUCUCCCAACUUUAAAAAUGUAUGAAUUUAGUCCUUUUAGUUAAAUUUUGUUAGGUUUAUUUGAUGUUUGAAGUACGUUUCAUAAUAGCAUUUGGGUUGUUUACACUGUUUGAUAUAUAUUUACUUCAAUGUCAAUUGAGAAACGCGUUUGAAACAUCAAAUAAAAUUAACAAAAUUUGGUUAAAAGGAUUAAAUUCAUGUAUUUAUAAAGUUAGGGAACUAAAUUAGGCCAAAGUUUUGAAGAGGGACUAAUUCAAAUUUUCGCUAAAAGUUAAGGGACCAAAAACAUAUUUAACCCAAUACUUUAAAUCAUAUAUAUCUAUAACUUUCUAAAGGUAAAAUGACUUCCUUUUAUUUUUUUGUUAAAAUAUUUUAUAAAUUGCAGGAAUUAAUAAAUCAAAACUUGGGACAUUUGAACAGUAUAUUUUUAAUUAAGUAUUUAUUAAACUUUUUUUAUUUGGUAUUCAAGAUAUUUAUAAUUUAUAAUUGAAUCAUUACUAUUUAAUAUUUUCGUUAAUAUUUUAUCUUGUUAUUGUACUUCUUUUAUCUCCACAUAUAAAAAAAUGUAAGUUUUUAUGAUUAAUACAAAACAAUAUUAAAACAAUAAAUUAAUGAAAUUAAAAACUCAACUGAAAAAUAUAAAUAUUUUAAAUAUCUAAUAAACAAAAAUUUAAUUAAAUAUAUAUAAAUAUAAAAAAAUCCUGUUUAAUUAUUUAAUUAAGUCUGUUUAGAUUAUAUAAAUGUUGACAUAGAAGGUUCUCCGUCUCCCAUUUGCAUUCCAAAAAGUGCAAAGUGAUGUUGAACAUUACACUGCAGGCUUAGGGUUAGGUUCAUGUUCAAAAGCCCAACUCCUAGAUUCUCCCACCAUAGCUGCCCAACUCCAAAUCAAUGUUUAUUCCAUGUUAGUUGUAGAUCAUAUCAUUUCACUCCUAACAUCACUUAAUGAAAAUAACCAAAAACUAGAUAAUAAACUAUCAAUUAAAAACUAAAUUUAAUAGGAACUAAAAAUAAUUUUAAACUUUUUACUUUAUAUGAUAAAAAGUUAUGAUAUGCAUUGACAUCCCGAUUAUAUAUAAAAAAGCAUAUUAUAAUUUAGAAGUUGACAUUUUAAUAUAGGGAAAGCAGUUAGGAGUAGAAUGAUAGAUAAGUUUGGAUUUCAGUCACCUAAAUUAACUCCAGAGUUUAAACUUUAAGUAAAAGAGGUUUAAAUCUAAAACUUAGACAUAAAGAGUACAAUAAAGUGGUACAAAUAUAAGAGUAUUUCAAAAUGUCAUCAGUAAAAGAAUGAAAUCCUAGAGAAGACUAAGCUGCAGCAUCCCCAUCAUAUUAUAAUCGGGAUGUCACAUUUAAAUAUAGGGAAAGAAGUUAGAAGUAGAAUGGCAGAUAAGUUCGGAUUACAGUCAUCCAAAUUAAGUCCAGAGUUUAAACUUUAAGUAAAAGAAGUCUAAAUCUAAAACUUAGACAUAAAGAGUACAACAAAGUGAUACAAAUAUAAGAGUAUUUCAAAAUAUCAUCAGGUAAAAGAAAGAAAUCCUAGGGAAGACUAAGCUGCAGCAUCCCCAUCCCCCAACACUUGCUCCUGGGGAACCUCCUCCACAUCUACUCACAUCUAAGUGGAUGAUCAUUGCAAAAGAAAACAUACACAAGCAGCACACAAAAAAAAGCAAGGGUGAGCUAGGUAUAAAAAUCAUGUUAUCAAUCACACACAACAUGCAAGGUUCAUUCAAAACAUACUAAAUAACACUACAAGACUUGUUACAUUAUAAACUGACUCGUCCGGACUAGAAUGAUUGUCGUGCCAGUGGGUUUCACCCUACCACACUCACGAGGUUAGUCUGUUCCGCGCCUUGGAUCAUACUGGAAGCCUCUAAGACUAAGACCUCCUGCUACUACUCACCACAUGACCACAUGAUUCAAUCCUCUCUACUUGAGAAUGAUUGAUCAUUGAAGUUUCAGGAUAACCCCCAAUACUGAGCUACCAUGCAAAUCAUUCUACAUUACUAGGGCACCACCAUGUAUCCCCUCCUUAAGGACAUGGAAUUACGUCCAAGAACCACACUAUGUUACACCUAACCACCAAAUAUGUCUCAUACAUUCACAUACUUUCAAUUUAAUAACAUUGCCUGACAAAAACAGUACCAGAACAACAUGACAUCAACCUAAAAUACCUCAGUUGUUGAAUAGUAAUAACUAAAAUAGAAAUCAACAACAAAUUCAUAAGACAGAACACACCAAAUAAUUAAAAUUUGAAAAAUAACAAAAUCAAAACAAAUUAAAUCAAAUUAAAAAAAAAUAUAUUGAAUUUCAAAAUCUAGACAUACCAAUAUCAGAUUUCAAAAUCUGAGACACUCUAAUAUUGAAUUGUUAGAGAUUAUUUCCCCUUAUUUGCAUUGAUAUGAUAGUAUGAAUAUAUACAUCAAAACAAGAGGAAUUCUCGCCUAUGAUUAUGGGUCCUACAAAGAUGAUUGAUUUCUAAUAAUUAUUUACAAGAGAAAUAUCUGUUAUGCAUUUAUUUUCAUUAUCUAACACACCCCCGCAGUCAAAACAGUAGGUGUCUGUACGUUGAGACUGUCUCUAAAAUCUUCAAAGAGUAUGCACGGAAGCCCAUUAGUGAAGAUGUCAGCAAUUUGAUAACGUGACGGAACAUGAAGGACACGAACCUGUCCUUGGGCCACUUUCUCACGAACGAAGUGUAUAUCCAUCUCAAUGUGUUUGGUGCGUUGAUGUUGAACAGGAUUGCCUGAGAGAUAGAUGGCAGUGAUAUUGUCACAAUAGACUAGUGUGGCUUUAUGAAUUGGAUGAUGUAGUUCGAAGAGGAGAUUCCGAAUCCAUAGAGAUAUUUCUUCAAUAAACACACAUAAUCGGGAUGAAUGAGAUCUCGGAAACCCAUUGGUUGAUGCAUGUAUACAACUUCAUGGAGUUUACCAAGCAGGAAGGCAUUUUUAACGUCUAACUGAUUAAUAGACCAAGAUUUUGAUAGUGCAAUGCUCAAAAUUGUCCGUAUAGUUGCAGGUUUGACUACUGGACUAAAAUUUUCAUCACAAUCCACACCAACUUCUUGAUACCUGCCCUCACAAACAAGACGAGCUUUGUGGCGCUCAAAAGAAUCGUCAGAUUUAUUUUUAAGCCGAAAAACCCACAUGGAACUAAUAAUAUUAGCAUUAGAUGGACGAGGAACCAACUCCCACGUCUUAUUUUUAAUAAGAGCAUCAAAUUCGUCUAGUAUGGCCAGUUUCCAAUUCGGAUCAGACAAAGCGGCUUUUGGGUUAUGAGGAAGAGGUGAUGGUGCAAUGGAAGUUGUUAAGUUGAAGUGUCGUUUGGGUUUAUGAAUCCCAUGCAUGUUGCGUGUUUCAAUUGUUCGAAGUGGCACUUGAUUGAUGUGGUUUGGAUGUGGGCUAGGUGGUCGUUGGGUCGAUUGAGACGAGGAUGUUGGUAAGGUAUUAAGUUGUGGAGAUGUGGGCAAGUUUGGUUCAUGGGUGGGUUGGAUUUGUGGUGGGUGAUUAUGCUCAGUUUGUGUUUGAGGAGUGGAGAGAGGUUGAGUAUGUAAGUGGUGAUGCCAAAAGGAUGUAAGCCUUCGUGUAAAAAAUCAUAGGUUUGAGAUGUGGGUGAAUGUAGUUUGGCAAAAGGGAAGUGAGAUUCAUCAAAAAUGACAUGUCUACAAAUGAUUAUUUUUCCAUUGGACAGAUCAUAACAUUUAUAGUCUCUAUGAUUAUUUGGGUAUCCCAAAAAAACACAUGGUGUGGAACGGGGUUGUAAUUUGUAAAUUGAGGUGGAGGGAAAAAGAAGAUAACACAAACAACCGAAAACUCGUAGAUGUGUAUAAGAUGGAUGUUUAUGAUAAAGUAUUUGAGUGGGGGAAUGAUUUGAGAGUAGCUUAGUUGGAAGUAUGUUUAAGAGGUAGGUUGCCAUGUUAAGUGCAUGAUGCCAGAACGAUGAUGGCAUGGAGGAAUGAGCAAGGAGAGUUCGAAUGAGGUUGUUGAUGGUUCUUAUUUUUCGUUCGGCUUUGCCAUUUUGGGGAGAGGUAUAUGGACAAGAAAAACGAAAUUGCAUGCCAUGAAUGUUACAAAAUUGUUUAAAAGACUCGUUAUUGAACUCCUUCCCAUUAUCACAUUGAAAGUAUUUAAUAUUCAUUUCAAAUUGAGUUUGAAUGAGUGCACUAAAAGACAAGAAAAUUUGAUAAGCUUGUCAUUUGCUGCCAAUGGGAAAUGUCCAUAAAAAGUUAUUGUAAUCAUCCAAGAAAAGAAUAUAAUACUUAUGACCUGUAGAACUUAAAGUUGGUGAUGUCCACAAAUCACUAUGUAUUAUAUCAAAAGGUUUGGUAGUGGAAGAAUUUGAAACAUAAUGUGGUAAUUUAAUAUGUUUCCCAAAAACACAAGAUUGACACGUAGAAGAAGAAGUAGAAUGUUUGCAUUCAAUAAAUUUAUUUUGCCUAAGAGAAUGUAAAACAGGUGCACUCGGGUGUCCCAAACGAUUGUGCCAUAAAACGGAAGAAAGAGCUGCAAAAUGUGAUGGAUUGAUGGUUGGUGGAGUCGUGGUAAUAGGAUAUAGGUCCCCAGUGCUAUCACAUCUUAUUAGUGGCAUCCUUGUCGGAAAAUCCUUCAAACAAAAACCAAAAGGAUCAAAUUCAAUAGACACGGAGUUUUCGGUUGUUAAGCGACGUACAGAGAUCAAGUUUUUAACAAGUUUAGGAGCAUGCAAAACAUUGUUUAAAUUCAAAGGUGGGUGGGGAGGUGAUAAAUUCGUUUGUCCAUAUCCGUGAAUUGGAACUGUGUCCAUUGCCAACAAUAAUAUUUUUGUUAGUGCUCAAAUUAAAAUAAGACGAGAGAGUACCUCGAGAAGCGGACAUGUGAGAUGUUGCGCUGGUGUCCAUGUACCAAUUUUCAUCAGGAACAUUCAGAGAUAAAGUGUGCAUUGCUGCAUUAAUUUCAGUGGGUGUUGGUUGUGAAGGAGGUCCAUUAGCUGUGAAUGUCUGUUGGGGACGAUUGCCAAGGAUUCCGGGUUGACGUGUAGGAGGAGGUGGAGUAACCCAUGAAUAUGUAGGGUAAGGGCAAGGAGGUGCAGCCCAUGUUUGUGGUCCCCAAGGUCCCCACGGUGGGUAUGACGUCCACUGGGACUGUUGAUUCUACCAUGGUCGUUGGUGUGAUGGUCUGCCAUGUUGUUGACCAUUGUGGUGGUGGGUGUUGUUACGACCUCUGCCACGACUACCAUUAUUGCGUCCUCGUCCCCGAUUUGGGCCACGUUUCAGGCCAUUGUUGCCAUGAGUAGAGAAAGGAUGAGUGCUGGAAUUGUUGAUGCGGUUAACAUUGGAGACGGCAUCACUGGAAUUAUUGGUUGUGAGGAGAGCAGUGCCGAUAUUGUUGACUGUGGAGGCAUGAUGAAGGUUGAAAAACAGUUAUUUUCAUAUGUCAUUUUAGACCAAAUUACACCCUUUACUACUUGGAAUGAGCUUAGAAUCAAGCAAAACUCAAUAAAUGAGUCUGUAGAGAGUCAAAACCUGUUUUUAGCGUUAUUAUGCUUGUUUUGCAUUGUUUUGUAGUAUUUCUGAGAAAAUGAAGAAUGGAGUUGAAGAUAAAGGUCGUAGUCUCAAGAAAAGAGAAGAAAAUUGAAGAUUUGAAGAGUCGACGCACCGCCCGACGGCAACUUACACCGUCGGGAGGUCCAGGGCGAGGAGUAGGCACUAGCGUUGGCGCUGGGCGGAUUUGAGGGAAACCGCUGGGCGGUGACCCUUACCGCUGGGCGGUUUUGUGGUUUGUGGGAAACCGCCGGGCGCCACACUUGUUCCGCGGGGCGGUGGUCCGUUGGGCUUGGGCCUAUUUUCUGCUGCGCUCCUCACCUAUAAAUAGCCCUAUUGCGAGUUGAGAUGUAUUCUUUUGACAGAAGAGGUGGCCAGACCUAAUUUUGCUCUCUGGAGAGGAUCUCUUGGAUGCUUAGGCUCCUUUUCAUUUUUUCUAGGGUUUGCUUUUCCAUUCUUCUUCCAUUUUUCAUCUAGAUUCACCAUGAAAAUGGUGAACUAAACCCUAUUGUUGUUGGGGGAAACAAUGUANNNNNNNNNNNNNNNNNNNNNNNNNNNNNNNNNNNNNNNNNNNNNNNNNNNNNNNNNNNNNNNNNNNNNNNNNNNNNNNNNNNNNNNNNNNNNNNNNNNNNNNNNNNNNNNNNNNNNNNNNNNNNNNNNNNNNNNNNNNNNNNNNNNNNNNNNNNNNNNNNNNNNNNNNNNNNNNNNNNNNNNNNNNNNNNNNNNNNNNNNNNNNNNNNNNNNNNNNNNNNNNNNNNNNNNNNNNNNNNNNNNNNNNNNNNNNNNNNNNNNNNNNNNNNNNNNNNNNNNNNNNNNNNNNNNNNNNNNNNNNNNNNNNNNNNNNNNNNNNNNNNNNNNNNNNNNNNNNNNNNNNNNNNNNNNNNNNNNNNNNNNNNNNNNNNNNNNNNNNNNNNNNNNNNNNNNNNNNNNNNNNNNNNNNNNNNNNNNNNNNNNNNNNNNNNNNNNNNNNNNNNNNNNNNNNNNNNNNNNNNNNNNNNNNNNNNNNNNNNNNNNNNNNNNNNNNNNNNNNNNNNNNNNNNNNNNNNNNNNNNNNNNNNNNNNNNNNNNNNNNNNNNNNNNNNUUGAAUCAAUUUCUUUUGCAUGUUCAUAUUUUACUCUCUUACCCAAUUUAUUAAUUUUUAUUUUCAAGUCUUAUUAUUUUAAUUCACGCGAACGAUAAAGUCUUUCGAGUCUCUUGGGAAAACGAUACUUGGUCUUACCAUUUUUAUUACUUGAACGAUUUGGUACGCUUGCCAAUCCAUUAACAAGGCGGCUUGCUUUGCUUUACGAGUUUCUUCAAGGAUUAACCUUGAUCGUGCCUCAUAGAAAGGGGGUAAAGGAUUAGUCUACUGAAUGAAAGUAGCAACCCCAUCAUAGUUCUCCUUUAAACCGACAAUUAGUUGAAGAACUAGUCUUUGAUUUGACACCGGUGCACCAACUUUAGAUAGUUGAUCGGCAAGCAUUUUGAGCUCUUGGCAGUAUGCCGAGAUGUUGGGAUAAUCGUCCAUAUGGACGUGGGUGAAUUGAUUCUCCAAGUACACAGCGCGUGAGGGUUUGUUGUCUUGGAAGAUAUUUUGCAGUCGUUCCCAUGCUUGUUGUGCAGUGGAGUCUGGUUGCAAGAUGGUGUGGAGAAGAUCGUUGGAGAUGGUGCUGUAAAUCCAUUGAAGCACGAUAGCGUCCAAGCGAGACCAAAGUGCGGAAUCGACUUCAACAAUUGUUUCCGUAUUAGUGUCAAUUGAUUGGGAUGUAAGUGGGAGAAUGUGAUCGAGAACUUGGUAUGCUCGACAAUGGAUUUUGAACAACUCUGCCCAUGUAGAAUAAUGACCUUUGUCCAUUUCUAAAGUGACAGAGAUGAAAUGCUUGACGUUGUUGACAGCAAGGGCAGGGUGGAAUUUGGUUUGGUCAGCCAUGGAUAUGAGGGAGAAGAAGAGAUGAAAGAAAGGGAAGAGGAGGGAGGCGCUCUUUUGAAGGGCUAGGUAGGGUUUACAGAGGAUCAGAUAUUGACUACCAUGUUAGAGAUUAUUUCUCCUGAUUUGCAUUGAUAUGAUAAUAUGAAUAUAUACAUCAAACAAGAGGAAUUCUCGCCUAUGAUUAUGGAUCCUACAAAGAUGAUUAAUUUCUAAUAAUUAUUUAAAAAAAAUAUCUACUAUGAAUUUAUUUUCAUUAUCUAACACGAAUUUCGAAAUUUAGGAUAAUCCAAUACUAGAUUUUCAAAUCCAAAACACUCAAGUAAUAAAUUUCGAAAUUUAAGACACUCAAUUUUCAAAUUCAGGACAAUCCAAUAUCGAACAUCUAAAUCCGAAAUAAUCCAAUGCCAUAUAUCUAUAUCCAAGACAAUUCAAUACCAGAUUUCCAAAUUUGAGAUACUCAACUAUCAGAUUUUGAAAUUUUGGAUAAUUAACUACUAUAUUUCAAACAAACUCUAGGACAUUCCAUUUCCAAAUCCGAACACUCCAAUACCCUAUUUGGAAAUAUGAGACAUCCCAAUAUCGAACUUUGAAAAAGAUUUUGAAAGUUGAUGCUAUUUUAAAUUGGAUUUUGAAAUCCAAUAUUUACACUAAAUCUAGUUUCCUAAUCAGAUUUCAAAAUUGAAUACUUACAAAAUCUUUUUGUUUCAGGUUUCUAAAUCCGGUGAUCAUUUCUAUAAAUCGAUACAUAGACGACAAGUGAAAAAUAAUUAUCGAAAAACACAGUGUAAUACAUACCUGUAACCAAGAGAAUAUCUACUUCAACAAAAUGAAGGAACACGAAACAUCAUUAUAAAAGCAAAUUCUGUUGAAAAUAAAGAACGAAGAAGAAAAACAUCGUUAAAAAGAAAUCAGUGAAAAAGAAAUGAAGUUCGUGAAAAUUACUUCGGGUAAGUGCUGAGUAAACAUAGCGCAAUGUGCAAUAAAUGCAGGAGGGUAAACAGUAAUUAUUGUUUACCUAAUUAAUUUAAUAAAUUAUAUGUAUAAUUUGUAGGGUUAUAAUGAACAUCAUAGUAAAUUUUGAAGGUGCAAAAGGAAAACUGUGGAGAACAGGAAGAAAACCGUAUUUUGAAGCCCAAGUCAAAGUUUGUAUUUUUGACUGGGCAUAUUUUGUCUUUGGGAGUUAAUCCCUGUACCUCCCCAAUUCCAACCCCCACCCCCCCCAAUUUUUUUGGAUUUUUUUUAAAUACAAAAUUAAUCUUUAUGUUUUUUUUAUUUUUACCGUUUUACACCUAUUUACUUACUAAAGUUAACCUACUCUUUUACAGUCUGCCUCAGUCAAAACACACAGACUCAAAUUCCUCUCCUUCGUAUUCCCACCCCCACCCCCACCAAAGCUUUUGAAACACUCCUCCUCCAAACGCUCUCUGUAACUCUCACUCUCCCAUUUAUACGUUAAAAAUAUAUUUAAAAAUAAUACAUCAAAACAUAUAAAUUUCAUUAUUAAAAUAUCUGAAAAUUAAUAUAAAAAAUAAACUAAUAAAACAAAUCUUAAAAAUGGAAUGAGGGGGUGGGGGUUAGAAUUGGGGAGGUACAGGGAGUAACCCCCUUUGUCUUUAAGAGGUAUCUUCUUCAAACUCAAAAACCUCAUUUUCAUUAUGCAAAGUGUAUUUAUGGGACAAUAGAAAAACGUUUCUGUCAUAAAUCAUACCUAACGAUAAUAUAUUGGAAAAAGUUUGUUGGAAAAACACAUUCAUUUGAUACGAUGUUUAAUAAUAUAAUAAUAUAAUUAUGAUUUUAAAUUAAAAAAAUAAUAUAAUUAUAUUAUUUUUACGUAUUAUAUAAAUGUUUUUAGAUUUUUCGCGUGUCCUAAUAUAUUUUUGUGACGUGUUAAAAGAACAAUGAAUAAAAGAGAAAAUAUAAGCGAAGAUAAACUGAUAUAUUGUUUAAAAGAUAUGGACAAAAGAAACAAAAUAAGUGAGAAUUGCAACCCAAAGAUUUUAGUACUCACAAAAGGCUUAUAAAAUAUUAUGACUAUAUGUACUGUUGUUAUAUUAUAGAAAAGACCUUUUAAUAAUAGAUUUUUCAAUAUGGGAACUAAUACAUGUAACAUAAAAAGCUUAAAUUUUUAUUUGGAUUAAUAAGUCCCACUUACUAUUUUAAACCAUCAUAGUGUAAAAUUAAUAUAAAAGAUUAUUUUUCUACAAAACUUUAUAUAACCAUUCUUAUGGUAAUAAUGAUAAUAAAAAGCUUUAUUAGUUAUAAAUUAUGAUGAUAAUUGUUUUUAUUUGAUCUAAAAGACAUUAAAUUUACAGUUUAAUAAAAUUAUUUGAUGUUCUUUAUUAUAAGCAGUUCAAACUUAAAUCUAUUUAACUAUAUUUGCAUAUUAUAAUUAGAGAUGUAAAUAGUUUGACUUAGUUGUUAUUUACUUUUAUUUAUUAUUAUUAGACAUUUUCCAUCUAAAUAUUAUUCGAAUAAGAGUAUUAAAUCAUUACAUGUUAUUUUAUAAAUAUAAUUAGUAUUUUUAGGAAUACUUAUUUUAUAUUUUAUAUAUAUUAAUGCACUUGAUUAUAUAAUGAUGAUAAAUCUUUUACUAAUUUGAACUUUAUUUUCAUUGAAGAUGCAAGAGAAUGUAUUCUCAGCAUGAAAAUAUUUUCGAAAAUAUUCCCCUGGAAAGUUGGAGGAACCAUCAACUUUUGAAAAAGAAAUUAAAGGAAAAGUAAAGUUGAUCUUUACGGAAAAUUCUUAUCUUUAUACAGAAUAACAUAACCUUGGAUGCAUGCAGAAAUUUUCUCUCUAGUUGGUCAUUUUUAAAAGUGACUUUUAAUAUUAUAAUUUCCAACCCAUUCGAAAAAAAAAAUACGGAAAAUUUCAAGUUUUUUGAACAUGUUAAAAUGCAUAGGUUAUUUUUCUAUAUUAAAAAUGUUGUCAAAAUGUAAGACGCCGUAGUAAUACAGACUAACAUGAAAAUGAAAAUAAUAAUAAUAUACUACUGUAGCUCCAAUACAAACUAUCGGUUAGGUGGCUUUUAGUUGUCAACCAAAACUAAUGAAAAAAAAAAACAUAUAUUUAAGCGUAAUCACGAGCAUUAAAUUAAGUUGUAUAUUCUUAAUAUUAGGUUAUAUUUUAUUUAUUUUAUUUUAAGAAUUAAUACAUAUUAAAAAAAAUUAAAGAAAAGAAUUUUUUUUUCUCCAAGUUAUGUAAUUACACUAAACUCAUUAUAAAAGUUACACUUUACCAAUAGAAAAACUAUACAUAUUAUAAAAAAAUAUAAAUAAAUACACAGUAAUAUAACAUUAAACCAAUUAUAUUAUUCUUUAUAAAUUAAAGCUAAAUUAAUUAAUUUAUCAAGAGAACCAUUUUUUUUUACAAAAGAUAUUAUAAACUUUGAACCAUAUAUAUUUAUAAAAAUGUAAACAUAGAUAUCAUUUUCCUCUAAAACUCAAAGAAUCACUAAGUCUCUCAAAGCACUUCCUUCAAGCAUAUGCUUCAAAACAUAAAUGACCCUCAUAGACUCAAGAAAAUAGAAGUUUGUAUCUCUAAAAAAAGCUGAAAAACUACUCACAUAUUCACCUCGACUUCUUCUAAAACUAUCAGUACAUGAAGCAAAACAAAGACAAUCCUUAGUCACACUAUUAGUAUUCACCUUAAACCAAUUAACAGAUAAAAUUUGUCAUAUUACGUCCAUCAUAUUACUUCCAAAAAUGAAACUAAUCUACUUUCCCUAUUUUGAAUAUUAAAAAAUUUUAACACAAAAAAAAUGUAUAAUAUUACUCGUAGACUUUCUAGAUUUAUUCUAAGUCAUACAGACUAAAUUUUUAAUUUAAAAAAUAGUAAAAGAAAACUAAAUUAGAUCUUCAAAUCUAAUAUAAUUUCUCAUUUUCCAAAUCAUCUAAAUAAUCACAAUAAUGACAAUUACUUUAAUCACACUUUAAACAAAAAUUUAUAAUGAGACUUGAUAAAUUGAACCAUCAAAACCAAAGAAAAAAGCUGCAAAUCUUCUAACACUUUCUUUAACUAUUUCUACAUUCAUAUCACAACAAAACAAUAAAAAAAAUUCACACAAAAAAAACACAUGAAACAUAAAAUCAUUAUUUCUUUUUAACCUCUAGGUAACCGUGGAAAUAACAAAAAUGUUAAAAAUAAAAGAAUAUUUUUUUCACAUUAAAUACUUAUCUACCUUUUAUGUUUAGAUUUAAUAAAAUUUUAAAAAUGUAAAAACGCAUAUUAAAAUUUAUCUUCCUUUUAUUUUUAUUCUUAAAUUUAAUAUAAUUAAAAGAAAUUUAGCACAAUUGACAAUGGUCGUUCUCUCUCACACCAUGGAUAGGUGUGGUCCUGGAUAUUGUUUUUUCACAUCCACAACAACAAAAUGAAAGUUGUGAGAACUUAGAUUUAAACUUUUAUAUUUCGUAGGGUUUCCUAAUUUACCUAAGGAGAUUUUUCAUUGGUACAUUUUAGUAAAGUAUACCAAAUUUUAGGUUACAAAAAUGUCCCUGAUAAAAAAGAAAACUAACUUUAAAUCUAAGAUUAAUUUAAUAAUUUUAAAAUUUAAUUUAAAAUAAAAAAAAAUAAAAGAUAGUUAUUAAAAAUUCUUAUUGGUCCAUGAGAGAAGUUAUUAGCUUUUAUUUUAUUUUUAAUUUUAAAAAACAACUACCUUUUUAUUUUAUUUUUUAUUUUAAAAAACAACUACCUUUUAAAAAAAAUAUAAUGGUUUAAAGUUUAGGGUUUAUAGAACCCGUCUGGGCUUAUAGAACCCGUUUUGGUUAAAAAACAACUACCUUUUAAAAAAAAUAUAUAUUAAAAACUAAUAACUCUCUUAUACACGUGGACCAAUCAGGAUUUUUAAUAACUACCAUUUAUUUUUUUUAUUUUAUUUUAAAUUUUAAAAUUAUUAUAAUACCUUUGGAUUUAAAGUUAUUUUUUUAAAAGGAACAUUUUUGUCACCUAAAACUUGGUACACUUUGCUAAAAUGUACCAACUGAAAAAUCCCUUUACGUAAAUUAACAAACCCAUAUAUAUAUAUAUAAAAGAAGUAAUAUUUGUAAUUUUUAAUAUAUUGAAAUAUAUUAAAUUUGAAUAUAUUUGAUUUUAAUUUACUUUUUAAAAUAUUUUUGAUUGGAUACAGUUCAUAAUUAUUAAUUUUAUAUCUGGUUAAUGCUACGAGAAAAGAAAUGAUGAAAAUUGUGUAUCUUAUUUCAUAAUAAGGAGAAGUACAAUUGAUAUAUAUAGUUAUUUAUUGCAAUAUAAAAAUGGAAUAUAAAUAUAAAAACAGAAUAUAAAUAUAUGAACAUAAAUGUCCAGAUAUGAACGGAAAAUAAAUUAAAUCCAAUAUCCACUCAAGCUAUAUAUAUAUAUAUAUAUAUAUAUAUAUAUAUAUAUAUAUAUCCCUAACUUGGACAACAAAGAUUGAAAUUGUGUUGGAUGUAAAGCUUUAGUAUGGAUGUCUGCAAGUUGUGAUGAAGUAGAAAUAGGCGGGAGCUUAAUUACACCAUCUUGAACUUUAUCCCUUAUGAGAUGACAAUCAAUUUCAAUGUGCUUUGUCCUCUCAUGCAUGGCUGGAUUCUGUGCAAUUUGUAUAGUAGAUUGAUUGUCACAAAACAGAGGAACUGGUUGUGGUAGAGGUCGUUUCAAAUCAUGGAGAAAAUAUAAAAACCAUUGAAUUUCACAUGUUGUGGAAGUUAAGGCUCUAUAUUUUGCUUCAGUUGAUGAUCUAGACGUAAUACCUUGCUUAUUGGAUUUCUAGCAGAUUAAGGAUGCACCAUAAAACACAUUAAAACCAGAUGUUUUAUUAUCAGGGCAAUCUUAAUUAUUUAGAUUAAUAUUGAUUAUUGGAGUCAUUUUUCUAAUAAAGUUGGUUGAAUUUUAUUUUUGUCAAUUCUUUUUAUCAAUGCUGGCUAAAACUUUUCUCUAUUGAUAUUAGCAACAAAAAAACUUAAUUAAUAUUAACUAAAAGUUUUUUCCAGUUAAUAUUAAAAAGAAUUCUAACAAGCUAUUCAUAAAAAUAAUAUUGAUGUAAAGGAGAAAAACACAUUCUAAACAUCGACAAAAUUAAUAAUCGUGAUAAAUAAUCAAUGGAAAAAAUCUAAGUUCACGGAAACUAAAAAAUAGUACUCUCAACGUCUCUCGAGAAAAAUCUAAUUAAUAUUGAACUAGAAAAAAACUAUAAUCUACAACAAAAACGAAUCAAUCUUAACAAUUAAAAUGAAGAAAACAACUUUUGUCAGAAUCAAUAAAAAGAUUUAGUAGACAUUAUAAAAAAUUAAUCAUUCUAACUGUGUUAAUCGGAAUCGCAAUGGUUCGAUAAAAAUGAAAAAGAAAAAAAGAAAAAGCAUAAGAAAUCGCCACCAAUAUUGUUAGAGAAAUAUGAAGGUUAUUUGAUCAAUACUGGGUUACUAAUUGCUUCUUUUUUUUCAUUGAGCAGACUUUCAGACCAUUCAUUAGAAAAAAAAAAGAAAAAAGAAAUAAUGUUAUCCGAAUCCCAUUUUUUAUUAGGAUAAUUUAUUUUUGGCUUAAUACAUAGUCCUUCAUUAAUUUUGUUCAAAAUGAUUGUUCUAAUUUUUAGGUGUUCAAAGUGGUUUAUUUUUUUUAAGUAAAAAUGAUUCAAUGUUGUCCUUUUUGCUUACUGUUAAUAUCAAUAUUACCUAUAUUAGUCAAUAUUGAAUGAGUUGUCCAAUUUUAAAGUACCUAACAAAAAGUGAUGUGAAAAUGUUAAAUAUCUUUGGUCUUAAUUAAACUCUCUCUAUUAUAAUUAAAAUUACUUAACAUUAAUUAAAUCCCUAAUUCACAACCUUAAUUAGAAACUUCUUUCUCUCUCUGCUUUCUGGUUCUUAAAUAGACCCAGUCUUGGGGUGUCCUUAUGAGUUUCGUAGGGUUUUUUUCUUCUUCUUUGUCUUGGUUGGUGAGACUCGUCGUCGUACAAGGAGCAAUGGCUAGGUAUGAGGUUUCACCUUCUCAUUUUCUGGUUAGGGGUCGUGAUUGGCUAGAAGGGCAAACUCCUUUCUUCUUCUCUAUUCUGGGUUGCUUCUGUAGGGAAGGAGAGGCAUUUUCUAAUGGCUCAGGCAUAACGCUUUCGUCGCAACAGUUGGUGAUUCAGCAUCUUCGUUGCGAGCUUCUGGGGGCAGACACAACGUUUCACGACGCGAGGAUCUUAUCCUUUACCGUCUUCACAGCGACAAGGGCUUGGAUGAGAUUAACAAUUCAAAUCAAGGUUGAAUUUUAAUUUUGUUAUUUGGGGUUUUGUUCUUGAUUCUUUUCUACAGGUUUUGAUCUCACGAUUUGGAGCUAGGGUUUUGAUUUGGGAUUCUGGAAUUUUUUCGUUCGGAAGGGUAAUGGAUGCAGUUUGUGGUUUUUCGAUAAUGGUUUGGUUUGAGGAUUCUGGUGGUGGUUUUGGUGCGAGUAGCAUGGUUGGUAAUAUAGAUGAUUUGAACUGGUUCAGGAGAAAUAGAUGUGUUUUGGAAGAAAAAAAUAAGAAUAUAUUAAGAAUAAAAUAAAAUAUAAAUAUAAAAAGUGUAAUAAAGACUUUUAAUAUUAUCACCUUACAUAGCUACGUAUUUUAAAACUGUACAACUAAUUAAAUAUUAACUAAAGUAGACAUUAUACCAUUUAAAUUUAAAUGUAGUCAACAAAUUGAGUCAUUUAAAAAAAACACUUUAAUUAUAAAAAAAAAUAGAAAAAUUAUUUUGAACAAACAACAUAAAAAUAGAUAUUAAAUCUUAUUUUUUUUCUCUCUCUCUUUCUCUUUCUCAUUCUCUUUCUCUUUCUCUCUCCUUACCUUUUCAUACAUAACAUUACCUUUUUUUUUUCCUCAAUGACUUCUUUCUCAGUCAUGACAAUAUUUUCUUCUACAAUCCCAUCAAAAAUGGUUAAUUGACCAUUUACUUUUUAUUUCUUUUAAUUUCUUUGAUCAAAACUAAUAGAAAUUUAUUAUCAAAACUAUACAAUAAAAUAUCCUGUGUCACUUUUAUUACCUUUUAUUGCUUCUUGAUGUUUCCUCUUUAGCGAAAAUUGAUAAUAUGGUAUUAUUCAUUUUCAAAAAAAAAAAAAUCACCCUCUUAAAAUAUUAUUAGAGUUCUUUCUUGCUCGAUAAAUAGACUGACACAAAGUAAAAAAAUAUUAAAAAAAAGAGAUUGACAAAAAUAAAAUAGUGAGAAUUGAGACUGUUUCAGUAUGGAUUUGUAGGACCGAGAGACUAACUUGUUGUUGUGUCUAUGUCGUCUUCAAAUGCUUUUUCACAACCUGGACCGCUCGCUCUUCUAUAGUCUGGACCGCUCGCUCUUCUUCAGUCUGGGUUGCUGGCUCUCCUUCUUGACAGUGAGAGAGAAAGAUACCUACAAAAGACACUUUGAUGCUCAAGUUCUCUGACACUCAAGUUAGGCGUGUAUUGAGGAGCUUUUGCUCACGAGAAAGUAUUAGUGAAUUGUUAUCAUUGUUGAGUAUUUUUGAGUGCGAAUAGAACGUAGCUGACUUUUAGUCUUGGCCCUGUAUUUAUAGGUUAUCACAAGCCAAUAUAAUAUAAAGAGACUUACCUUAAACAGAUUUAUCUUAAAAUUCGGUCGGUUGCUCAUAACCAGUUCAUCAAUAUCUUUGAUCAGAUAUCUUUGAUUAUUUCGCUACUUAAUUGUUUGGACUUCCGGCCCAGUUUACUUAAUCUUAUUACGAGAUCUUAAUAUAAGUCACGUAAUUUCUGACCUAACUAAGAUCCAAUCCAACUAACAGAUCGACUAAUUCUCUUAAUCGCUUGACCCAGAUAUUAUACUAUAUAGAGACAAUCGAAAGAAGGUGUAACAAGUCCAAAAAAAAACUUAAAUAAAAAUAUUUUGAUAAUUUAAAUAAAUAUUAGUUAUUUUUUAAAUUAAGUUUAUUAAAGAAUAGUGAAAUAUAUUUAAUCAAAAUUAAAUUAAUUUUUUUUAAAAGGAUAUUCAAGGAUGAGAAAAUUUUAAAAGAAUAUCCAAAACUAACCCAAGAUAUUUUCAAAUUUUUGGGAGUUAAAAUAAAUUAUCAUAAAUUUAAGUGCAACACAUAUUCAAACAAUGAUAACAGAAAAGAAAUCUUCACUUGUUGAAUUAGGCAUAAUUUGUACUAAUUUAAUAAACAAUGAUAACAAAAAAAAAUCAUGCGUAUUUACUAACAAAAUCACUCAUUAGAUUGUGUUAUUGGUCUAAGGGGAAUUAGAUUCAGACAUUUUAAUUUGAAGUCUUUGAAUGAAAUGAAAAAUAUUUUUUAGAGAAAAGAAGAUCACAUUCAAGACAUUGAACUAAGUUUUUUCUGACAAAUAUUAGUUAAGGACAAAAAUAAUAGAUAUUCCACAAUAAUAACAUAACUAAAAAGAACGCUCUUUUUAUUGCGUAGUACAAAGGAAUAUUUAAAGAAGUCUAUAAUAUAUUAAACUUUUUGUUGUUAUUGCUUUGAAACUAUUCCUUUUGUUUUAAUUUUUUCUUUGUAUUAAGUAUAGUGGGAAGUAUUUGUUCUAUUAGCAAUAUUUUUUAAGGUGUCUUUUUAUUAUUUGAAUAAAACGGUUAAAAAUAGAAGAAAAGAAGGCAUAGAACAUGAAAACAUCUCAUUACUUUCCCUUUUAAUAAAAUUUUCCCAGAAAAUUUUUUGAGAAAGUAAAUUUUAAAAAUUUGAAAAUAAAAUAAAGGACAAUGAUAUUUUGACAACACUUUUUGACAACUUUUUUUAUAACGGGACACGUAUCAUCAUUUUAUUUGUCUAUUUGAAUUUAUGUUUAAAAAAUAUUUAAAACAGACCAAUCACAAGCUGUCACGUAUGCGUUGUCAAAAAGUUGUUAAAAAAGUGUUGUUAAAAGAAGUUAUAUAUAUGAGGAACACCUGGAUCUAAUACAGUAGUGAAGUGAGUGAGGGGUUCGCAGUUUAACCAAUAGCUAACCAGAUCCACUUUGCUUGCAAUAAUACAAAUUCUUGUUGGAGGCAUCUAUCUCCAACAACGUGCUUCCCACUUUCGCAUAAUAAAUAAAUAUAAUACCAUUAUUAUAUUUAGGAAAAUUGUCGUAUAACAUGUCAAUUUCCUACGGAAUUCAUACAUAUUAAACAAAUCUCCACAACAUUGAAAGGAAACCCACGUUCUUUAGAAAACAACCCAGAAGCUUCUUUCAUCAUCAAUACUGUCACAUGGAAAAGAUGAUGGGACUCUAAUUUUAUAGCAAAAAAAAUGCUUUUUUAAUACAAAAGUAGGUGAAAAACUGUCAUUUUAAAUUAGGAGAAGUGCACGUUCAAGACAGCACACGAUGAAAGUGGACAUAUUUUGAUUUGGGAUUAAUUAGCUUUUUAUGAUUUAAUCGAAGCAUCUCAUAAAAGGUCUAAUUAGCAAAAGUAGAAUGAUUAUCAUGAAAAAGUUAAUUCCCCGGGAAGAAUAUAAGUAAAUAUUGUUUUUCUUAAAAGAUUGUUUGUUAAUAUUUAAGCGUUUAAAUCAUAAAAUGUGAACUUUCUUUUGCGUAAGUUGAUAUUAUUACAUUCCCAUAAUUAUGAUAUGUAUAACAUAAUAAUCGCAAAUAACUUUACUAAAGGUUCUGCAUUCAUAUACUUUAACUUUAGUGUUUAAAUGUGAGUAGAAAAAAAUGUAAAGACUGAAUGACAGGACAAAAUUUGUUUCCUCUUGGAUCUGUGGUCAGAAUGAAAAGCAGAAAAAGAUAUUUUGAAUUUAAAAUGGUGGUACUUUUACGUGCCAUGAUAUAUAUGGUCUAAUUAAAGCACUAGUUUGAAAAGGAGGAAGCGAAGUAUAAUGUGAAAAAGUUGGAAUAAUUAAGCAUAUAUUCCACAAUGAGAUAGAUCUAUGGAUGGCAAGAAACAAAGGAAGCAACUUUGCAACUUGCUCUGACAAUGGGAACAAGGAACAACAAUCUAAGUAAAAAGAAUGCCAAACUGUUUUAUUCUUUCAAUUAUUAGAUGUACAAUGAAAUCAUCAAGGUCAUCUACAUACACCUGUAAACACCAAAACAAUGAAUCACAAAAUAAUCAUCAUAAUCAUGAAUACCAUCUUCUUCUUCAUCAUCAUCAUCAACAACAGCCAACCCUCCCAGAUAUCGAAUCAACAAACACAUCAACGACGAACAAAGCUAGAGAAAACACAUAAAACCCGGAAAAGAGAAAGAGAAAAAGAAAACGCUACUCAACAAGACCAGAGGAUAAAAUAAAUGAAAUAGAUCCCGUCCGUCCGUCGGUGAAAAACAAGAUCAAGGGCCCAAGAGCCUCCACGUGGACGAAUUCCAACCCUAAAGUCUGUUUUCAAGCCAAGAGCAUGGCUACCAACGUUCCCGCGAAAGCAGAGCCAGCAACGAAGGACUUGGCAACGGAGAAUGCGGCGGAGGGUGGCGGGGGUGCUUCGCCGCUACUUGGUUGAGAUGCGGGGGCGUUAGGUGGUGGUGCUGGUGGAGAGUCAGAAGGAGUAGAAGUGGGAGCUCCAGAUGGAGGAGAAGAAACUGGGGUAGGAGUGGGGGUAGGUGCUGGUGGUGUUGAUGUUGGUGGUGUUGAUGCUGGUGCUGGUGUGGGUGUUUGUGUUGGUGGUGCUGCAGUGGGUGGUGGAGUUGCUGGUGUGGUGGGUGUAGGCGCCGGUGCUGAUGCGGGUGGUGGUGGUGGGGUUGUUGUGGGAGGCUGUGUAGGUGCAGCACCUGGGGCUUGCGCUAUGCAUGAUGUAGCCAGAAGCCCCAAUACAAGAAACAGUUGUACUGCAGCAGAACCCAUGUUCUGAGUGGAGAGAGCAGAAACCGAAAAACCGAAACUUGCGUGUUAGAGAGAGAGAGAGAGGGUUGAGCAGUGGAAGAUGAUAAGGGAACAGAAUAUAUAAAAAGAGGGCUUGAGAGGCGUUAAAGGACAGUGGCGAUUAAUGCAUCAAUAAUGCUCAAAGAUUCCUCCAACUCCAAUGUCCUAAUUUAAUUUAAUUUCCUUCUAUAUGCGCGCACACAAUUUUUUAUCUUAUUAAUUUUCCAACCUUACUCUCUCUCUCUUAUAUAUAUAUAUAUAUAAUAUAUAUAUAUAUAUAUAUAUAUAUAUAUAUAUGUUGUGAUGUGCAUGUACUCCUUCUUUGCUUGCGUGGACUAAGUCAGGGCGGUGUGAUGUGAGUAAUAAUAAUGGGUCAACACUUAACACUACAUUUCCACUUUUUUUUAUUUUUUAUUUAUUUUUAAGGUUUAAUUUUAUCUUCAUUUGAACUUUCUUCGGUGUCUGGUACAAUUUUUGUUAUGUUUGUGUAAAUGUGGAAAACAUUAGCUGGCAGAUGUGGAUGUUGUGUUUGUGGCCCAUUGGGGAUUUUACACUGCGCACUAUGAUUUUUCUCAAUGUGUGUUCCUUGUUUGCCUUUUUGUCCAUUGUGUUUCCUCAAUAUUACCUUCUCACCCUUUUGCGUCAGGACACGUGUCAGUUCUGUGGGUCAGUGACCAGUCACUGUCUCCGCCACCCCUCAGUACGGCGGUUUUUCCACCCAUUUUCCUACUCUCGUCGCUUCCGCUUUAAACAUUUUUUUUCCACUCUAAUCGGAACAUAAAAUAAUAAAAAUUUAAAAAAACUAAGAAAUUUGAUCCUAAAAUUAAGAAAAGAAAUGUGUACUUUGAAAAUAAUGAAAAAUAAAAAAGGAAGCAAUCCAAUCCGUAAAAACUAUUUUUUAUUUUUUACUUUUUCUUUCUUCAGAAAGACCACAGCUUUUCAACAACCCAUAAAGUCGUUCUAGGAUAUUACUAGGGUGCCCUUAUCUUUUGACCGUUGAUCUAGACCUCACACGUGUGUCCUUCAUAGUCAUUCGUUGAUGGGUUCCGUCUGUAGUAAAACGCGGGGUGCUUUACCCGCGUUGAUGCCACUCGUGUCUUGUCCUGUGACAACUUUUUUUUUUUUUUUUCCGUUAAUGAUUAUUAAUAAAGAAUUAUAGAAUCUAAUCUAAAAAAACGAAAAGUAGUAAUUAUUCUUACGCGCAAUGCAAACCCUCCACCAGAUGAAAAGGUUUUGAACCUUUCUCCGUAGGGAACAUAAUUUAUUGGUAAUUUUGCAUUACAUGAUUGAGAAAGCAGAUACAUCACCCUUUCAUUAUCGCUGAUGUUUUCGAUAGAAUACGUAGUUGAUUGAAAGAAAGAAUAAUAUUAGGUAACCGUUGCAAAUGGAAAACAACCACUCAACUCAAACGGAAAUAAAAUAGAAAAAUAAAUAAAAAUAAAAAAUGCAGCUGGAACAUAGCAUAGAAAUAGACGUGGAAGAAAAUGAAAAAGAGGAGCAUGUGAGAAGUUGUUUGAAUCCAGUGUAUCCCGUUGUCAUUUUUUGGGACUACAAGGAGCAAAGUCUUCACUACUGUUGGUGUAUGUAUAUUUUUUAAAGAUAUUUUAAUGAUGAAGUAGGAGCUGGCAAAAGCUGGCAAUUAUUAACGUCUUAAUAAUACGAGUAGGUUUGGACUUUUGCAAUUCUUUCUCUUUGUCGCAUUUGCUUGUAAAAUAUGUGGAAAACAAAGCAAGAAAGAGAGGGUUCGCAUUCGCAUCUUCACUCAUAACUACAAUUAUCUUAUCAUGUUUUAUUUAUUUAUUUACCGUAUUAAACAUAUAUUUACUACACAAAUUUCAAAUUUAUGUAUAAUGUUUUUCUAACUCAGAUGCUCUUUAUAUGCAAUUUACUGUUGCUUAUUUGUAUAUUGACAUAACCAACAUUUUCAUUUCGUGGGAUUAUUGUCUUCAAUCUAUGAGAAGAGGAAACGGAGUAUGUAGGAUCGUGCUGAAUAGACCAAAGUGACAAAUAAAAAAUGGAAGAAAACAAAAAAAUAUACAUAUGAUCGGUUUUUAUUUUCCUCAAAUGCGUUGUAUUCUACUCCAUUAUUUUAUAAAUGGAUUAUUAUCAUCAAUCAUAGGCUUCCGACAAUCAUAUAUUAAUUGGAUGGAAUUUUAUUUUCGACGCCGGGUUUUUCCUUUAAGAUUAAAAAGCAUCAUACUUAAGAUAAAAUAAAUAGUGUACCGUAUGACCAUCCGGUCAGCAGUGGUCGAUGAACCUAUUAGAGUAGUCAUUAACUGAUAAUUAAUCUAGACAAUAAUAGCUACUAAUGGUCAGUAUAUGAAAAUAAUUGUCAUUGAUUGACAAUUAAUAUGAAUAAUGUCAUUUAUUGGUAGUAAAUGGUGCACUCUUUAUAAUAUCGGUCAGAAAAGGCAGGUAGUGGGGGAAUUCUGAUAAUUAAUCUUUAUUACAAGAUUAUUACGCAAAGUCACUUACUUGAGCGUCAGAAUGUCUUUUGCAGGCACCCUCCUCCGCAACUAGAACAAUGACAAGAGAGAGAACAACACAACUGAUGAGUGCAUAUUUAUGUCCACAUUUACGCUUUAAAAUUCAAAUUUUUGAUGAAAUUCUUGUGCUUAAAUGAUUGAUUUAAUAUGAAUUUAUGACGAUUGGAUUUAUUGGGUUUGGGAACUAAAGAUGCUUAAAAUGUGAUUCUUAGUUGCAUAAAUUAUUUUGGAUGUUCUAAUNNNNNNNNNNNNNNNNNNNNNNNNNNNNNNNNNNNNNNNNNNNNNNNNNNNNNNNNNNNNNNNNNNNNNNNNNNNNNNNNNNNNNNNNNNNNNNNNNNNNNNNNNNNNNNNNNNNNNNNNNNNNNNNNNNNNNNNNNNNNNNNNNNNNNNNNNNNNNNNNNNNNNNNNNNNNNNNNNNNNNNNNNNNNNNNNNNNNNNNNNNNNNNNNNNNNNNNNNNNNNNNNNNNNNNNNNNNNNNNNNNNNNNNNNNNNNNNNNNNNNNNNNNNNNNNNNNNNNNNNNNNNNNNNNNNNNNNNNNNNNNNNNNNNNNNNNNNNNNNNNNNNNNNNNNNNNNNNNNNNNNNNNNNNNNNNNNNNNNNNNNNNNNNNNNNNNNNNNNNNNNNNNNNNNNNNNNNNNNNNNNNNNNNNNNNNNNNNNNNNNNNNNNNNNNNNNNNNNNNNNNNNNNNNNNNNNNNNNNNNNNNNNNNNNNNNNNNNNNNNNNNNNNNNNNNNNNNNNNNNNNNNNNNNNNNNNNNNNNNNNNNNNNNNNNNNNNNNNNNNNNNNNNNNNNNNNNNNNNNNNNNNNNNNNNNNNNNNNNNNNNNNNNNNNNNNNNNNNNNNNNNNNNNNNNNNNNNNNNNNNNNNNNNNNNNNNNNNNNNNNNNNNNNNNNNNNNNNNNNNNNNNNNNNNNNNNNNNNNNNNNNNNNNNNNNNNNNNNNNNNNNNNNNNNNNNNNNNNNNNNNNNNNNNNNNNNNNNNNNNNNNNNNNNNNNNNNNNNNNNNNNNNNNNNNNNNNNNNNNNNNNNNNNNNNNNNNNNNNNNNNNNNNNNNNNNNNNNNNNNNNNNNNNNNNNNNNNNNNNNNNNNNNNNNNNNNNNNNNNNNNNNNNNNNNNNNNNNNNNNNNNNNNNNNNNNNNNNNNNNNNNNNNNNNNNNNNNNNNNNNNNNNNNNNNNNNNNNNNNNNNNNNNNNNNNNNNNNNNNNNNNNNNNNNNNNNNNNNNNNNNNNNNNNNNNNNNNNNNNNNNNNNNNNNNNNNNNNNNNNNNNNNNNNNNNNNNNNNNNNNNNNNNNNNNNNNNNNNNNNNNNNNNNNNNNNNNNNNNNNNNNNNNNNNNNNNNNNNNNNNNNNNNNNNNNNNNNNNNNNNNNNNNNNNNNNNNNNNNNNNNNNNNNNNNNNNNNNNNNNNNNNNNNNNNNNNNNUUUUGUUCUUAAGCAUUGCAUAGCAUUCAUAAGUUUCAGAUAUUCGAAAGAAAUUCCGUGUUCGUUGGCAGACGACUUAGGGUUACUUUAGCCCUAUCUAUUUUCUUGAAUACUACUAGGCAAUACUGAAGUUGCCUUGAAAAGUAGUAUUAAUUUGAUAGCUUCAACGACAGCUUAUCAACAACUUAAAGGAUGAAACAGACAACUUUGAAUGCUUUGGGUUAGGGAUCCCAAUCCUACCGAAACAUUUUGGCGCCCACCAUGGGACCGAGCGACAUCCCUCUGAAACCACUAAGAACCGAAUGAGCGUUCGGUCUCAAAAUAACUAUUCUGGCCAUACCCCAAUUUGUUGGCCUUGAUCAAUAACAAUAGAAGAUCUCACCACCAAUGUCAACUAGAUGAUUUUGAAAGUGAAUUCGACACCAUAAUCACACAAUCAAAGAUCAACCAAAAAACAAAACAAAACAAAACCUUUUUCUCUCUUUUAACAAAACCAAUCCAAUGGCUGCAAGGGCUCUCCAAAAAGCUAAACCCUUCCUUUGUGAUUGGCAUCGUCUCCACCGCCACCGCCGUCAACGUGUGGUCGCACCUCGGUCCCAGCCCAUCCUCCUUCUUCUCCCAAAUAGCAUUCACCACUGAGUAAGUCAGCGCAAGUCUCAGAGCAACCACCACUAGGCGAGUCUUUCCGCCAUCGCACAACUUGCAAUAUGGAAACAACCAACCCCCAUGACAGCCAUUGACGCCACCGUGAGCCCUCUACAAAAUUGCACCUCUUUACGGUUCACAUCCAACGCGCCUUCAAAGCAGAGAGAACCCCCAAAUUGUGUUCGUCCAUCAGUCUUCGUCACGCCACCAGGCGCCGCUAUCACUAGAGCACCGCAAGUUUGUCUCCUUCACCUCUGUAGGACACUAUGGUGGUGGUGCCAAUUCCAGCUCCUUCUGCUUCGCCACACCUUCCUGUUGGACCAACAUUCCUUGCUAGCGCAUUCCACUCGUCUUGGCCUCCUCCUCGCCCACCGCCAUCAAUGGCGACCAGAUCACUACGUCGUGCUCGGAGUCGCCCGCAAUGCCACAUUCGUCAAGAUCAAACGCACUUAUCGUAGCGGCUGGGUUGUACUUAGGAAACACAAAUUGGUUUCCCUUUGUAUAAAUAUCGAUUUCUGCCACCAACGUCGCCGCUCAAUUCGGAGUCACCACCAAGACAAUGUCGUGGUCGUCUCACGGUUGAGCGUUAUCACUAGAACACCGUUAUAGACCCAAAACGAGUUAUUGCAAUUCAGGGACCGCUGCUCCUCACCUCCUUUGUCCUCAAUCUUGCCAAGCCUUCCCUUGAUUUCUGAUUCUCUUCAUACUCCUGAUGUUGAGAGUUCUUUGCUAUGUUCUAUUGGGAUUUCCCUAUGCAUGUGCGAAGCGAUGGAUGAUGAAGAUGAAUAUAGAUGGAAAGUGGUGACUUGAGUAUUUUUUGUGACACUUUUGAAGGAGGGGGAGAAAUAGAUGUCAUGGCAACCUUAAUGCAUGUUGUUGUCCCAAUUAAAAAAAUGCUUAAAUAGUGGUGGUGUUAAUCGGCAUAACAAUUCCUCUGCCUAGUGUACUUUGGAGAACCUCGGGGGCUCUGGAUCAACGUUAUUCUUUUCCUUCGUCUUAGAAUCAUUGUACAAUGAUAUUUGGGAAAUUACUUCCUUAUUCCACUAGAGCAGGAAUACAUCAUUGGCACAUUCUAAUAUGGGUUUCCCCAUUCUGGUCUUCAAACAUUCAACCGAAGACCGAACAGUCUCGCUUGUUUGGUCGUCCAACCUUGUAACUCAAACUAGAUUAAUUUUAUUGGCUAUACUUUUCUAAAAAAUCAAAUUCGAAUUGUUAUUAUAUUUAUUCAUUACAGAUGACAUGAUCCUUCAUACAAACCACUCGGCCAAGUGAAGUAUAAAAUCAAGAGGUGAUAAAAUUUCUUAGUGAACUGUCACGAUUGUCCUGAAAACCCAAGGCAUGUCAUCCAAAAAACUCCUAGUCCAAACCGAGGUGAUAAAAGUUCUCAGCGAACUGUCACUCUAAUCCAUAAAACUCAGGGAAUGUUAUCCGAAAAAGUCCUGGUCUAAACCGAGUGGUUAGGAAUGUUCUCCACGAACUCUCACUCUCGUCCUAAACCGAGCAGUGAGUAACGUUCUCCAUGAACUCUCACUCUCGUCCUAAACCGAGCGGUAACAGGUGUUCGACCAUUCGGUCUGGCAGAUUCUCAACCAUUCGGUCUCACAAGUAUUCGGCCAUUCGGCCAAAAAAGUAUUAAGCCAGUUGGCUUCAUAGUGCAGAUAGCAAGAUCCUGCACAUAAAAUUGUUCGGCCUAGGGAAAAAAUGUUCCAAGUGAAUGCCUAGGGUCUACCGCUUAAUGAGGAACAUUCUUCAUGAACUCUCACCUCAGUCUCUUCGACCUAGGGAACAUUCUAAGUGAACUUCUAGAGUCCAUCGCUUGGUGAAAACAUUCUUCGUGAACUCUCACCUCAGUCUCUUCGACCUAGGGAAAUUUCUAAGUGAGCUCCUAAACUCCACAACUCGGUGCAUAAAGGAGCAAAGACUUAAAGUGCAUAAAAAAUACUCAAGCUCACCAUAACCCCUGCGCACCUCUUCCAAUAAAGAGCUUGCUUGGGCUUGGGGGGCUUGUGUACGAUAUGACCACCUAGUCAUCCAAGGACCGAGUGGUUGACCAUCCGGCAAGGAACCUACCGGUCUAGAUCAGUCAUUAACUGGUAAUUAAUCUGGGCAAUAAUAGCUACUAAUGGGUAAUUAAUGAAAAUAAUUGUCAUUGAUUGACAAUUAAUAUGAAUAAUGUCAUUUAUUGGUAGUAAAUGAGUCAAACCUAAUGAUAAGCUCCUUAUAAUAUCUGUUAGAAAAGGCAGGUAGUGGGGAAUUCUGAUAAUUAAUCUUUAUUACAAGAUUAUUAUGCAAAGUCGCUAACUUGAGCAUCAAAGUGUCUUUUGCAGGCAUCCCCCCUUGUCGUUAGGACAAGAAGAAGAGAGGGAAUAACACAACUUGAAGGAUGAAGCAGACAACUUUGAAUGCUUUGGAUUUAGGGAUCUCAAUGCUACCGAAACAAAUAGAAAUAAAAAAUUAUAAAUACCAUUAAAUACAGUUUUUAUUAGAUGUCAAUAUCAUAGUAUCAAAGUAUAUUUUGGAGGAACUCGGGAAGAAGAGAGGAUACAUGACGGUAUCGGAGGGGGUAUUUUUUGAAGAGUAUAGCGCAGCGGAAUUAAAACUCAGAGAGCGGAAAGCGUGUUCGAUCACAGUUAAAACAAAAUUGGUCCUUUUUAGCAAAAAUAAUUUUCUUUAAGAAAAUUAAUCAAACAGUUGAUAUACAUAAAAUAAAAUGAGUGUAGGGAAUAGAAAAAUCACACGAGUAUUUUUAUACUGGUUUGAUUCAACAGAAUCUACGUCCAGUCGUUAAUCACUACAAAGAGUGAUUAACAGUUCCACUAAAAACAGUUUUACAAAUUACAAUUAAGUGAAUAACAGUAAGAUAGAUAAACCUUCCUUCGACGAGCGAACCGGAAGAAAACCACUCUAACAACUUGAAGAGAACUGCUCCGACAAUCGGCCAACGAUUCGCGAGCUUCUCCUUUCACAAGACCAGGCAGAGCAUACUCUACCAACUCGAAGAGAACCGCUCCGGCAAUCGACCAACGAUUCGCGAGCUUCUCCUUUCACGAGACNGUUGCAGCAUCAUCAAAACUCAUCUUCAGGUUUUACCAAUACUCCCUUAUUGGUAACAAUCUCCCCCUUUUUGAUGAUGAUCAAAAAUUCUCUUUUUAAAAACAACUCAGGUUUACCUGCAACACAUACAAACUAAAAAACGGCCACAGAGUUAGCAGUACACGUACAUGUGAAAAAUAUUUCUCUCCUUAAUUCUUCUUCUCCCCUUCUUCUCCCCUUAUAUUAUUCUUCUCCCCCUUUUUGAUCAUAAGCAAAAAGAUUAAAUUAAAAAGUUCCCCCUAAAUAUGAUCUCCCCCUAAAUAUGAUCUCCCCUUUGUAAUUCUUCUCUUUAUAAUUCUUCUCCCCCUAAAUAUGAUCUCCCCCUCAAUUAAACAAUGUAUGCAUAAAACAAGAGAUCAUGUUAUUCAUAAAAGAAAGGAUUACAUAGACACCAUAAGGAGAAACAUAAAAUACAGAAAUAUAACAUAGAGAUAAGAAUAACAACCAAUCAACAAAGCACACAAACAUAAAAUCCUAAUUCAAAAAUUCAGGACUUCGAAAUCUCUCGGGUGGUUGAAGGUUGAGGUGAUUUGCAAUAUUUCCUAGGCGAACAUCAAUUUCAUGAAAUUGAUCAACCACUUAAUCUUCAUCAGCUUGCUUCCACUCAUAAAUUUGAUCAAAGUAAGUUCUUUGGGCAAGACUUACAUCCUCCANUUAUUACAAAAGUUCUCAAUCAAAAGCUUCACCCCCUCUUUUCAAAAAAUCUAAAGUUUAUGCGCCUCAUAAAAUAAGUAACUUAAAAAUUUAAGUCCUUUUAAAAGUACUCCUCCUAAAUGUAAUACUUCCCCUUUAAAAAUAUAUAUUUUUUUUAAAAAAGUUUUUUUUUUUUACGCUAAUAAUCGAUUAUUACUUUAAUUAAUAGAUUAUUUGUGUUCAAAAUUGUCAAAAUCUAAAUUUUUAGGCCGAGAUAAUCGAUUAUGACCCUUUGGUAAUCGAUUAUUGACGUUAAUUUCCGAAAAAUAAAGAUUUGGGCUAAAUUUUCAACCUAAAACUCAUAACAUUCAUAAAAUAUCCAGAUAUCUAACAAACUUAUAUAUCUCUACCAUGUAUCACAAGAUUAUGUCAUAAGAUGUCAAACAAAAGUUUCUCUUAAACUCAAAAAUAGAUUUUGAAACAUAUUUUAAGAUAUGGUCAGUCCAAAACAAUGAAGAGAUGCUUACAAGCCAAUUUAGAUUUGUAUUUGCAAUUUCAAACAAGUUUCAAUGAUUCUUAGUAAAUCAAAUUCAGCUUUUAGCAUACUUAAUUUACUCAUGAAAUCAACAAUCAUUUAUCAAACAAUUAAGAUGUUUAUGAUUCANNNNNNNNNNNNNNNNNNNNNNNNNNNNNNNNNNNNNNNNNNNNNNNNNNNNNNNNNNNNNNNNNNNNNNNNNNNNNNNNNNNNNNNNNNNNNNNNNNNNNNNNNNNNNNNNNNNNNNNNNNNNNNNNNNNNNNNNNNNNNNNNNNNNNNNNNNNNNNNNNNNNNNNNNNNNNNNNNNNNNNNNNNNNNNNNNNNNNNNNNNNNNNNNNNNNNNNNNNNNNNNNNNNNNNNNNNNNNNNNNNNNNNNNNNNNNNNNNNNNNNNNNNNNNNNNNNNNNNNNNNNNNNNNNNNNNNNNNNNNNNNNNNNNNNNNNNNNNNNNNNNNNNNNNNNNNNNNNNNNNNNNNNNNNNNNNNNNNNNNNNNNNNNNNNNNNNNNNNNNNNNNNNNNNNNNNNNNACAAAUCUUUCUUUCAAGUUUCAGAAACUAGAGAGAAAAAUCUUCUCAGACAAUAUUUGUUAGGCUAAGCAAUUAGAAUUUUGAGACAAAACAAGACAGCUGUAAAUUGACAAACAAGAAGCUAUAAGACAUUUAAGAAAUAGUCAAAUUUAGGUGCAUCAGUUUUCAUAUUUAAGCUUGCGUUGGUCUCUCAGCCUUUUAGAAGGAUNUAAAAGUUUCUUUUGAAUAAUUUAUUUUAGAUAUCUUACAAGUACCUAACUUUUGCUGCAGGAUUACUCAAAUGUAAGUACAUCGUACAUACUUCAGGAUUAAGCAAUUGAACCAACAACUUAUUAUCAGCAAAAGAUUUAAAAAAAAAUGGUGGUAUAGAGAGUGAAAAUACCCAAGGCUGUGAAAACACAAGAUUCUUUUGUUAUGAACAUGUUUAAAUCAGAUAAAUGAACUUGCGAUCACAGUUGAUUGAUGUUAAACAACAAUGUUUCUAAAAUUUACUUAUCCAGAUCCAAUUAUGUGUCAAUUUUAAAUAUAAUAUGAAUCAAAUAACUUUUGGACACCUAAUUGGUUUCAAAAACAAUUUUGAAAGCUUGAAUAAGACAAUAUGAAAUUAUUGUAGGAUGUUCAACAAUUAACUAGUGGAAAAUCAGAAUUUUAAAAACUGAAAAAUUUACUCAACCAAGGAAAUGCAGUUUUUCCUAACUUCUUUUAAAAGACUAUUUCUUUGUGAUUUUCACACAAAAAUUUAACACAAAACCUUAUUUAUAUUUUAUCUUUCAACAGUUUAUAAACCUGAUACUUUACACCAAAAUUAUGCAAAACAUGAUCAGUUCAUUUACUGCAUCCAAGUUCUCAAUGAGUAUUAUCAUAGCUUAUGCGGUAUGCAUUUGAACUUGAAAGCAAAUCUCCCCAAAAACAGCUUUGAAACAGAAUUGACAAUUUAAUCAUCAAAUGUCUUAAUCAUCCAAAAAUGCCAAUGAAAAUCUAUCAAGGCUUUUGACAAAAGAUAUAUCAAGGCUUACUUCAAAGUAUUCAGGAAAUUGAAUACUAAACCAGUUAAACACAGAUUCAAUUUAUAAACAAAAAACAAAUCAUUGAAAUAACAAUUGCACAUGACUAAUCAUUUCAAAAGAUUAAAUUUAGCACAUGAAUAUCUCAUAAUAGAAGAAUUUCACUGAUUAAAGUGCUAAAACAAGUAAGAACACACCAUAGAAUAAAUGAAUCAGUGAUGAACAUAUCAUUUGCCCAAACAGAAAUGAAUAGUAAUCAAAGAUUUUAGGAUCAAGCAGAGCAAAAUGCAAGUUAAAUACUACUUAGCUCAAUCACUUGGUGCUCGAACCAAAGCUUUGGAUAUCACUUGAUUUACUCACUUCCUGGCUUGGAGCAUCAAUUCCAAAAGCAAAAUAUCAUAAACUUCUCUUCUCCUUUUGAAAACUUAAUCUACAAAACAAAGCAAUAGUACUUUUGGUACCUAUAAUCUUAUUUGGGUCCUUGAGGUUAGAGACAUAUUACUUUAUGACAGGAACCCAAGCAUAUUUUCCAUUUGGAAUACCAAAAUUUUUAAUGUUACAUUUGUUUGAAGUAUGUCCCUUUUUCAUGCAAUAGAAACAACAAACAUCAUGCACCUUAUUUUUCACAAAAGUUCCUUUUUCUAUCCAAACUCUAUGAGUUCUUUUAAUUUGGUUCUUACCUUUAAAAACUAUUUUGUUUUUAAAAUCCUUUUUAACAGGUAGAGGCAUUUCAGCAUUAUUAUUUCUUGUUGCAACUUCAAGCAAAUUUUCAAGAAUAUUUAUAUCACGCACAUGACUCUUACAUGACAAACAUUCAACAGGUUCAGUAGUGACAUGUGCAUCUGACAAUUUUACUUCUAAAGUAUUAACUUUAUUACUUAAAACAACUUCAUCAUCAAGCAAUUUAUCAUAUUUCAAUUUCAAUUCAUUGUGCUCUUUCUUAAGCUUUUUAUGAUCCACAUCUAAUUUCUCANAUUCAUUUAACAAUUCAAGAAAAGCUUUUUGUAAAUCAAACUCACUAGUGUCAAGGCUAGAGCCACUUACUUGGCUUGUAGUGUCAUCAGUAGCAACCGUCAAACAUAGGCUUGCUUCUUCAACAUAAUCACUUGAACUACAAGUGCUUGAUGCGGUAUCCUCCCAAGCAAUGUAGGCCUUCUUCUUUUUGUGAGAUUUCUUUGCUUUUCUUUUGUUGCUUGAAUAAUCAGCUUUCACAUGGCCUCUUUCACCACAUCCAUAACAUUUGAAGCUUGAUGCGGAACCUUGCUUGUUCUCCUUCUUCUUCUUCUUCAGGAUUUUGCUUUCACUAUUUGCCAUUAAGCAUAUAUUUUCUUCCUCAUUAAAAUCGCUUGAGCUUGAUGUAGAGCUUGAGUUAGACACUGUUAGCUUAUCCACAUCUAUGANUUCAUUAUAAGUGAGUCUUAAAAAUUUCCACAUUUCCUGUGCACUUUUAUAAACAGAAACUUUAGAGAAUUCAUUAGGGGUUAGUGUAGACAAGAUUAUAUUUCUAGCCUUAAAAUCAAAUUGGGCUCUUCUAUUUUCCUCAUCAGUGAAAUCAAAAUAUGAUUUUUCUACUUCUACACCAUCAACUGUAAUUUUUGGAAUAUAAGGACCAUUUUAUACAGCUUCCCAGAUACCUCUAUCAACAGACCCCAUAAAAAUUUCCAUUCUAACUUUCCAAAAAGCAUAGUUAUCACCAGUAAAAAGUGGAGGUCUGUUAAUGGAAGCACCCUCAGCAUAUACAACGUUUUGAUUAUGACCGGCCAUUUUCGCAAAUAUUUUGAAGAACUAUCAAAGCAAGCUCUAAUACCAAUUGACGGUAUCGGAUGGGGUAUUUUUCGAAGAGUAUAGCGUAGCGGAAUUAAAACUCAGAGAGCGGAAAGCGUGUUCGAUCACAGUUAAAACGAAAUUGGUCCUUUUUAGCAAAAAUAAUUUUCUUUAAGAAAAUUAAUCAAACAGUUGAUAUACGUAAAAUAAAAAGAGUGUAGGGAAUAGAAAAAUCACACGAGUAUUUUUAUACUGGUUCGAUUCAACAGAAUCUACGUCCAGUCGUUAAUCACUACAAAGAGUUAUUAACAGUUCCACUAAAAACAGUUUUACAAAUUACAAUUAAGUGAAUAACAGUAAGAUAGAUAAACCUUCCUUCGACGAGCAAACCGGAAGAAAACCACUCUACCAACUUGAGGAGAACCGCUCCGGCAAUCGACCAACGAUUCGCGAGCUUCUCCUUUUACAAGACCAGGCAGAGCACACUCUACCAACUCGAAGAGAACCGCUCCGGCAAUCGACCAACGAUUNNNNNNNNNNNNNNNNNNNNNNNNNNNNNNNNNNNNNNNNNNNNNNNNNNNNNNNNNNNNNNNNNNNNNNNNNNNNNNNNNNNNNNNNNNNNNNNNNNNNNNNNNNNNNNNNNNNNNNNNNNNNNNNNNNNNNNNNNNNNNNNNNNNNNNNNNNNNNNNNNNNNNNNNNNNNNNNNNNNNNNNNNNNNNNNNNNNNNNNNNNNNNNNNNNNNNNNNNNNNNNNNNNNNNNNNNNNNNNNNNNNNNNNNNNNNNNNNNNNNNNNNNNNNNNNNNNNNNNNNNNNNNNNNNNNNNNNNNNNNNNNNNNNNNNNNNNNNNNNNNNNNNNNNNNNNNNNNNNNNNNNNNNNNNNNNNNNNNNNNNNNNNNNNNNNNNNNNNNNNNNNNNNNNNNNNNNNNNNNNNNNNNNNNNNNNNNNNNNNNNNNNNNNNNNNNNAGCUUGACCAUAAUCGAUUAUAUCAGUAAGAAUUACAAUAUUACAAUAUUUUCCUACUACAUUCAAAAUCUACAAGUUGCUUUUUAAAUAUUUUCCUAUUAUAUUCAAAAUCUACAAGUUGCAGCAUCAUCAAAACUCAUCUUCAAGUUUUACCAAUACUCCCUUAUUGGUAACAAUACAAGGUAUCAAAUUAAUAUCUAUUACAAAUUUUACAUAUACAUAUUUAUAAAGAGAACUAUCCUGUCAUCCUUGUUCAUGAAAAAACUUUAUAUUUCAUUGUGCUACAAAUUUUUUAACAUGUUAAUUAACUAUAAUAGACAUAGUUUACCCACUUUUCUUUUCUAUCUUGUUUCUAUACAUAAACAAAAGAUUUAUAUGAAUGUCAUAGAAUUACAUAAUAACAAUUAAGCAAUUUUACAACAUUGGUAUAAUUUUACUUACAUUUUGAAAAAUUAACACAUUAAAAAGAAAACAUAUGAACACUACAAAAAUAAACGAAUUUUAAUAAGGGUUAUUUUUGUUAUUAUCGAUGGUUUUUUAUCUCACCAUCGUAAUAUCUAGGAGUUUUUCUCAAAACCAUCGCUAUUUGCAAAGGUUAUACACAAUCACAGGUAUUUGUUGAUAACCGUCAGAACUAAUCAGGGUUUAGGAACUGUUGGAAUUUAUAGGAGUUUUGUAAACCGUCGAAACUUACAUGGGUUUACAAAUUGCUGGAACUUAUAGGGGUUCCAUAAUUGCCAGAACUUACAAUAGUUCCAAAACCGUUAGAAAUGCAAUAAAUUGGUUUAUUUUUGUAUUAUUUAAUUAACUAUGAUAAAAAAUGUAAUAAACAAAACACAAUAAAAUAAUUAGAAACUAAAAUUGAAUAUUAUAUAAAAUAAAUGAUAGAAAUGUUUUUAUACAAGUAAUUGUUUAACAUAAAUUAAUAACAUUAUUCAAGUACACAUUAAAAGAGAAACAUGUUCACUAAGAACGACUACUUUUGAUCUUCUCUGUUCAAUUCAUCAUCAUUUGGUACACUUCCUUGAUCAAAUACCUAUAGUAUAAAAUAAUAGUUAGCCACUAAUCUAUUUUAAAUAAAUUAUUUCAUACAUUUAGCUAUUAUUACAUGUGAUGGUUGAAAUAUGUAAAAUUAUGAAGGUACCCUGAUAAUUCUGCAACAUGAAUGUCAUCAUCACCUUCAUUUCAUUGAGAUGUGAUGUCAAUGAAGAUACCUGUAAUAUAAAAAAAAAUUUAAAGCUAAGAAAAAUGGUAGCCAACAAGUUAAUCAUUAACGGAAAAGAAAACUAAAUAUUGAUAAAUUAUUUAUUAACCUGAGUUUGUAAUUCAACAUAAGAAGGAGAACUUAAAGAUGAUGCACCAUGGCAACGAGCACUGAUUCCAAAGGAUUUAGAUGGGCAAGGACCCAAACCUAGAUCGUGAACGCAUCCACAAUGCUUUUGGGUUCCUAAAGCUUCAGCCAAUAGAUAUGAACUGGACAUUUCUUUCGAUUGAGGUGAUGAUGUUGUGGACUCAUACAAAGUUUAACAAAAGACUAGUCAAACAAUGCAUAUUUCUAAAUUAGAUGUAACCAAAACCAAACAGUCUAGAAUUCCAAAUUAGAUAUAACCACAGUAACAAUUGAUUAGCCUCUUUCAACUUCGAAAGGUAAAAAUUAAAUUCCAACUAUUAUUAAGUUUCAUAGUAAAUCACGUAAAGAGAGUCAAAUUCCAUUGCCCAAAUUUCAGCAUUUGAUGGAUAAAGGUAUAAGAAAUAUGAAUACACAUCAUGGUGUCAAUCAAACAAGUGUUAGUACUUUGGUUCGGUUUCAAUCCAACACCACUGACAUUAACAUCUCAAGAUGGUGACGAGACUUGUAGUCCCCCCUUCCUCGGUAUUAUUUUUCCUAAGAUCAUGACUUUGUUCUAUUUCUUUUCUUUGCAUCAGCAUGUUCUAUUAAUGUCCUAGUAAGGGUCUUUUCUACCAGACAAAGCUUCAUGAUUGAUAAAUAUUUCCUAACUGCUAUUUGAAAUUACUUUGUCAUUGCUUCCUUUGACAAAGAUGCUUGUGAAAUUUAUGAGGAAUAUACCAUAAAGACACUUGAUUAUCUAAAUGAUAAACAAAACCAAAGAGAGAUUAUUGAUUCACUUCACAAUAAAUGUUACCAGAUUCUUUCUUUCAAACAAGGUUGGUCUUUUUUCCUAAAUUUGUUUCAAACAACUCAUUGAUAACAAGACACUUUGUAAUAUUAUUUAAAACUUAAUCAGAGUCCAAACUUUAUGGUGAUCCAAGUAAUUAAAAAGAAGAGGUCCAAAAAAAGCAGGAAUGGAAAAGUAUUAUUCACUUUAAACAUGAAUGGAAAAAUCAAUCCCAAACAUAUACCAAUUUCCCUUGCCUUACCACUGACAAAAGCUCCAUUUGUCUUCUUAUGGGUAGUUAUCCAGACUUCUCCUAUACUCACUUUGUACCCAAUCUCUCUUUCUUGUGAAAAUGAUCAAUAUGCAUAUUAAGUAUGUUAUAGAUAUAUGAAAACUAGAAAACCAAAGAACAAUAACACUUCAUCAUUUCUUCCCUCUUCCUUACAAUGUUCUUUGACCCUCAUGUGUGAGCAAGAGUUUGUUUUGUCCUAUUUUUCUUAUUUUUUUAAGGUAAUCUCCUACCAUGGUCAUAAAAAAAUUAUUAAACUAUAACACAAAUUCAAGAUAAGGAAUAUAGGUUUUACCCUUAUUCUUUCAUUAAGUCGACAAUCAACAAAAAAAACCCAAUGAUAUCUAUUUAUUCCUUCUGAAGUCAUGGCAAUCGAUUCAUGUCUAACACGCGUGCCAUAAUGUUUUUGUUUCACAACUCUUGUCGAUAAUCUCUCUACUUAUGAUUAAGUGUUUUCAAGAUGUAAUUUUUUUGAACAUUGAUAUUGACUCCAAACUUUGCCUUCAAAAAAGAAUUUAAUCAAAUUAGUUAAUUAUAUGCAAGGUUUAAAAUAGGACAAUGAUGCAAUUUAUGUCACAAUCUCAAAGUUUUUGAGGAUGACUGUAAUAUUAAUUGUGUUUAGAUGACUCUAUUUAUCUAAAACUUUGACAUGAAGGAGUAAUGUGAAUAAUGUGAAUUAAGGUCUAGUUUUGAUUGCAUGAAUCUAUUUAUAUAGGUUUAAGGUACGUCUAAAAGCAUUAAGGUUUAUAUUUAAAUUACUUAGUCGAAUGGUAUGUAUUCUGUGCUCUUUAGGAAUCUUCUUCCAAGUAGAAUGAGAAAUAGGGAACGUCUUGAAGUUUCUAGCAAGACUUUUUAAGAAUCCAUUCAAGAAUACUCCACCAUCUCCAAUUGGUUGAUACUCAUCAUUCCAAUGUGCAACAAUCCUUUUAUUCUGAGGCAAAUUCCAAAUAUUAUUUGUUUUUAAGUGUUUGUUUGUCAUCCUACAUAGGUCAUAUGUGAAGAAAUCAAAUUUGUGUCAAAUACCCUUGUGUCAAACCCAUUCAACAAUAAAUAUUUAUAUAAGUAACAUAUAAUACAAGCAUUUAUAUGUAUAAAUUGUCUUACCAAUGACAUUAACCAACCAUAAUCACUUGUAUGUUGUUGGAUUUUCUUGUUGCACUUCCAACAAAAUUUCCUCAUUUUCAUCUUCUUCAGGUUCAAACUGUAUAUGUGAAGUUCCUCCAACUUGAGGUAGUGAGUGAAGAAUAGCUUCAUUUGGGGGUUGCACAUAUAUAUCAAAAUAUAAAGGAUUACUAAACAGAUGUGAACAAAAUAAUAUAUAUUGUUUCAUUAUUGUUUCUAUAUUAUAUUCAUGUCACUGAAGUCAAUUAUAAGUUUAAUUCUUACAAGGUAGUGACUUUUUGAAUUUUAGGAAUUUUGGUGUCGAAUUCUAGUUUCAAGUUAAUUUUUUUUAAUUUUUAGUUGUUUAACAAAAUUUAAUUCAUAUAAUGUAUAUUUAUUCAUUCAAAUGAGUUCCAGCUACUAAAAUGCAUAAUUCACUUGUUACUUCACAAAAGAGUGAAUUUUGAGGGUUAAUAUCCAUACAUGAUGAAUAUAUCUUUUCCAAAUAUUAUAGUUGUGUUAUAGAACUGAAGAAUUCAAAAAUAAGUAGUUCUCUUACUUAGUUAUGAAAUUGUUGUCUGGAAUAAUUUAAUACUAAGUAGCACACCCUAUUUAGUGUUAAAAGAAAAUAGUGAAUUUAAUAAAACUCUAAGUACCACAUUUACUUAAUUAUCAAUUCCAUAUGCUUUUAAACAAUGAAUUAAUAAAACACUAAGUAUGAAAUCACAAAUAGACUUCCCAUUUAGACACAAAAUAUUAUGACACAAUUAAAAAGCUCAUCAGCUCCAAUAUGCAUCAACACAACCAACAUAUAUACCAUUCAUAGCUUAUUCAUAUCAUUAAAUCAUUAAGCAAACAAAAACAAUGACACAUGUACCAACUAGUCCUAGUUCUAUGCAUCUAGACUACAUUUCAUUAACUUGAACCCUGUUUUCAUUCCAAUGGACAUGCAUAUAUAAUAACAGGAGAAUUUUUUUGAGAUUGUUGACAACACAAACUCUAUAUCAAACUGGUUUUUGAUGAUGACAACACAAUGCUUAAUAACCGUACAUAAGUUCCAGGUUUACAUGUUCAAUUGAUACGCCAAACUGAUUUGAACAAUGCUUUUGUUGAACAUGCUUUGAUUGAUUUGCAAUGUGUGUUCCUAUGAUUGAUUAUGUGUUAUAUGUAUGGAACAUGCUUGUAUUGAAAUGUGUGAUAAAAUGAUUUUGAUUAUUGAUGCACAUUUCUGAAGAAAAGAUCACAAGCACUUUUAUGAACUUAUAUUUGUUGUGACAAAAUUCUAGUUCAGUCAAAUACACUGGGAAUGGAUUCGACUAUGCUAAAAUCUUUAUACAGAUUUUGUGAACAUGUGCUUGAUGAGAUUUUGAGUUGAAAAGAAUUUAAAAGUAUUUUUUCAAGUGUCAGUCGACAAUGUGGAACACCCAUUCGACUGUAUUGCUAUUAUAUUUGGAAUUUUGUUAUGCCUACUUGCUCCAACGGCUAUAUUUUUCAAAAGUUAGUUAAGAUUGAUUGACUAGGUCAACUGUCUUAAAUGUGCAUUGAUUUGGUUGACUGAGGAGCCUUUGUGUUGACUGUCUGUUAUAACUAUUUUAAUAUAGUCGACUGUAUUAGUAGGCCAUUCGACUGAGAAUGAUAGGAAAACUAUAAAUAGGACAGAACACGAAUUGUUCUGAGACUUUUGUAAUCUAACAUUUUCAUUGUCCUGUUUCAGAGAUAGUUAUCAGUUUUGGAAGCUCCAAGAAUUCUCCAAGAAGACAAUGGUGAUCUUUCUUGAGAGAGAUUUAGAUUGAGGAGUCAAUUGCGCACACUGUUCUAUCAACAUCUGCACAAAGAAGGUGCUUCUGGUUUGAUCCUGAGAGGCUUGGCAUCCUGUGAAGAUUGUUGUAUUUGAUUGAAGGUUUGGCAACCUAUAAAGUUUGUUGUGAUAGGCUUGGCAACCUGUGAAGCGUGUUGUGAUAGGCUUGGCAUCGUGUGAGGAGUGCUGGUUACACGUUGAGGAUUAUUCAACGUGGGUUCAGAUUGCAAAAGAGGAGAUUCUUGCUGCAUUUCUGGUUUUGUGUGUGCAACUAUAUUUGAUUUUGGGUUAGAGAGGAGAUUUAUAUUUUUGUGUGGUGCUUCUAUAAUAGUGCAACCAUUAUAGUGCAUUUUCUUCCAAGGUUGGAAGGACAUUGGAUGUAGGCAUUGUUGGCCGAACCAGUAUAAAAACCAGUGUUUGAUUUUCUCUAUCCCUGCACUCUUUAAUUCAGUCGACUUUAUCUGUUUAGCAGUCAACUACGUUUUUUCCGCUGCAUUGAAUUUUCAUUACUUGCAUUUCAAAGAAAGAUCAAAAGCUUUGAAUUUUCAUACCAAGAUUGCAAAAUGAUUUUGUUUUUGAACUAACACCAAUUCACUCCCCCCCCUCCCCCUCUUGGUGUAAAACGAAGCCGACCUAUUUCCUAACAAAUUUAAUAUCUAACUACUGUGACAUUGCAACUCAGAUAAAUCCCACCCAAUUGCACUUCAUUCUUAAUCACACACUAAACAAUUAACAACCGAAGUCAAGAAGAUGUCAGUCCAAUCUGUAAUGUCAGAUUCUUCAUCAAAUUAUAUUCUAGCAACCUAGCAUAUUAUAACUUUAACUAGCCAGCAUAAAAAAUCACAGCAACACCAGAACCAAUCAUUUUUCACAUCCAUUCAAGUGAAAAAAUCAAGGACACACACUAGUACAUCAAAACCAAUCAUUUUAUCCAAUUAGUAAUUGUCUCAUAAUUUUUGCAACUACUUAAAGAUACAACGAUUUCAUACAUUUUACGGUAUCUGCAAAGAUACCAGAAAAUUGGUCUCUUGUGGUCCAGUUCAUCAGUCACUCCAUGAUUAUGUAGAGAAAGUCAGUUUAAAAUAUAUCAAGCCUAUAUUUACAACAAUAAUUUAAGAUGUAAAGGUGAAGUAUAGCAUCAUUGCAACAAAGAAUCAUAUAUAAGAUAUAAAUUAUGAUGACUUUGAUGAUGAAAUAUAUCAGAAUAAUCAAAGGAAAUAAUAUUAUGUGGAGUAGUGAUUACCGCUUUCAACAGUGAAUGUGCUUCACUUGACAAAAAUGGUGGCAGGUUGAUCUUGUCUUUAAUUAUCUUCUAUUGAUUUUUGUCACGGCUCCCACCAUAGAAAGGCAACUGCAGAGGAGGUGAGACAACAUCAACAAACAUUUAACAACUCCAAAAUACCUAACAGUUAUUCAAUAGUCUGUAAUGGAAGAGGAAGAAAAUGUCAACUUAUGGAUUGCGAACGAUGAACAAAACGAACGGAGAAAAGCUGAGGCCCAUACGACAACAGCGACACACUUACGGGGCGAAGGAAAAAGACUCAGUAAUGGAGGAAGAAGAAAACCUGAACUCAGGGAUUUUAGGGAUUGCGGCUUAACAAACAAUGUCGAACUAAAUGGCGACACUGACAACAUGAGGGCUAGGCCAAUGACGAAUCUAAUGCACAUGCGUAAGAAGAAUCUGAUGCUCGGGAAUAGGAGAAUUUGGUAAAUGAAGCACAAACGGCCAAAAACUGAAACAAGUGAAGAAGACCAUGUCACAAGCAUAAGUAUGAAGAAAUUAAGGAUUUUAAUAAUUUCAUAUCCCUUACCAGCGGUUCACUUCAGAAACUGCUGUAAAUAUUUUGAAAACAAAUAACUUUAAUUCUUAAUGGCAGUUUACUAUUAAAACAACCAAACACUUUUUUUAAAAAGAAAAAGAAAAAAAAUUGAGCUGCGAUAAUAUACAUAAUUGUCGAAAAUUUAUGGAGGUUAUCCAAACCGUCGAAAAUUAACCUCAAAUAAAAUUAUAUAUUAAUAAAGAUAAGUCGCGUUUUACUAGAUAGCUUUACUAAAAAGAAAUUGUAUUAUUGAGACAUCAUUAGUUGCGUGUAGUAAAAAUUUAAAUAAAUACAAUUUUUAUGUUAAUAUUUGUGACAUGCCAAAGACGAUUUUGUUUAAUACUAAUUUUCUUUAAUUAAUACUUUUUAAUGAUGUGUUAUAAUUUAGUUGGAUGAGUUAAAUCUUCUUGCAUGAGAAACACAACUUCAUUAUCAUAUUGAUCUAACACAAAUUCGAUUCAUUCAUUAAUAAGCAAUUAAAAUUUCAAUUAAUUGAAUAAUCUUUAAUACUCUAUACACUAGUGCAGAAAAGACCUUAAACGUCACCCUUUAGACGUAUGAUCCUCGAAUAUCAGACAUAAAAAAUGAUUGAUGACAUUUUUCGUAAAUAAAACAACUAUUUAGAUGUCGGCUAUGAGGGGGUCCGACUUCUAAAGUCAUUUAAACGUCUGUUGUGGGAGAACCGAUGUUUAUAGACGUUUGUUGUGGUAGGAACCGACUUCUAAAUACUUAGGCCGAAAAUUUAAAAAAUCACUUUUUGACUCCAUUUAGACGUUUGAUCCCACCACUCCGACUUCUAAAACACUUUAGACGUCUGUUGUGGGGGGAAACGACGUCUAUAGAUGUCUGUUAUGGCAGGAACCGACUUCUAAAUACUCAGCCCGGAAAUUUAAAAAGUUACUUUUUGACUCCAUUUAGACUUCUGAUCCUGUCACUCUGACUUUUAAAGCACUUCAGACGUCUGUUGUGGGGGGAACCGACGUCUAUAGACGUCUACUAUGGCGGAAACCGACUUCUAAAUACUCAGUCCAAAAAUUUAAAAAGUCACUUUUUGACUCCAUUUAGACGUCUGAUCUCGCCACUCCGACUUCUAAAGCACUUUAGAAGUCUGUUGUAAGGGGAACCGACGUCUGUAGACGUCUGUUAUAGGGGGAACCGACUUCUAACUGUCUGCAUUAAAACACUGCGAACGCGAGACAGUAGUUACGCGCACUCAUUGUUCAUCAUCUUCGUCGCGUUUUCUCUCCACAUACUACGUUUUUCAGGUUCGUUUUUUCACUUUUACACCGUUUAAAAUUAAUUUCACUCCGAUUACAUUACUCUUUGAUGAAUUAUUUUUCAUUUGAACCGAUUAAAAUGUGUUUUCGUUGAAUUUUUGUGUAGUUUUGCUCAUGUCCUUAGGCAGCGUUCUUGGACGGUGAUUUCUUGCGUUUUGCACUCCUCCAAUUCCCUCCACUACAUUAUCAAAACCGUCCAAUACAAAAUAAGAACGUACAAUCCAUUCUCUUCAACUAAAAUAUAAAGUUGUAAACUCGAAUCACCACGACGCAGGAGCAACUCGAGAGGCCUCAAGCGGAGAAAUAUCCUAUCAAAUACAACGACAUUUUAGACGUCUGACUCAUAGAGUUCGACAUCUACAUAGACAUUUGACCUAUAUAGUCUAACGUCUAUGUAGACAGGUUAGGCGUCUAUAUAGACGUCUGACCUAUAGGGUCCGACGUCUCAUUUAACGUCACUCGAAUAAAUAUCGGUUCAGAAUUUAACAUUAAAAACAAAAAAUAAUAGACGUCUAAAGUCCUUUCUGCACUACUGAUAGAAGCGUAUUUAGAUUGGCCAAGGAGAACAACGUAGAUCAAAUACUUUGAUCUUUCAACUACGGAACACAUUAGGUUCUUGAUAUUCUCCUAUGAUGAGGACAAAGAGAAACAAAUAAGAAUAAUAUGUACAUGUUUACAUUUAGAGAACAUAACUCCUUUAUGUAAUAUAUUUCAGUUACUUUUUCUAAAAAAUAAAUAUCACAUAUGGUAUCUACACACUUAAUAUUUCAUGAUAUAUAUACUCUUAGUAAAUAAAUAUAAUUAAUUAGAUCACUGUAAUAAAUUUGCUAAUAAAAUAUAAUAAUGUUAACAUAUUUAAUUAUAUAUAUAUAUAUAUAUAUAUAUAUAUAUAUAUAUAUAUAAUAAUAUUUAUAAGAAUAAUUAUAAUAAUAUUUUUUAACUUUUAAAAAUGAUUUUGCUUAAUUAUAUAUAUAAAUUUAAUAUUUAUUUAUUAAUAUUAUUUUAAUUAUAAUAAUAAUAUUUUUGUAAUUUUUAAAAAUAUUUUUUCUUAUAUAUAUAAAUAAUUUAUUUUUAUUAUAUAUAUAUAUAUAUAUAUAUAUAUAUAUAUAUAUAUAUAUAUAUAUAUAUAUAUAUAUAUAAUGAGGUUAAAUCUAUCGAAGGUGUUCAUAUUCAUAUUGAAAUCUUUGCUUUUCAUAUUUUAAGUAGUCUCAAUUAAUUAGUUCUAGUUUGUUUUAAUAUGUGAUGCAAUUUGAUACUUUCCUUUGGUACAAUAUGACAUUAACUAAAUGUCAUGUGUUACUGUCAAAAAAAAUUAUAUGAAAAGUCUUAAUUUAAUCAUUUUAUUAAUAUUUUAUUUUAAUUUAAAUAUUUUUUUAAAAUUUAAAUAAUAUUAUUCUCUCCAAAUUAAAAUUAAAUUUAACUUUUAUUAUAUUUUCAUUAAAAUUGAUAUUUUUAACAAUCUUAAAUUUAUUUAAAUUUAUAUUUUAUACUAAACUUUAUUUAAAUUUUGUUUUAAAAAUUUAUAUAUAAUAAUAAUUUCUAUACAAACGUUAGAGUUGGUUUGAAAAUAAUAAUAUUAUAAAUUCAAAUAUAAAAUUUUAAAAUAGUUUUACAACAAUUUAAAAUAAAUAUAUUUAAAAUUUAAAAACAAAUUUUAAGUAAUAUUUAAUAUAAAAUAUUAAUUUAAAUAAACUUAAUCUUGUUAAAAAUAUCAAUUUUAAUAAAAAUAUAAUUAUAACAUUUAUACGUAAAAAAAAACACAAUAUUAACCUCAAUCUAAUAUAAAGAACCUAUGUAGAUAAUUUUAAAAAACUUAAAAAUUAAUUGAACCAGAAAAAAGACACAGAAAUGAAAUUAAAGAAGCUUAACAACAAAUAUAUAAUCACGAACAAAAAUAUAUAUUUAUAUUUUAUCAAAUAGCUCAAUAUUUAUUAGAUUUUGUAAUUUUACUCUUUCCUUUUUAUCUUUUCAUUAGGUUAUUUUAGUUUUUGAGGUGGAUAAAAUAGAUUUCAUAUAUAUAAUAUACUUCAUAAAAGGCCAAUGAAAGAAGCGUAUGUGAAAUUAGUGGACAUGUGGAAUCGCACGUACACCAAAACUAGUUUUCUUCUAAACUAAAGAUACCUGCGUAGAAAAGUAAACACAAAGUUAGUUUUGCCUUAGUUCAUAAGUAAUGGAAUAUCAGUAGUUCCAAGUUUUCCAGUUAGCUCACCAAAAUCGUUGAAAAAAAAUUAUACACGUUUUCUAUGGUAAUCCAGACAUUUCUUCACUGCUCCUAUUUCUGUUUAAUUUUAAAUGGUUACGUAAGUUUUAUUAAUUAUCUUUUAAAAGACAAAUAAUAUUUAAUUUCUAUUGCAAUUAUAAUUUCCCAUUCUCAAAUUUACGUUUGUAUCUAUAAUAAAUAUAAUUUAUGAAUCAGUUUUUGUUGUGGCUAUCCUGUGGUUGAGUCAUUAGUCAACCAUUCUGAGUUGUUUGCAUUGGAACGCUGCAAGAGUGAAUGGUUAGUUAUGCUGAGAAAGAGAAACUUAGAGCAGUUCUCUCUGCAUCUCACCAACUUCUUCCUGCACCUUCCAUAAUAUUUUGAUUUUUAAAAGAAACUGAAAAAGCUGACUCAUGCGUUGAAAAUCCAAAGUCUACGUUACUUCUUCCAUUGUCGCAUUCAUGUCUCAAAAACCUUGUACUCUCUUCUGCUUUCUUCUCCUUUGUCUAAUUUUACAGCCUGUUCGACUUGGUCUAGUUGUUGUUGGUGGCUGUUUAGUGUUGUUGUGGUGGUGUAGUGUUGCUUGGGGGGUUGGGAAUGGAAACUAUUUGGGUUGGUUGAUUGGGUUCAGGCAGGAAGUUGCAUUGAUCCGCAGAACCGCAUCUGGGAGGUGCGCUUGCGGAUGUUGCUGUGCAUAACCGCACUUGGGAGAUGCGGCAGAGGGAGGCCACACUUGGGAGAUGCGGUUAGCCGUAGGAGGUGCUUGAGCAUACCGCAAUAGGCAGAUGCGGCUCAGUGUAUUUUUAAAAAGAACUUACCAUGACAACCACAAGGGAUACAUCAAAUUUGUUGGCGCACGAAACUGCAUUUGCGUUGGGUUAAAUGCCGGAAUUGGAAGCCAUUCCUGCUUUGGCUUCGGUUGCUAAGUAGCAGGUUGCUAACUUGUAUGGACCAAUACCAGGGAAGUACUUCUUCACGAAGAUAAAGGGAUGCAUGAACGCUAUACAGCUCUUUUUGCACUUCGCAAUGAUGGUGGAAAUGAAGUUGUUGCUGCUAUUAUUGAUUCCUUGAGCUCGAAAAGUGCUCUACUGUGCCAUGAGGUUUGAUAAACUCAGACUGACUUCUUAUUGUAAGAUUUAUCUAUUUUACCUUUUUGUAUGAAUAGUUUAGAAUGUGGAACUAUUCUUUGAAAUGGAAUAAACAUUAAAUUGUAAGGGUGAAAUUAUUAAAAAGAAAAUGUUUGAAGAAGGGAGUGUAGGGUGUCUGAGACGUGAAAUGCAGUAGUAGAAAAAAGAAGAUAGACUUUGCUUUUUUUUAAUAUAUGGGAUCAACUUUUUUAAUUUUUUUGAAAAUCAAAAUAUUCUGAGAGGUGUAGGAUGAAGUUAGUGAGAUACAGGAGAACUGCUCGAAAACUUAUUCCAACACUCAUUUAGUGGCAUAGUAAAAGACAUUCUGAAUUAACAUGGCCAAUGAUGAGGUCAAGCUCGCGUUUCGUUCAUACUAACAAAUACACAUUUAUGAAGAUUAUAUGUAGUAAAUGAUACUAGUCAGGCCAGGCCAAUUCACAGGAUAGGUAAACAACAUAGUUGUUAAGAUAAUUAAAGGAUAAUUAAUAAUAAUAACAACCAUUGAUUGAUAGUUAAUAAAAUAAUAAAAGUUGAUAAGUUCAUUUUAAAUAUAUGGUUAAGAGAGGAUGAAAGAAUAAUUCUAUUAACUAAUCUUUAUUAUAAAAUUAUUAUGUAAAGUCUGAUUUCAGAGUGUUUUUUGCAGUUACUUUAUCCUUCAUUAGAACAAGAAGAAGAGAGAGAA
rnacentral:lncRNA from 1 species